UGCUUGAAUCUUUUCAAGCACCAGAAGUCACAGUAGAGACGAGAUAUAAAACGGCAGAUAAGAAGGUAAAGCCUAUUGCCGGACCAUUACCAGAGGAUUCUAAAGAACAAAUGGGAGAAGCAUCAAAAGAAGCAAGUUUAAGAGAUCCAAUGAGUAUUGGACAUCAGUUUACUGAAGAGACUUUUGAAGAAUUGAAGAUUGGUUCUGAUGGUUCUUUAUUGCCGGAGGAAAUUACUUGCUUCAAAAAGAUGUUGGCUAAACAAGGUAGAUCGUUUGCCUUCGAAUCUCAUGAAAUUGGGUGUGUGGAUCCAAAUAUUAUAACACCUAUGGUUAUCUUCACUGUACUGCAUGUACCUUGGAAUCUAAGGCCGAUUCCAGUACCGAGGGUACAUUUACCUAAAUUGGUGGAACUAUUGAAAGAAAAGAUAAAGAUGAAAAUAUUAGAACCUUCAUUUGUGCCGUAUUCUAGUCGAUGGUUUACGGUACCUAAGAAGAAUGGGUCACUAUGGUUUAUAUAAGAUAUGCAACCAGUGAAUGCAGUAACUGUUAGGAAUGCAGGAAUUGGACCUAUUGUGGAUGAAUUUGCUGAGGCGUUUGCUGGAAGGGCGAUCUAUUCAAUGGGUGAUUUGUAUUCAGGUUAUGAUCAAUUUCAACUUGCCGAAGGAAGUAGAGAUAUGACAACGAUGAGGACACCGCUUGGAUUGGUAAGAAUGUGCACUCUUCCUCAAGGCGCGACCAACUCAGUUGCGUAUAUGAUGAAUGGGAUGAAUAAGGUAUUGAGAGAUUUUAUUCCAGAAAAGACCAUGCCUUUUCUGGAUGAUGUUCCUAUAAAAGGGUGCAGAGAAGGAGACAAGGAUGAAACUUUAGAUACGAGGGGAUGUCGCAGAUAUGUUGUUGAUCAUAUACAAGAUUGUGAAAAGAUUUUAACUCGGCUUGGAGAAGUUCAUCUUACAUUAUCGGGUAUGAAGUCCGUAUUUGGAGUGCGAGAGGUUGUAAUUGUUGGACAUUUAUGCGGAUCUUACGGAAGAAAACCAGAUCUGACUAAAGUUGAUGCAAUUAGAAGGAUGAAAGAGGAUUGUGGUUCUUUAACAGAGGUUCGCAGGUUUUUGGGUGCAUGUGUAUUUUAUCGAAUCUGGAUCCCUCAUUUUGCUCACAUAGCGGAUCCAUUAUAUGAACUGUUACGCAAGGGUUACCGAUUUGAAUGGAAAGAAAGGCAUAUUCAGGCAAUGCAAAGAUUGAAGAAAUUUUUGAUGUCACCUCCAAUAUUGAGGAAGGUUGAUUAUAAGUGCAAUAGACCAAUGAUUCUUACUGUAGACGCUAGUCCAAUUGCCGUUGGAUGGGCGGUGGGUCAAGAUGAUUCGAAUGGGAGUAGAUUUGCAGUUCGAUUUGGAGCUAAAAUUUUAAGUAUUCGUCAGCGUGCAUAUUCGCAAGUCAAAAGAGAACUUUGGGGAGUCGUUUCGGCUAUGAAAGCUGAAAAGGACUAUUUGAUUGGGGCAGUAGUAGUAAUUGAAACAGAUUGCUUGCCAUUGCUUGGAAUGAUUAUUAACUGUUCAAUGUCAGAUAUUGCAAUGUUGAGAUGGAUUGCUUAUAUUAAGUCACUAAAUCCAGAAUUUAAGCAUAUCACUGGGAAGGACAAUUUAGUAGCAGACAUGCUAUCUCGAGCAAGAUACGAGAUGGAGGACGAAAUGGUUGAAGACAUUGAUGAUGUCGGAUUGAAAUUCUAUUCAAUAUCAAAUCUCAACAGAGAAGACAAGCUAUUUCUUGAAGAAUCUUAUGAAGGAGAAUUAUUGGAUAUUGGUCAUUAUUUGAAUACCUUGUCUAAGCAGGGGAAUUGGUCUACAGAAAAAUUCAAACAAAUAAGAAAAAAAGCAUAUGGAUUUUUACUUCGAGAUGGAUUCUUAUGGAAGAGACCGAAGAAAGGAAUUGGGAUGCCACAACGAGUGAUAGGCAAAAGGGAAGAAAAACUAAAAUUAUUAAAGGAGUUUCAUGAUAGUUUAUGGGCAGGGCAUAGAGGAAUCUGGGCUACUUUUGCUAAACUCAAGGAACGAUAUUGGUGGAAAAAUAUGUAUCGAGAUGUGCUCUCAUUUGUAGAGUCAUGUGAAAUCUAUCAAUCGUAUUCUAAUAUCCGACAUCGAGAUGGUCUUCAUCCUACGUAUCCUCUAGCUAUUCAUUUUAAAUGGGUUGUUGAUUUGGUUAUUAUGCUGGUUGGGUUAUGGCAGAUGAGAUAUUUGGUUUUAGCUCGUGAAGAUUUAUCAAAUCAAGUAGAAGGAAGAGCAUUGAGGACAAAAUCUACAGAGGGGAUUUGUAGGUUUUUGCUUGAAGAUGUCAUUUGCCAUUACGGGUGCGUAGGAAUAAUCACUGCAGAUCGUGGAGAAUUAAAUGCACAAGAAGCUCGUAAGUUCUUUGAAAAAUGUGGAGUUAAACUAUCACUGACUACUGCUUAUAAUCCGGAAGGGAAUGCGAAAAGCGAACGCGAUCACCCGCCGAUUGUGAAAGCAUUGAUUAAAGCUUGUAAUGGGAAGGUUAAAGAGUGGCCACGGCUUUUGUCAUUUGCAUUAUGGGCUGAUCAAACAACACAUAGUUCGGUGACAGGAUAUAUGCCAGUAGAACUUAUGACAAGUCAAAAACCAAUUAUGCCGAUUGAAGAAAAGGUACUUACUUGGAGUAUGCUACCAUGGGAAGAUGGAUUGACAAGAGAAGAACUUCUGGCUAUUAGGAUUCGACAAUUGGAGCAAAGAACGGAAGAUGUGCAGAUAGCAUUGGAAAGGUUAAAAAGAGCAAGGUUACAAAACAAGGCGCGAUUCGAUAAGCAACAUCGAUUGAGACCAAAAGUAAUCGAGGAACGUGACUGGGUACUUGUUUAUGACAAUAGUCUGGAUAAUCAACAUAGUACUUUGCGGAAAUUUUCAAAACAUUGGUUUGGACCAUAUGUUGUAACAACUGUUCAUGAUAAUGCGACUUAUUCAUUACGGGAGUUAGAUGGUACAAAAUUGAAAAUACCAAUUGCAGGGAAGAGAGUAAAAAUAUUUAAAUGAAGACAUGCAGAGAUGAAUAUGGAAGACCUUAAUGAAGGUACAGAGAUUCCGCAGCAAGAAGAUGAAAGUGAUAUGGAUAAUGAAGGUGACGAAGACGAACUGGACAAAGACGUAGAGGAUAUAUUCUGAAUCAAACAGCAAUUGGGUAAAUUGGUGCAUACCGGAGGAUGCACAGGUUCAGAGGGGGUGGAUGUCGUGUUGUAACACGAGUAUACAGUGAAAAUAAAAAGAAAGGGGAAUUUUAUUAAUAUUCAGUUACCUCGAAUAUUGGGAGCAUCGACCAAUUCCAGUACAAAUAUUGAGUGGUCAGGUUCAGUCACUCCGUUACAGUCAGCUGGGGCAUACUGAAAUGCUCCAUUCGAUUCCAAUAACGGGAGUGAGUAGGAAGAGAAGGACCAAUUCACACGACGGGUUCGAAAAGGCAAUUGGAUCCAAUUUCGAUAAUCCAAUCCGGGUCCUCUUAUCCAAUACGAGACCUGAAUUGGCCGGUCAACCCAAUGUGGUCUAAUUACGGGAAAUUCAGGUCUUACUACGGGUCUUAGCCAAUCUGACGCGAGGACCAAUUUGACCCAAUUACGGGAACAUCCAGGUUAUUACGGGCAUCUUUCCCAAUAUAGGACCUGAAUUGGUCGGGCAACUCAAUGUGGACCCGAGUACGGGGUUUUGAUUCUGUUUUAGGCUGUCCUAUUCUCUGUGCUGUUUCAGGGAACGUUGUUUUCGGUAAAUGGAUUUCUUAAAGGUAAAAACGGAGGAUAAAGCUUGAUGACGAGAGCCAAUUUUGGAUCCAAGCUUGAGGUGGGAGCCAAUUCCGGAUCUAAGACGGAAGAUUGAAGAAAUUCAGAGGAUAAGGUUAGGUGGGGUAUAGUUUUGAGUGGGUUUUUUUUUUUUUUUUUUUCAGGGGAAUCAAGGGGGGGGGGGAGGGGGAGCGAGUUUUCAAGUUUUUGCAAGGUUACCAGUUCGGUUUUCAUUGGAGGUUUUUUUGAAGAUCAAGGGAAUUAGAGAGAGGAGCUUCAUGCUUCGGAUCGGGGAAGGAAAGACAUAGAAUUUGGAUUUUUCUUCUUCAUAGAGUUUUGGGAAGACUGAGGCAAUCGCUGCUGAAGUCAGUGUUGUAAUGGUGAAUCGGGAUUUUUAAAUGAAGUGGGUUUGAAUACUCUUGACUGUUUUGUAAAAUCGAGUUACGUCUGUGAUUGAAGGAUUAAAGGGGUAUCUAUAGGAUUGAGUAUGCGGAGUGAAUGAAAUUUAUUGGGUUAAUCUAACAAGACAGUCAGUGGAUACAAGAUCGUAAGUACAAAGGGGUAUUGAAGAUUAACAGUUUGGGUUGUUCAGGGUUCUCUGUAACGUCUAGAGACCUAUCGGCUGGGAAAAAAAAAAAAAAAAAAAAAAAAAAAGACUUCGACAAGCAGUCGAAGAGCAUCCGUAUAGAUUUACGGUACAUUGUUGCAGUCGUUUAUAUUCCAGCAGUCAAAAACUGAUAAACUGCUUGACUAUCGGCGAAUCUCCAUACUACCUUCUACAGCCAGAAGCCCGGCGCGUUCUCGAGCAGGAAAGCACGUAAUACGACAUCGUUGGGUUAAACCAAUGGAUAUUUUAUUGAGUGUUCAAACUAUAAUUAUCGAUAUUGCAUAUAAAAUUGACUAUAUUAUCUUUUAGUUACAACAUUCAACUUUGUUGUAUCUAAUUUUAUUGAGAUGACUCUAGCUUUAUGAAGCAAAGACUAAGAAUGAUUAGGGACGAGGUACUUUGAUAAUUGGCAAGGGUGGAGACAAAAUGGUGUUAUAAAUGUACCUAGUAUCUUAUCAGGGGGAGUCUUAAUUAUCAGCAUCUGAAUAGACGUCGGACGAUGAAGUUAGCUUUGAUGAUGAUACAAUAGCAUUGAUUACGGAGGCGUCCGUGGAGACAAUACAAUAUCCUGGAGUAGUAUAUGAAUGUGGAGGUCCGAGAGAAUACUUGAUAUACCUGACAGAUUCGGAAAACUCUGAUUAUGUUAGUGUUGAUUGGAUGACCAAGUAUAAUGUGUACCAUGUUAGUGCCUUGGACAGAAGAUUCAAUACUUUGCUUAUGUUAGACUUAUCGACUGAUUUUAAACUAGUGCGGGAGUUGAAAUAGAACAUCGUCGUUGCACCUUUAUGUGAAACUAUCAACUUGGUGACCACAGCAGAAUCUCAGAUAAUUAAGGUCUAUAAAGAUAUUAAGAAGCAAGAAUUGACUUGUUGGACAAAUUUUUUCUUAUAUUAUAAAUCUGCUUUUGCUUGGACGUAUGAUGAUUUAAAAGGUAUCUCCGCUGAAGUCUAAGAGUAUUGUAUCAUUUUAGAAGAGGUGACUUUGAAUAGACUUAGAAUAGACCUAAUUAUGAUAUAAGUGUAUUCGGGUGUAGAGGCAGCUAAAGGGAUAGUUAGUAAUUACUAAUGUGUUAAAUGGGACAGAGGUGAGAAACGGACAUUAUAGGUAAUAUGUUGUCAAUAUCACCAAGUAAUAAGAAAAUAGGAGUGGGAUCCAAUUAGAGGUCAUUCUAUGGUGUCGUUUUGGAUUGUUUUUUUUUUGAGAUUGCCAUUUUAUAUAUUCCUUGCGUAUAUGAGAGUAGUAGUUCCAGUUAAGAGCUUGGUAGAGAGAGCAUCAUGGCGAUUGAAAGUACAAAGUAAGCUACAGACAAAGAGGAUAGUGGUCAAAAUGUGAGAGCUAAACGUGCAUCAAAACCACCAUCUAAAAUAAUUGUUACCAAUAUAGAGCCGAUGAAGUUAGAUAUUUGUCGAACACCGAGAAGAAUAAGAGACUUUUGGAAUGGACAUUUGUUCGAGUUUUUACACCAGUUAGAUCGUUAAUCAAUAAUCAAUGUAGCAUUAGUGGAAAAAUACAUGACAAAUUAUGAUCCUAAGGAUGGAUUGAGUAUCAUACAAGGACAAAUUAUUGGAAUUGAUAAAACAAUCAUAGAAAAGGUGUUGUUUCUUUCCAUUGCAGAGAUUGCAGUAGGAGCACUUGAAGGAAUGGUGUUUAAUUGGAUAGCUUACAUAGCUACUUGUAUUCAUGUAGAGAUAGGAGCCAAUUGGAAAUUAGAAAAGUUCACAUAUUUGCUUUGUUUGAAUUAUGUGUAUACUAUGAUCACAUACACAUUGCAUCAAAUAUCACCAAUAGAGAAAAGACUUGUACCAGUGUCAAUGCCUCCAUAGAGAGAAUGAAAUUUUUUGACACAAAAUAUAAAUGCAGCACAUGUAAUAUACAAAGUUGAGGAGUCAAGUCAUAUGGCGGCACAAGGGGUCCUUCCAAUUAUUAAAUUGGAACGGAUUCCAAUUUGUUUUGUAGUAGAGGAGGAGAAUGAAGCUCCAAUUACAAUAGACAACAAUCAGUUAGCAUUUCCACAGGGUCGAUUGCCUGAAGGUUUAUCUCUUAAGAAUUCUUUAUUGAAGCAUAUUUUACAAAUACAUUGUAUGGUACAAGCAUUGGAUAUAGAAGGCAGUAGCAAAGAAGUUCUGGAGGAUAGCAAAAAGGUGAUAUUGGAUCAAAACCGAAGAAUUGAAGAGCAAGAACAGACUAUAUAAGAAAUUAUGGAAUCCAAGUUGGUAUUAGAGUAGAAAUUGGUUUAUCAAUAUGAGGCUUGAAUGAAAGAAAAAGAGUACAUCUUACGGAUUGUGGAAGGACAACGGGACGAAUUGAUCUAAAAUCACAAGACAUGGGAUUUGGAACGGAAAAAUUCAAAUGCUAGUUGCAAGUAAAAAUGGACAAAGUAGAGUUAUUAUUGAAAGAUAAAGUGGUAUUGAGUAUCCAAUCCAGAUGUAAAACAGAGAGGUUCAAGUCCAAAAUUGAAGUUCUACAAGUUGAGGUGGCAAAAUUGAUGGAAGAGUUAACCAAUAGGAGCCCAUCACAAGUGUUGAUUGAAGAUGUCCCAGAAUGGAUGAGUCAACAACAACAUUAGUUGAAACUCUGGAUGCCUAGAUCUUGAAAUUUGAGAUUCAAGUCCAUGAAUUGGGAGAGUAUAAUGAAGAUCUUUCAACCCAGUUGAAGAAGGAGUCGAUGGAAGGAUUGGAAGAAGAGGAAGAUUUGCAAUUGGAACCAGAAUCGGUAGAACCAAUAACAGAUAAUGUGGCAAUUAAUCAAUUAGAUGGGUUAGAGAUGAUAGUAAUUUUGUAGAGUUUUGUUAAGUAGUUUUUAGAUAAGUAUCAAUUGUGUGUUUGCAAAGACAUUGCAAAAAUAGGAAUAAGGCUAUGUAGAAUAGAUAUUAAUUUUUUUUUGAAAGAUAUUGAUAAAAUAUACUAAUAGUCUAUAGAAUAGAUAAUUCAAGAGGACAGAUGAUUGAGUUAGUUAUUAAAAGUAAUUAAUAACAAAAUUAAGAUUAGAAUCUAGAAAAUUAGGAGAAAGUAUAUAGGAGUUGUAGAAGUUAGUUUAAGGGCCAGACUAUAAUAGUCAUGAGCUGGGAUAAGCUUGGUGCUACCUCUUUAUUUCUUUGUUGUUGAAAAAUAAUGGAUAGUUUCUAAAUACUGAGAAGUGAGUUUGUAGAAUAAAUUAGAGAUUGAUUUAUGAGUUAUUGAUUAUGUAAUUAAAGUACUAAGUAAUUGAAUUAUAUGAGAAAUUAUUGAAAGAUUGAUUAUGGAUAGAAGAUUAUGAUUAUUGUUUAUUGAGAGUUGUAUGUGUUUUGACAGAGGAAGUUUGUGAUUACAAAAAUUGUGUGAAUAUAGAUUGGUUGGAGUGAAGUUUAUUAUUUCUGGUAUUCGAUAGUGAAUUUAUGUGAUUUCAGUGGUCUUUUAAGAGUGCAAGGUUACACUUUGUUAUUAUCAAUUGAUGAAGGAGUAGCAUUAUUGGAAAAAAAUAUUGUAGUAUUUCUUAGUCAUUUUAGUGGUUUGAAAUAUGAUUAAUUGUAUGAUCCUAACAAAUAGAACUCAUGUGCUUAGUCUUUCUCUGUUUUUGAAUCUCCUUCUAUAGGUUUAUUUUCAAAGAAAUUUAUAGAUUAAGUAAAAUAAUAAUUACAAUUGCCAUCAAACUUUUUGGGUAUGCUCAUUCUUGGUUCUUUUGUUGUUAUUGUUGACAAACUUCUACUCUAAAUAAAGACACUUUCCAUCUUUUUUAAAGUUUUCAUAAUUGCUUGAGAAAUUAGAACUCUUGGUAUCAUUUAUUAUAGUAGUACAUGCCUCUUUGUUCAUUCACUAUCGUGGUUGGUCAUAUAAGGCUCUUGGUUCUAUUUAGUCAAAGUCUUCAUCUUCAUUGUCAAUACUUUAAGAGCAUUGAAAAUCAAAUCCAACUUAAUCUCCUCAGAAUCUACUAUAUUAGCUUCCCCAUCUCCUAUCAUGCAUAAAAAAUACUCAAAGAAAAAAAAGAACAAUUUAGAAUGAAAUAUUGAAAGAAAAUUAUCGAAAGAACAAUAUCAAUCUAGAAAAGGGUAAUCUACAACUUUUAGAAUGCUAUAGUAUUUCCAAGAAGAGGGAUAAUCUAUUUUCUAGGAAAGAAGACCAAGCUGUCAUAUUAUUUUAUGAGUAGUCUUGACAAACUGUCAAGGACACUUUAACAUAUAGACAAAGAAGUCAAAACACAAAAAAGUUCUUAAGAGAAAAUUAACAAGAACUUAAUUAAAACAUAUAACUACAAGAAUAAUAUCAAGAGAGAUGAACUACAGCUCUAAGAAAUGAGUUGUUAAGCCACGAGAUCCCAUCAAUCUCAACUCCUAUACACACUUGGUAUAAGGAUGCUUAUUAAGAAGCUUGCAUGUUGCUUGCAUGCAAACCAACCCUUCUAGACAAGUACCCAUGUGGCUAGGAUGCCUUCUAGAAAGGUUUCCAUAUAGCUUGGAUAUAAAGCAACUAUAGGAUCCUUUUGAAAUAACUUCCUCAAAUGAUUGUGAUUACUAUAAAGUUAUAAUAUGAAGAAGGCUAUAUUUAAGAAAUUCAGUUAUAUAUAUUCAUUACAUAACAUAUACUUUAUAAUAUGCAAUGAAUAUAUAUAAUAUAUGUAAUAUAUAAUUUAUACACACAUAAAUAUAUAAUAUUUUAUAAUUUAUAAACACAUAAAUAUAUAAUUUAUAAACACAUAAAUAUAUAAUUUAUAAACACGUAAAUAUAUAAUGAUAUAAUAUACAUAAUCUGUAUUUAUAUUAUAUAUAAACUUAUAGGUGUACAUAUUAUAAACUAAAUUAUUAUAAAUAUAAAAAAAUAUAAUAUUAUUCAAAAAAUAUAUAAAUAAAAAUAAAAAUAUAUAAUUAUUUAUUAUACAUAAAAAUAAAUAUAAAAAUAUAUAUAUUUAUAUUUCAAUACAUAUCCUUAUGUGCUAUAUAUAUAUAUUUAUAAAAUAUAUAUGUAAUAUGUUUAUAUAAUAUACUACAAUAAAUUAAAAUACUUAUAAUACUAAAUCAUAUAUUUAUUAUCAUAAUAAAAUAGAUAUAUAUUAUAUUACUAUAUCACAUAUAAGUAUAUUAUAAAUAUUUACAUAUAAAGUAUAUUAAAUUAUACAUAAUUAUUAAAUAUUAAUAUUUAUAAAGUUAUAUGUAAAACUUUAUUACUUAUAUUUCAUGAUAUUGAUUUAAAAUAUAAAAAUAAUAUAUAAUAUAUAAAAAAUAUAUAAUGUAUAACAAAUAUACAACAUAUAAUAAAUAAAUAAUAUAUAAUAAAUAUAAUAUAUAUAUAUAUAUAUAUAUAUAUAUAUAUAUAUUUAUCAUUAUAAUAUAUAGUAUAACUAUGUAUAUUUUAUAUAAAAAUAUAUAUUAUAUUUAUAAUUAUAUUUUAUAUAAUAUAAUUAUACUAUAUUGUAUAUAUAUACUAUAUAUAUAUAUUAUAUUUAUAAAAUAUAUAUAAAAAAUAUUUAUAAAUUUAUAAAUAUAUAUAUAAUAUAAAUAUUUAUUAUAUAAUUUUAGAAAAUAUAUAUAUAUAUAUAUAUAUAUAUAUAUUUAUAUUAUAUAAAUUUAAUAUUUAUUAUAUUAUAUAUAAUAUAUAUUCAAUAUAAAUUUUAAUUCAUAAUUAUAUAUAUAUAUAUAUAUAUAUAUUUAUAACAAUAAUAAAUAUUAUAUGAAAAUUAUAUUAUAUGUAUAAAUUAAUUUUAUCUAAUAUAAUAUCAUAUAGUAUAUGUUAGUUUAUUUAAUAUUAUUAAUUAUAUAUUAUAUAUAAUAUUUAUUUUAUAUUUAAUAUUAUUUUAAAAUAUUAUUUAAUAUUUUUUAAUAUAAUUUUAUAUUUAUAUCAAUUAAUAUAUGAAUAUACAUAUUAGAUUAUAUUUAUAAAUAUUAUGUAUAUAAAUAUAAUUUAUAUAUUUAUAUUUAUAUGUAAUGUUUAUAAUAUAUCAUUAUUUUAAUUAUAUUUUAAAAUAUAUAUACUAUUUAGUAUAAAUAUUAUGUAUAAUUAUUAUUUUUCAUUUAUGAUUGAUCAAUUAUUUAAUUAUAUUUUUAUAAUUAAUAUUUUAUAUAAGUAAUAUUAUGUAAGUAAUAUAUAAUUACAUUAUAUAAUAAAUUUUAUGGUACAUAUAUUUAGAUAUAUAUUAUAUACAUUAUUUAUUAAAGUGAUAAAUAAAAUUUAAUUAUAUCAAUUAUUUACGUUAUAUUGAAACUUUGUAUGUUUUUAAAUUUUGUACAGUUAGAUUAUGAUGAUAUCUCAAGGAAGUUUUGAAUGUACAUAUUGAAGUCUAUUGGGGAGUAUUUGAAAAAGUUUAAGGAAUUGAAGGCCCCUGUAGAAACCAAUCGCAAUAUAAAAUUAAGGUGUUGUGGUUGUAUAAUAGGAGGGAGUUUAUACUAUUAUUUAUAGUCCUUUAGAAAACUUCACACAAAUCCUUGUUUAAUACCAAGGAUUAUUGUUGGACAAAAUUUCAUCUCACUUUUGAAAUGAUGAGAUUCUAAAUCCACAACCAUAGAAGGAAAAAAAGAAGAAAAAAAGAAAAAAAGUAAAAUUUACAAAAUUUAAAAAAAAAGAAUUGACUUAUCUUAGUAUAGUCCAAACUAUCCUAUUAAGUUGUAUGGGCCCAUGACUAUAUAAUUAGAAAGAUGAUGGAGAAUUCAUUUAAUGGUAAAAAACCUCAUUCUACUUCAAGUAGAGAUGAGGUUAUAAGUGUUAACUUCAUAGAUAGUUUUGUCACUAGAUAAAACAACUAAGUAGAAGUCGAUUUAGCAACCUUAGUGGAUGACAUAAAAAUUGAAGACAUCUUUGGAGUGAACUUUGAUGGCACUUAAGGCUAAGAAUUAGAAGAUGUAAUUGAAGAAUUCGACCUUAAUUCCCUUCUACAAUUUAAACAACCUUCUAGUGGUCUUAUGGUGUUGUUGUAUGAGUUUUUUUAUUUGAGAAUACAUUAGAUAUCUAGUUGUAGAGAGCUUAUUUUUUAUUUUACAAGUUCUUAUUCAAAAACCAAUUUAUCUACAACAGUCAAAAAUUACCAAAAUUCCAUGAAUAAAAUAAUUAUAGUAGUAGCAAUAACUAAUAGGAAUAAAAGUAAUCAAUAACCAAUAACAGUAAUUAGCUUUGAUAACAAUAAUUAGUAGCAAUAAUAAUAAUAAUUGAUAGUAAUAACAAUAAUCAAUAACCAAUAACGGUAAUUGGCUUUGGAAACAAUAACCAAUGGCAGUAACAGUAAUUGAUAGUAGUAAUGGUUAUCAAUAACCAAUUACAAUAAAAAAUAAUAGUAAUAGUAAUCAAUAAUUAAUAAUAAUAAAUAAUAAUAUUAAUAGUAACUAAUAACCAAUAGUAGUAAUAGUAACCAAUAAUUAGUAACAAUAGCCAAUAAUAGUAAUAAAAACCAAUAAUCAGUAACAAUAGUCAAUAGUAGUAACAGUAAUUAAUAACCAAUAAUAAUAUCCUCUUCAAAAUUAUAGAACUUUAGUACUCAAUUUUUUCUAAUUCAACUAUUGGAUUGAGUUCAAAUUUUUUGAGGAAUAAGAUAAUACUCUUAACUUCUACUACACAAAAAAAUCAAUCAUAAAUUCAUUACUGAACUUUAGAUUUUAUUUGUUCAACAAUAAGUCUAGUACAUAUCACCUUUACAGACAUCUAUAUAUUGAUUUCAUUGUAUCUCGCUAACUUAAAACUCAAAUGCUACAAUACUCAUAUAUAAAAUUUAACAACAUGAAAAUACACAUUUUUAAAAUUAUUUAGAAUAAAUCUUAUCAAAUUGCACAAGAUAUGGCUCAAAAUACAACCACUAGCAAUUUGAGUCACUUAAUACUCCUUAGAUUCCAAGUAUUGACUUCAACUUCGAAUAUCUCCUUUGUUCUGACUUAGAAUUCAUUAAAUAAUAUAUAUAAAGUGUAGUCAAGAAAGUGUUCUCUUCAAUUAUAGUUGCUGAUCUUUUGUUGCUUUCCGUGUCCAUGCAUUAUAUCUGAAAGAAUGACAAUAGAUAUCCAAUCGAUACCUCUACUUUGAGCACUUAUUUUUCCUUACUAAAAACUCCAAAAGAUUCCAAAAUUUUUACCAAAAUCUUAAUCAAAAACUAGAACUACUAAUUUUAGCCUCUAAUGUUUGAAUGCUUCUUGAAUUUUUUCCUAAGUAGUCAUUUUAGUGGCCAAAGGUCUGAUUUUGACCUUGUCUCACAAAUGAUCGAUCCCUAAGUACCAACCUAACCUAUCCUAAGGAUUUUUUUAGUCCAAUCCUACCCUCAACUUAAUCCUAAUAUCAAAUAUAUUAAUUAUUUAUCUCUUUUAACUUGAUUUUAUUAAUUUAUGGUCUUUGUAAGGUAAUAAAAUAGUUUCUAUAACUAAAAGGUAAAUUAUUAAUUAACCUUCAAUUUACUAACUAUUAAGAUAAGAAAAUAACCUAAGAGGCUUUUUUAAAAGCCAUAUUUAGAUGUCUUGAAUUCUUAUUAAAUUGAAAUAAUUAGAUAUUAAUUAGAAUUUUAAUUUUAAUUAUAAUUUCACUGUAUAGUUAUAUUAUAUUAUAACAUCAGCCCUCUCGUAACUUGUGCAUCCUGUGACAUGUACCAAAUGAAUCAGAUGUUAUAAUUAGCAUUACACCAUCUCUUCAUUUUUUUCAUCAAAUCCUUCAUUUUUAUUUUCUCCAUUCACUUCAAAACAAUUGUCUUCUUGAAAAAUAUUAAUAUCUUUAGUAUGAUCUUUCAUAUUGAUUUUUCUAUCUCAUCUUUUAAAAAUCUGUACUUACUUCUCAAAAAUAGGUAUUUUCAACCUCUUACCAUUUAACUCCCUUAAUGAAUGUGUGGUAUUAUCAUAAACUAUUACUACCACAUAUGGUCCAAAUCAACAUUUUAAAAACUUCUACAAAGAACUAUGUUGGUUAUCGAGACUACUAUUAUAAACAAGUAUCCAAUCACCUUCUUUAAUUGCUCUAGGCCUCAACCAAUGUUGCUUAUCAAAUUGAGUCUUAUUUUCUAACCUUGCCUUUUGUAACCUUUCUAAUGCUAAUUUGACAUCUUCCAAUCUUUGUUCAAGUUGCCAAAUUCUAAUAGCUAAUAAUUCUAUCCUUGUCAAUCCAUCUUCCCAUGAUAGCAUACUCUAAGUUGUCACAUGUUCUUCAAUUGGCUUAAUUGGUUUUUGACCUGUGAUAAGUUUCAGUGGCAUAUAUCUUGUUAUAGAAUUGUAUGUUGUUCGAUCAGUCCAUAAUGCAUAAGAUAGAAGUUGAGGCCAUUCUUUCAUUCUUCCAUUGCAAGCUUUAACUAAGGCUUUUACAAUCAAUGGAUGUCCACAUUCACUUUUUGCAUUCUCUUCUAGAUUAUAAGCAGUAGUCAAUGAUAAUUUAAUUCUAUAUGUCUUAAAAAAUUCAUGAGCUUUAUGUACGUCCAAUUCUCCAUGAUCUGCAGUAAUCUUUCUGAUACAUCCAUAGUGGCAAAUAACAUCCUCAAGUAAAAACCUGCAAAUUUCUUUUGUAGAAUUUGUUUGUAGUGCCUUGUCUUCUAAUUGGUUUGAUAAAUCUUCACAAGCCAAAACUAAAUAUCUCAUUUGCCAUAGUUCCAUUGCGAUAAUAACCAAAUCGACAACCCAUUUAAAAUGAAUAACCAAAGGAUAUGUUGGAUAUAAUCCAUCUCGAUAUUGUAUAUUUGAAUAUAUCUGACAAGUUACACAAGAUUCUAAAAAUGAAGUUAUAUCUCGAUAUGUAUUCUUCCACCAACAUCAUUCCUUCAAUUUAGCAAAAGUAGCCCAAAUUUCUAUAUGUCCCGUCUAUAGACUAUCAUGAAAUUCUUUGAGUAGUCUUUAUUGAUCUUUCUUAGUAUCUACUAUUUGUCUUGGCAUUCUAAUUCCUUUCUUUGGUCUCUUUUAUAAGAACCCUUCUUGAAGCAAAAAUCCAUAAGUUUUUUUUUUAUUUGAUUAAAUUUGUUUUUUGACCAAUUUUCUUAUUUAGACAAGGUAUUCAAAUAAAGACCAAUUUUUAAUAAUUCUCCUUCAUAAAGCUUUUCAAAAAAUAUCUUGUCUUCCUUAUUAAGAUUUGAUAUUCAAUAGAAUUUUUUUCCAAUAUCAUCAAUAUCUUUAAUCAACUUAUCUUCUCUUUCAUAUCAUACUCGAGAUAAUAUGUCCACUAUCAAAUUAUCUUUUUCUGCAACAUGUUUAAAUUUUAGAUUUAAUGACUUAAUUUAAGUAAUUGAUCUUAGCAUUGCAAUAUCUGAUGUUGAACAAUUAGUAAUCAUUCCAAGUAAUGACAAACAAUCUACUUCAAUUACUACUACAAUACCAAUCAAAUAAUCCUUUUUAGCUUUCAUAGCUAAAACAACUUUCUAUAAUUCUCUCUUAACUUGCAAAUAUGCACAUUGAUGAGUACUUAAAACUUUAGCUCCAAAUCAAACUGAAAAUCUGUUUCCACUUAAAUCAUCUUGAUUCACAAUCCAUCUAAUAGCAAUAGGACUUAUAUCCACAGUAAGUAUUACUUACUUAUUACUCUCAUAAUCAAUCCUUCUUAAUAUUGGAGGUGUCAAUAAUAAUACUUUUAGCUUUUAUAUUACUUCAGAAUGUUUUCUUUACCAUUUAAAUCAACAACCUUUACAUAAUAAUUCAUACAAUGGAUCUGUAAUAUUAGCAUAAUGAAGAAUCCAAAUAUGAUAAAAUACACAAGCUCCUAAAAACCUACAUACUUCUAUUAAAGAAUCACAUAUAUCCUUUAUCCUUCCAAUUGCAUCAAUUUUAUUUAAAUUUGGAUUUUUUCCAUAAAAUCUAUACAUAUGUCCAAUAAUUAUAACCUCUUGUACUCCAAAUGUAGAUUUUGUUCUUGAAAGUGUAAGAUAAACUUCUUCAAGUCGAGUUAAAAUCUUUUCACAAUCUUAUAUAUGAUCAACAAUAUACUUAUGAUACCCCCUCUCAUCUAAGGUCUCAUCUUUUUCUUCCUCUUUACAUCCUUUAAUAGAAAUAUCAUCUAAAAAAGACAUAGUUUUUUCAAGAAUGAAGUCCCUGAAUACUUUAUUCAUACUAUUCAUCAUAUAUGCAACUGAGUUAGUAGCAUCUUAUAGAAGAAUACACAUUUUAAGUAGUCCAAGAGGCGUUUUCAUCGUUGUUAAAUCUCUACUUUCAUGUGCAAGUUGAAAUUGAUCAUAACUUGAAUAUAAAUCACCCAUUGAAUAAAUUGUCCUUCCUGCAAACGCUUUUGUAAUCUCAUCUACUAAAGGUCCUAUACUUAUAUUUUUAAUAGUUAUUGCAUUUAUUAGUUGCAUAUCUUGAAUAAAGCAUAAUGAUUUAUUUUUUCUUAGGCAUUGUAAACCAAUGACUAGAAUAUGGACCAAAAAAAGGCUCCAAAAUCUUCAUUUAUAUUUUUUCUUUCAAUAGUUCUACUAAUUUAGAUAAAUGUGCCCUUGGCACAAGAAUUGGCUUUAAAUUUCAAGAUGCAUGCAGUACUAUGAAGAUAACCAUAGGAGUAAGAAUAUUAGGAUCUACACAUUCUAUUUCAUGAGGUCCAAAAGUAAAUGAUUUACCUUAUUUUUUCAGUAAUCAUCUUUUCAAGUUCCUAAUUUAUAUAAUUUUCUUUCAAUAUUAUAUAUAUAUAUUUUAAAUCUUCAAUUUUUUUAUAUAUAAUACUUCAAUUUUUAAAAAUACUAAUAAAUCUUCUAUCAAAGGCACCUACAUGUUGCGAGAGUACCUCUUCUUUUGUACCUCCAUAAUCUCGCUUUACAGUGGUACUUCUCCAAAAAUCCUUAUAUUCUUCAAUAACUCUUGGUAAUGGCUUCUCCUUCAACCUAUCUUGAUUUUGUUCAUAAUUAGGAGGCACUGUUAGAAAUUAUACAACUUUCUUUCUAUCUUUGCUCUGUAUUUGUGCAUAAGCUGAACCAUCAUCAAGAACUUUUGUUUCCAUUCGUGUUGCUAUAAUGUAAGGUUUUCAUAAAAUCAAUGGAUAUGAUGUUGUAACUUAAAAAAAGAAAUGUUGUUCUGUCAUAAUAUCUCCAAUCCAGAUUUCAACAUCUGAGCAAGCUCCUUAUUAUUCACCUCAUGUAUUAUUAACUGCUUGUAUUAUCCAUCUAUAUUCUAUAUCAAUUAGCUACCUCCACUUAUUAUAAAGAUUCCUAGACAUAAGAUUUAUUUCGGAACCAUAGUCAACUAAAGCAACAAUUGAUUCAUUUGUAUCACCUACCUUCACCAAUACUUCUAUAGUUGUCCUGGCUCAAUACUUUCGAGUAUAAUAUCUUGAAGCCUCUAUUUCCAUAUCACUAUACUCUUCAAAAUGCACUUAUUGAUUAUAACCAUUCUUUUCAUUUAUUGAUUGCUUGUAACCUUUAUCUCUUUUUUCUUCAUCCUUACAUAAUCUUGCAUCAAUAGCAUGAUUCAUCCCAGCUUCAUCCAUUAAUUAUCUCUUCUUUUUAAUACUAUCAAUAAUAACAUCAUGAAACUCCUUCUUUGCAACUCCCAAAAUCUCUUUCAAUGUAAAUUCCACCUUGGCAUUUAAUACAUAUUCUUCCAACAUCUCCUUUAAAUUUGUUGCUGCUUCAAUAUCAAAAAAUAGCUUAUAAGCUAUUGAUUUAUCUUUAACUUUUGUCUCUUUUAUUUUUUCUUCUAAUUUUAUUAAAGUAUCCUUUAUAGGAAAUUCUUGUGAAGAUGUGUUAUGAGCCUUGUCUCCUCAAGUUUGCCUCUUAAAAGAAUUUUCUUCUCUUAUAUCAUCAAAAUUCCCUCAUCUCUUUUCUUCCAUCAAAGCCUCAUGCUGACUUUUACCAAUAUAUGCAUGAAUUAAAAGAGCUUCUUCAAGAUCUUUUCAACAUGUUGUACCUUGUAUUGUAGUUGCAAUUUUCAACAAUACUUCUCAAGGUAUUUUUUCUUUUUGCAUUGUAGAAAUGGCAAAAGUCGAAAAUCCACUUGUCUCUAUACUUCCAUCAAAGUCAAAAUCUAUCUUGGCACCAUAACUUGUACUAUCUUAUGAUUUUACUUGAUAUUUUACUAAAUAAUCUUGAAUCAAUGCUCUCAUAUCUCUCUUGCCAAAAUUGGUUUGAAGAAGAUCCUCUGUAUCCUUUAAUGCUAUCUUUCCAUCUUUCCAAUAAAUAAUCCUUUGUUAUACCAUAUCAUUAAAUUUAUUGCAAUCCUUCCUAGUAUGAGAAGCAUUAUUACACCAAAUGCACCUUCGUACAUACCUUUGUUUAAAAACACUCUUUAAAUUAUUUGUAGAAGUUUUUUCUUCAAGUCUUACUAAUUUGAAUUGAAGAUCUUGCAUUUGACGUAUAAUUUCUUCAAUUUUCAUAUCUUCUUUUUUUAAUAAAGAUAUUGGAGAUUGAAUAGAAGGCAUUAUUGUUUGUGUUGUAUAUACUUGAAUUUUAGGUGCUUAUAUUAUUCUUGAAAUAUUAAUCUUAUCCUUCAUCUUUUCUUUUUUUGUAAGGAAUCCCAUCGUAUCUUCAACAUUUUUCUACUUUAUUGUCAAUCUUUCAUCUUCUUCUUUAUCUUCAAGAAGCAACUCCAAUUUUUCUUAUAAUUUUCCAUCAAUAGCUUGAAGAAAUAAUUCAACCUUCUUUAGCUCCAAUGUCAAUUUUUUCAUCUUUGAUAAUUAAAAAUACUACCUCUCAAAUUCUCUUAAUAGCUCCAUUGCUUAUAAAUUCUUGCUAUGCUGCUCAAUCUAUUCUAAAAAUAAUUUCUUAGUAACACGAUCAUUGUCCUCUAAGAAAUAUUUGUCUUUUAAUACAUGUAAAAAAGUUUUCGAUGAAUUUCCAUAAUGCUUCAUAAUUGAUGAAACAUGUUUCACUUAUUUUUGAUAUUGUGGCAAGUCCAAAUAGUUCAAUCAUUCUCUUUUCAAAAAUCCAAUUUAAUUCCAUUUUCCAUACAUAAUAUCUUAAAUACUUGGAAAUAUUUCUUCCAUCAAAUUGAUCAAUCUUGUUAACCACAAAUUAUAAUGCUUUGCUUGCCAAAACCUCUUUGCGAUCAUUGCCCUUUUGCUGUUGCAUAAAUAAUGUAAAUGCUUGAAACAUUUUUGUAAUAUUUGGAUCAAAGUACAUACCUUGUUCACUAGUAGAAAAUCCACUUGAAGCUAUACUUGAAGAUCUACUUGUAGCUCCAUUCAAAUCUCCAUCAAAGAUACCAAAUUCAAUCUUUUUGCCUUCUUAUGCCAUCAAUUCCAAAUAACCACAAAUAUGAUCCAAUACCUUCCACCCCAAAUGUUUCUCGUCAGGUUCAUUAGUUAUGCCGUAGUACAUGUUUUUAUAUCUGGGAAUAAACUAAGUAUUUAGCUAUGGAGAACUUAUUUAUGGUUCAAUGGCUUCUUAUUCAACAACCAAUUUAUCUAAAGCAAUCAAAAAUUACCAAAAUUCCAUGCAUACAAUAAUUGCAAUAGUAAUAGUAAUCAAUAGCAGUAAAAGUAAUCAAUAUCCAAUAAAAAUAAUUGGUUUUGGCAACAAUAACGAGUAGCAGUAACAGUAAUCAAUAAUCAAUGAUGAUAAUUGGCUUUAUUAAGAAUAACCAAUAGUAGUAACAGUAACCGAUAGUAGUAACAAUUAUCAAUAAUCAAUAACAGUUACCAAUAACCAGUUACAAUAACAAAUAACCAGUUACAAUAACCAAUAACCAGUUACAAUAACCAAUAGUAAUAACAACAACCAAUAACUAGUAACAAUAACCAAUAGUAGUAAUAGUAACUAAUAACUAGUAAUAAUAAUCAAUAGUAGUAAUAGUAACUAAUAAUUAGUAAUAAUAAUCAAUAAUAGUAAUAAUAACUAAUAACUAAUAAUAAUAAUCAAUAGUAGUAAUAGUAAUCAAUAACUAGUAAUAAUAGCCAAUAAUAGUAACAAUAACUAAUAACCAAUAAUAAUAUCCUCUUAAAAAUUAUAGAACUUUAGCACUCAAUAUUUUUCAAUACAACCGCUGGAUUGAAUUCAAAAUUUUUGAAGAGCAAGAUUAUACUCUUAACUUCUAUCAUACAAAAAAAUCAACUAUAAAUUUAUUACCGAACUCUAAAUAUUGUAUAUUCAGUAGCAAGUCUAGUACAUAUCAUCUUUACAAACAUCCAUAUUUUGCUAAUUCAAUAUUCAAAUGCCACAAAAUUCAUGUAUAAAGUUUAGCAACAUAAAAAUAUAUAUUCUUAAAAAAAAUUAGUGUAAAAUUUAUCAAAUUACACAAGAUAUAGCUCAAAAUACAACCACUAGCAAUUAGAGUCACUUACUACUCCUUAGAUUCCAAGUAUUAACUUCAACUUCUAAUAUCUCUUUGGUCUUCACUCAGAAUUCAUCAAGCAAUAUACAUAAAAUAUAGUUAAGAAAGUGUUCUCUUCAACUCUAAUUGUCAAUCUUUGGUUGCUUUCCAUGCCCAUGUGUUAUAUCAGAAAGAAUGACAAUAGAUAUCCAAUCGAUACCUCCACUUUGAGCACUUAUUUUUCCUUCAUAAAAAUUCCAAAAGAUCCCAAAAUUUUUACCAAAAUCCUAACCAAAAAUCUGAAUCUGCCAAUUCUAGCCUUUGAUGUUCGAAUGCUCCUUGAAUUUUGCCCUAGGCGGUCGUUUUAGUGGCCAAAGGUCUAAUUUUGCCCUUGUCUCACAAAUAGUCGACUCCCAAGUACCAACCUAACCUAUUUUAAGGAUUUUUUUAGUCCAAUCCUAUCCUUAACUUAAUCCUAAUAUCAAAUAUAUUAAUUAUUUAUCUCUUUUAAUUUGAUUUUAUCAAUUUAUAGUCUUUGUAAGGUAGUAAAAGAGUCUCUAUAACUAGAAGGUAAAUUAUUAAUUAACCUUCAAUUUACUAACUAUUAAGAUAAAAAAUAACCUAAGAGGCUUUUAUAAAAGCCAUGUUUAGAUAUCUUUAAUUAUUAUUAAACCAAGAUAAUUAGAUAUUAAUUAGAAUUUCAAUUUUGAUUUUAGUUUCACUAUAUAGUCGUAUUAUAUCAUGACAAUGGCGAGAAAUAAUAUAGCUAUCUAUCUACAAAUAUCAAAUAAUUAGUAUAGAGAAUCCAUAGAAAAAUCUCAUGUAGAGAACUUUAAUUACAAAUUAAUAGAUGUGACUUCAAAAAAUGAGGAUUCAAAACUCAUUAAGGUGAGAUUUUAAUUAAUCAAGGCUAUACAAAGAAGAAGAAAAAUUACCUUUGAUAAUUGGCAUAAAAUUUAAAUCCUUAAGCGUGGCAUAUUGGUUCUCCUACAAGAUGCUAAGAGAUUAGAUUUUUCAAGAAAAUUUGAUGCCAUAUAGUUAGGCCCUUACUUAGUUAAAGAAGUCUUUCCAUAUAAUUUAGUUUGACUACAAAUACUCAGCAAGGAAGAUUUUCCUAUCAUAAUAUUUAAAAAUAGAUAUAAAGAAUAUAGCGUGUGAUUUUUAUCAUAUACAAAGUCGAAUGGCUCAUCCUCAAAUUCAUCCUUAUUCAAUCCCUUAAGUAGAAAAUUAUCAAAAUCAAGUAGAAUUUCGAAGCUAAAACAUUGGAAUUUAAAAUAAGCUAUGGUCAUAUUCAUUUUUCUUGUAUUCCUUUUAAUUUAGUUCUUUCAUCAAAAAAUUAGAAAUAUUCUAACUAAAGAAGAGAAGUACUCCAUGAGACUUUCAUGAAAACUAUAUAUAUAAGAAUUAUAACAAUAUGUCUUAGUAAACAUCCAUAUGACAUAGAAGGGUUGGUCAAGUAAGAGGUUGUUAAGUGAGUGUCUCGAAUUCGAAUCCGGUCAAAAAAAAUGCACUAUCUCAAUGAGCUAGUAUUAGUGUAGGAAAAGAAAAACCUUGACACCCAACAAAUAUAUAGGCUUUAGAAGAUUGAUAGUAAAAUCCUCUCAUAUUAAAGAAGAAUCUAAAAAGAUCACUUUUUUAUUGUUUAGAUCUGAUUUUUUUUUUAUAUACAUAAUCAUUAAGUCUUAGAUUAGAUUAAUUUUUUUUUGUCUUUCUUAUUUAGAUCUAUAGAACAAAAUCUACUUUAGUUACUUUAGAUUAAAAAUAAAUCACUCAUUCUUAUCUUGGAUAGUUGUUAAAAUACUUUUGUAGACAAUUAUUUUUUUUAUUCAAUAUCAUUUUGGAAUGUUAGUUCUAGGUUCUUCUCUUUUUAAAGUUGUCCUAGAUGGUCACUAUGUAUGAAUCAUCAAAUUAACUUACUUGUUGUUUUAGGAUAAAAAUAUAUAUUUAGAAUGCUUUAAAUUAUAAUAUAUAGUGAGUAGUGUAGAAAUCCUUAGAGAAAUAGAAAAUUAGAAUUUUAGUGGUAGAAAUGGAGUCUUAGUAAGUAUUGGAGGUAAUUAUUUUUAUUGAUUUAGUAUUUUUAUUCAUUAUUAAAUAUUAAGGAUUAUUUAUUAAGACCAAUAUUUAUAUUGCUCUUCUAUCUGUAUGUACUACUUAUAAAAACUAUAAAUAUUAGUAGUUAGAAGAAGCAUGAGAAAGAACCUCAUGUCAUUUUAGUUAUUGAUAUAAAAAAAUAAGAUUUAUAGUAUAUUUAAAUUAAUUUUUAUUAUUAUCAAAAAUCAUGAAGGUAGGAAAAUAUAGCCUUAAAUGGAUAUUAAUAUUAUAAAAAUAUUAUAGGAUUUUUUAGAGUUUAUUUAAAAUUUAUAUAGUAUUUUUUAUGAAUAUUUAGAGUAAUUUUUAAGAUCUUGUUAAAAAUGAGUUUUUACCACUUUGGGAGCCUUUAUGAAGAAAUGAAGCAAGAUUUGAAGGCUACACAAGGUUUCCAGGCUAGUAGGAUGAUUUUAAAUACCAUAGUAAAGUUUAAAAUAUAAAAAAAUGAAUUUUACUAAUAGAAAAUAGGAGGACCAGCAACUAGUCUAGUCCUUGUAGGAAAGAAGGUAUACAAGUCCCAUGUGGGUUGUAGCAUUGUGGGUAUAGGUAGGAAGAUAAGACUAAGGCCUCGUGGCUUCUCUAAAUAUCCUUAUACACCACAUGUGAGCCUUGAUGAGGCUUGAACUCUUGAUCUAUAAACAAGUUACUUGUGACGUAAAAUAUUUUUACUUUACUUUUUAAUUAUUUACUUUCUAUCUUUAAUACCAUAAUUUAUUCAUAAUAAUUCAAAUUUAUAUGUUUCUUAUAUCAUUGAAAAGAUAAUAAAAUCAUCUAUUUAAAAAUAUACUUUCUAUUUUUAUUUUUACUUUUUACUAGAUAAAAUAUAGUAAACAGACUAUAACUUAAUUCUAGGUAUUAUAAUUAAUUGAUUUCAUUUCUUUCACUUGUAUUGUAGUUGUUCUUCUUUGGUUUCUUGCCAAUUACAUACUUCACUUCAUACCACCAAUUACAAGUAACUUUUAAUUGAGGCCAUCUUGUAAUUGGGAUUAAAGAGUAAAUUUUACAUUCACAUAGAGUAAAGAGUCUAACAUGUAUGUAAGCUAAUGGGUGACAAACCUCUUUGGUGCUUUGCACCUUAGGAGAUAAUUUAGUAGGAAUUUGAGGAAGAAAAGAAGGAAUUUACUAGUAAAAUUUUAAUCCUAUUAAUUUGAGAUUUAAAAGAUUGAAUUUGCCACUUAUAUUUCAAGCAAAUUAUACGCCGAAUUGGGUAUAAGAGGAUGUGCUUUCCACUGAUUGAAGGCUUAUAAGUUCAUUGGCAUCAUCAAAAAGAUCAAGAACGAUGUGUAUCAUGAAGAAAUAUUAGCAAGGUAUAAUUGGCUUACAGAAUUUACGACCAUUUUGAUAUUUUUCAAGAAAGAUAAGGAUUCUUCUUAGCUAAUUUGGGCUUUUUGAUCACAUUUGCAAAGUUAGUUUGUCAUUUUGACUCUCUAAUUAGUAGGAAUUUGGCGAUUAGCUGUAGCCAAUGAGAUUUGGACUUAUUGCAAGUUGAUGCUUUAUAAUUGGUUGAAGGUUGAGUAGUAGAGUAGGUGACCUUGUUUCCUUUGGACAUUCUCUCAUUUCUCUCUUAAGUGUUUUCUCUCUCUUUUCUCUUUUCUUUUAGAUUUCUCUCCUAAAGUUGUUGUUUUAGAUAAAAACAUUAAUAAAUCACAACCUAAAAUCCACUACAUAUUGCAUGACCAUUGAAUAGGCUUCAAUUUUAUAGUAAUAAUAAGUCUUCAAGGAAAAAUCUAGAUUUUGAUAUAAUAAUGUGCGUCCCAUUGAUUGCUCCAUAUACAGAUGAUAAGCCAUAGAAAUGCCAAAAAUCCAACAUCAUUUGCUGCAUCACUUCUCUUACUGGCCAACAUAUCACUUGUUUGCUCAUGAUAUUCAACGUUUUCACAAACUUUUGAAGUAUAAGACCAAUUGUUGAUCUGCUUAUAGCAAAAUUCUCUCUACAAUUAAGUAUAUUGAUUCAAUAAACUAAUUUAUACAAUACACAAUAAAUCCUAAUUUCAAUCAAUAUACCAUUAUGGUAUUUAGUAUCAUGCUUUGCUAUCAAAAAGCAGAAAUUAUCAAUCGAGUAUUCAUCAUUAUAAAUAUACAUGAUAAAUUCAUUGAACCAUGUUGUGCAAUGAGGCUUUAUCCAAAACCAAAUUCUAUCAUAAAGACAUCCCAUACACACAUGAAUCUACAUAAUAAGAUAGAAAUUUUAUUUUUCUUUUAAAAAAAAUGGUUUCAAGAAUUAUUUUUGUUGCUCGAUGAGUUGAAAAAAUUGCCUAAGACUAUUCUUUACUAUAUUUCUUAGUAUCCUUCAAAGGAUUUUUGUAAUUUUUUUUCUAUUUUUUUAUUUGCAAUUAAUUCAUCUUUAUUAUUAUUAAUUAUAAUAUAAAUUAUAAUAUCUUAUCAUAAUUCUACUAUUUGAUCUCUUGGACUUCUUUCUUUUAGUAACAAUGAUGAUUAAUUGAUUUCUUUAAGCUUAUUGCCAGUUCAUCACCAAUGCAACCUCUUUUUUUUCCCUACUUUAGCUUUCUAUGUUUCUCAGCAUAGUAUAUCAAUUAUUACUUACCAUCACCACAUCUUUAGCUUAAACUUUAUUUCUUUGACUUCUAGCAUUAAUUUAUAUUUCACAACCUAUAGUACUAUGCAAUAGUGUUGAUGUAGUUCAAAAAUUGAUAUAUUUUUGUUUCUAUUGCCCAUCAUAGCAAUUCAAUAAAAUAUCUUAUCUUUUAAUAAAUUACAGCAAUCUUUAGCUACUUCUUUACUUUAUCUACAAUGCCAUCUAGUUAUCUCUCUUUGCCAUACUUCAAACUAAAGCACAAAACUCUCCAAUGCUACUAAUAGUAAUUUGCACACUCAACUCUAAAUGCUCCAAAGUUUUAAAUCCAAAUCCAACUCCAAACUCAAAAUAUCUUCUUUUUCCCUUCCUCCAACCACAAUACAAAAUUCUGCAAUUUUGAUCAACAACAACCUACACACUCAACUCUAAAUGCUCUCAAGGUCUCAAUUCAAUCUUUGCUCCAAAUUCCAAACAUUUCUUCUUAUCCUUCUUCCAUCUAUGGCACAAAACUUUGCAAUCCUAACAAACACCAAUAUGCAAACAAAACUCUAGCUACUCCACUUGACACCUUUGGAUUGAUACUUACUUGACUUAAGUAUCUACAUAAAAAAAGAAGUAUUUAUAUAUAUAUAUAUAUAUAUAUAUAUAUACUCAGAUCCUCCUUCAACACUCAUAACUAGAUUUCUUAAUUAACUUUCAGCACAUCACAACCACCAAUGUUACCCUCAAUCCCUUGGCUCAAAGUUUCACCCCCAAGUCAUUAGAAUAUGAUAACCACUAGAUCUAUGAUACAAAACUUAUCUCUUUUUAUUUCAAAAAUUUAUUAUUCUUUAUUCUUUAAAUACUCCGUAUUCCUUUCUACCAUUCAUAAUAAUAUUGACUUCUAUGCCACAAUAUUUAUAUCCACUGGACACAAAAUUAUACUAUUAUAUAAAUAGUUAUUUUACUUAUAAUGGCUAAAGAGCUAUUGUUCUUUUUUCCAUGCUACAUCCUAUAAUAUCAUCAAAAUUAUUAUUAAUUCUUCAAACACCCACUCUUAACUACUUUCCAUGUCAAAAAAUAUACAAAAUAAUGUCACAAACCUUACAUCACUUAAAACAUUUCACAUCCAUUCUACCUCUAUACACUACAAGUGCAAUCAAUUAAUUUAUCUUAUUAUUUUCUAAAUUAGUUAGUAAGCAAUAUGACCAAAUCUUUUCUCUACUAAUCAAUAUUGACAUCUAAUGGAAGCAAUUCAUUAAUAAUUUAAAAUUAUAAUAUAUAUCAACCAAUACAAAUUAUUCUAAACAAGAUAGAUCUAAUUAUACACAUACUAGCCUAAUAGAUGGCUACUACAUAAAAUCACUGCAUAACCUUCAUUGAACAUCAAAAACUAUAACCAACUUCCAAUACAACUCCCACCAUAAUCUCUUUACUCUUCAAAAUUUCCAUCAAUGCUAUCCCACCAUGCCUCAACUCUUACAUAUACUAGGUCUUAGAAAGCUUCUUGAGAAGUUCCCAUGUUGCUUGGAUACAAAGCAAUCCUACGAUCCUUCAAAAAUCUAAUAGAAUAUUUGAAGAAUUUUUUAGAAUCUUCUAAAAUCUAUUGAAAUAUUUUAAGAAUCUUUUCAAAAUCUUAUUGUUGGAUAUCUGAAACAUAACCUCUACUUCUAAUUCCGAGUUUCAUAAGGAAUUAAAUGUAUUACAUACGUAGAAAAUCCAAAAUAUGCUGAAGUAGCAAAGUAACAUAUUCAACCCUUAGUUCUUGGAUUAUACAUUGAACAAGACCUCACAAAAAACGUCAAUGGCCUCUAGCUAAAAUGCAAAGAUUCGACAUGGCUAUUCUAUUCUACCUUGAAAAAGAUAACUAAAUACAGGUAAAAGUCUACUUAAGGCUUUCCCCUUUUAUGUGCAUUCUUGAGGUAGAAGCUUCAACAAGAAGUUAUCAUAAACAAACUUAGGUUUCAGAUGAUAGAGAUGAUGAAACUCUUGUACCCUUUGCCGUGCACUGAUUAGAUUUUCAGCUGGUUUCCAUGCACGUUCAUUGAUAUCAAAGCCACCCCAAUCGAUAGGGUACUCCAACUUGCCUCACCUACACUGCAAAUCAAGAACCUUUACAACCUCGUACUCCAUGUGGUUCUCAAAUUCAAUCCAAGGCGGCAGUAGAAUGAGAAAAUUGACUAUUGAGAAAUGGACUGAUUCCGUGGUCAUCCGCCCGGCGUUUAGGGGUUUAUAAUGAGAUGCAUAUCAUUUGUUCCAGGCUCGCGUUCUAUUGGUCUCCACCAUCUGCCAGAGAUAUCGGCAGCCUACAUCAAGUUGUGUGUGAGGUGGAGCAGGUUCCUUUCUCAUUUUUUAAUUCAUCUCCCUCAAUCCUAUUCAUAGGAUUUAAGGGACCCAAUCUUAAUAAAACCUCAAUGAUUUCAACGAGAGCCAUGCUUUGUAGAGUCCACGUCGGAGAAUGUGGACAUUACUGCCACCACUCUGUGCUCGGUCAAGUGACAAGAAGGAUUGCACGAUUUCGAUGCAAAUCGAAGCAGGAGGUGAAUCAGUGACCAAGGUAGCACCUUAACUCUCCAACCCCCAUUUUCUCCACGGCAGGGCGGCUGCCGUUCAAGGGUGAAACGCUACGCAUCGACCAUGUACACAUUUGAAAAGCACAAUACAGCCAAGUUCGUGAUGUAACUGUGAAAAUCAUUCUUGGAACAAAGACUUUUGGCAGGCACUGGAACAUGAUAUACAACUUGAGAUUUACCGUAAUCUGAUGCUGGGCCGCAAAUGGAGGAUAUAAAAAGUAAUAUUCUGAAAGCGACUGUAAACCACAUUGUAUCAAUCUGCAAUGCUCAUGCAACGCCAGCGUAGCGCAGAAUCCAACGACCAUCCCACACGAGCUGCGCAUGUGAUUAUUUAUAAUUUUUCAAGAUGCCGCCUAGGGAAGGCGGUGGCUCCCAAUCCAGUAUAAGGGUGUCGUUGAGAGGCACGGAGAUCCCAAGCUUGUGCUGCACUUGAUGCAUGGUACCUCAAUCCCCUCAUCCUUCCGUGCUGCUCUACGUGCUCCUGCCUUGCCGAUCUGCAUCCUUUGCAGCGCAGAUCUAAUUCACGAUGGCCAGCCAUGGCAAAGCGGUGGUGCUGGUGCUGGUGCUGGUGCUAGUGGCGGCGACGGUGGUGGUGCCGCGGGCGGAGGCGCGUGCUCUAGUGGACGAUGGCGGGGAGCGCCCGGCGGAGCGCAUGAGCCCCUUGAUCACUGACCUCCAGGCAGUUGUGUGCAAGCAUUUGGGCUUGGCCUGCGCAGGCAAUGGCGAUCCACACAAUUUACAGUGUCAAAAGUUAUUUUGGCAUUGUGGAAGGGAUUAUGCGCCAUGCUGCGGUAGUAUGCAGUGCAAGUGCAUUGGGGAUUUGUGUACGUGUGAACUGGUUUAAUGUAGAAGGCAGAUAUUGGAAACGUGUUUGAAUUGCCAUGACUGAAGCUUUUAUGAUGAGCAGUGCUGCAGUCGGGUUUGCAUUCCAUUCCUGGAUGUCAGCCCUCUUGCUUACAGAAUGUUGUGAGAGUGAGUCUAGACGGCAGAUAUUCGGGAUACGAUGCUUCCUUAUCGAGCUGUAAUCAAGCCAUGUAGUACUGUCUACAAUAAAGUUGCAAAACUACUAGGUCAACUGUGGCGCCAUUCUGUGGCAUUUGAACUAAUGUAAAGUUACAAGACUACUUGGUCAACUGUGGCGCCAUUCCGUGGCAUUUGAACUAAUAGAAAGAGCCAUUUUGUAUGCAAUAUUGCACCUUUCUGUCUGGAAUUUUGCGUCAAUUUUGUGUCAUAUUGUCGUGUAGUUGACAAACACCUCAAUUUAGUAGUGGGAGACUAUGGGAGCCAAAAUUGUAAUAAAAGUUGAUCAUCGUGCAGUGUACUUUGAUUUUUUUUUCCUCCUUUGGUGAAUACGUAAUUUAGUCGACCAAAAUGAUCUUUGUUGCAUUUGAGUUCAACUUUCAAAAUGAACCUCAUAAAGUCUUCUUCUUACUCCAUAUUGAAUUUUUUUGAAAAUUCUUAAAAUUGACUGUUUCAUAGUAAUUAUAAGUUCUGCAUCCAGGAUAACAUAAUUUGGUUCUUUUAGGGUGUCUGGUUGAACUGAGAGGCUGUACAUUACCUUCUGCCGACCUCUUCGCUAGUUUGAAUGCACGAGGCUGUGUUUGGGUUACUUCAGCCCCCCGAUGUACUGAACUUCUACUCUGCAUGGCUUGGGGCUCAUGCUGACGCCUUGUGUAAUUGGGAUACUAGUCUUAUAUUUGUUAACAGAUUAUACAAGUACUUUUAUUGUUAUACAUACAACAUUUUAUAAAUUAUGAUUUUAAAUAUUAUACCAUUUAUGAUGCACAAAUUAUUAUAUUUAUGUAAUAUAAUAUUAUAUAUAUAUAUAUAUAUAUAUACAUAUAUGUGUAAUUUAUAUUUAUACAUAUUAAUAUAAUUAUAUAUAGUAAUUAUAUAUUUAAUCUAUAUAAUGUUAUAUUUAUAUAUUUUAUAAUUUAUAUAAUUAUUAUAUAUAAUAUUAUAUUUUAUAAUAAUAUAUAUAAUUAAACAUACAUAAUAAUAUGUUUAUAUUCAUUUUAAAUAUUAUAAUGUAUAUACAUAAUAUAUUUAUUAAUAAAUAUUUAUACAUAUGAUAUUAUAUUAAUAUUAUAUAUAUUAUUAUAAUAUAUGUAUUAUAGUUUAAAUAUAAGGAAGCAAUAUAUAGUUCUGGCCACAAACUCAUCUCGGGACAACUUGGAUUUACACUACCAAAAAAUAAGGAAAAUGACCAUGGGAGUUGAUGUUACCAAAAGCGCUAUAAAAGUGUCAUAGAGGAUAAGGUUUCAUGGUCCAAGUUCAUUUUAAGUAGGUCAAGCACAAGACGUCGGUUAGCCGCAAAACCGAGAGACUGUGGGCUUAACUCCUAAAGGACAAUUGUCCCAAAUUGGGCUUUUUGCAUUUUUAGGCAGGCUUGUUUGAAGUCAAUUUGAGGUGUAAUAUUCUGAAAUCUUUUUUGGAGGUGCGGGAAUGUAAGAGCUUUGUGGUGACAUAAUCUUUUUUCAUGCCCAACCUUCUCAAAAAUAGAUAUUCUGUAAUAAGCUAUUUUUUUGAUCUUGGGGCAAUUUGACCUCAAAAAAAAUUGACCUCAAAAACAAUUUGCAUGUAUAUUAGUAAUGUUUUGGACCUUCUUUCAUUACAAGUUUUUUUUUUUUUUUUUUUUUUUUUUUUUUAAUAUGCUAUAAUCCUCUACUAGUUCUAAAGAAAUUGGUAUGUAGGUAAUUUGCAUGGUCUUCUUUAUGUUGGUCAAGUACAAUCAACUUUGUUAGUGCAAAAAUUUCAUUUUACAAGAAGUCAAGGUAGGCUGAACUUGUCGGCUGGGAUGCCAAAAAGAUUCUUAUUUUGAACUUCAAAUGUUGUAAUCUUCCAAUCCGUGUAGCCAAAUUAUAUGAAACAAAUAGCACACAUUUCUCUAGUGGUCUAAUUCAAGAUGCUAUGAUUAUAGAAUAGAAAAACUAUUUUUUGAAUAUUUUCACUUUUUGCACUAGAAAUGGCAGAUUUGGAGUAGUUUUUAGUGAAAUAUAAUCAAGGAACUUUAGGGGUUAAAAAGCAACAAAAAAAUUGCUAUGAACUGAAAAUUGUCAUUUUUUGAAGUGGUUUUUAAAUUCUUGGUAGGAUAAUUAGACCCUUCUAAAUUCAAUUUUGUAGUUAGUUUCUUUAUUUGAUGUCAUUUUUGACAUAUUUAGGCAUUGAAUAUAUAGAAAUAGCAUUGUUUUAGUAAAUUUUUGUGACCAUAUCUUACAAACUGUACCUUAGAUUACAAAGUAUUUUUAUAUAUUACAAAUCACAAUGGUCCAAUUAGUCUAGUUGAAUUGAUUUUAAUUUGUAUUUUGAUAUUUUUAUUAUUGAGCCUAUUAUCAGAAACUCUAUAUUUCUCAUUCAUCUUCAAUAGCCAUACAAGGAGCUAAAGAAGCAACUUUAUGUUAUAUUUCAAAAUUCAGAAUGUAUAAUUUUUGCAUCUUUAACAAGCUUGGAAUUGAAGGACUAAGAAUUACCUCGUAAAGCGCAAGGAUAAGAAGGAGAGUCAAGGUUGUAGCUCCUUAAGCAACAUCAUCUUUACUCAUUUGUCUACUUACUUAUGAAGUUGCCUUGGAAGUCUCACAAGUCUUUCAAUGAUCUCUAUAUCUAGAAACUCAAGAAAGUUAGAGAAGAACAUACCAUCUCCAACUAGCACAAAUUCUUCUAACCUAUUGUAACAUCAGAACCAAUACUUUGGAUACUUAAAUUGAUUAUGGUUACGAGCAUCAAAAGAAUUAUUAAAUCCAAAUGUAGAUCGAGAAUUAGAACUAAUCUCAAAUGUUUAUGUGCUUCUCUACACAAUUUUAUUCAUGUGGGGCUUUUAGGACCUCCUUUCUUCAUUUCAAUGAGAAGUACAAUUUUGGCUAGUAAAUAUGCAAAGUUGUAUUAAUUUAAAAGAAGAUAUUUCCCUCUUCAUACAAAUAACUAUAAUUCGUUAAAGUAAGGACAGAAACACAUGGAUAUAAAGGAUAAGCAAUAGAUUAAGAUCUCCAUGCUUAUGGCCUUAGACAUCAAUCUACUGGUAAGAAAUUGGAAGUGAAGGGCAUUGAAAUUUGGCUUUGAAGAUCUCAGCUUCGAAUUCCUUGAAGGACAAGGGAUAUAGGAGAUCUAUGCAAUGGCUAUCUUAUAUAAUCAGUGGCAUGCUUUGUGCUCCUUAUUGAAGUGACAAUAGUGAAAGGACAAGGCUCAAGGUCUGCAACAUCAAACCUAAUUCUUUGGCAAGCCACUUGCCACUUAUGACUAGUUUGGCAUCAAAGUCCAUCAUCACUUCUAAUGAUAUAGUAUGAAUGGCAUUGCCAUUGUGCGACUGAUAACAAAUACAUUGUUGUCAUUAAUCAACUGCACCAUGCGUAGUCAUAUGCUAUGAUGCUCACAAGAAGAUCUAGUUAUAAUGUCAACUAAAUAAACCACUAUCAUAGCCAAAGGUAUAUUAGAUAAAGGAUGUGGCAUUGUCUGUUGUGAAACAACCUUAUCAAAAACUGCAAUGGCUUCAACUGUAAGUCUUGUAUGUAAUUUAGCCAAAUCUUCUUCUAUAGAAGGCUUAGUGAUAUCCUAAGCUACUUCCAAAGAUGAAAUGGGCUCCUUAUUUUCUAACAUCUUACUAACUAGAUGAAAAACUCGAGCUAGUGUAAAAUCUAGAAUGAACAUGUCAAUGGAAAAAAUACAUAGGCAUUUGUAAUUUUUUGUAAGUCAAAAUAUAUGUUGAGUCUUUAAUAGUAGCUGUUGCAUCUGGUGCUAUAAUUGGAACAUGAGACCGACUUAAAAAAGUAGUAUUUGUAAGUCCAAAUGAUAAUAGCAAUUGAGCUUGGCCAAUGUAAUUCGAUGUACCACUAUUAUGAGUGCGUCCAAAAUUUCUAGAGUCAUCCACAGGUUAUAUCAUUAACUUGGCUAUUGUCUAGGCAUAGAUAGUAGCUACCAUUGUCAUAUUACGUGCUAUCUUGCUUGAGAACGUGUGAAGCAUCUGGCUGUAGGAGGUAGUAUGGUAUUUCGCUAGUAUUCAAGCAGUCUAUCGUGUUUUUGACUACCCAAAUACAAUCUACAUCGGAUUGCAAUGUAAAAGCUUAAUUCCAAUAUAAAAUGUCUAGAGACCCUAUAUAACUUUAAUCUUUUUUUUAUUUUUAUUUUAUUUUAUUUAUUUUAUGUUUUUUACUUUAUCUUUAUCAUUAAUUAUCUUAAUCCUAGACCGUGAACUUUGGCAAGCUGUGAUCCUCAAUCUAUCAUUCCGACUUGUUGUGAAACAUCUAUCUCUAGUGUCUCUGUAAGCCCUUUUAAAUGCUCAAGAAGUUCCAGUUCAACCCCGCUUACAGAUUGUGAGACUAUGUUGUAAUCCGCAACGAUGUCUCUUGGCCGCUCGCCGAUAUUCCUCUUAUCCCUAUCGAUAGGUCCCCAGUUUUCACAGAAACUCUAAACAACCCCCGAUUUGCCAACUUCCAAAACCUCUUUAAACUGUUGGCAGAUAUCCUCUAUCCGUACAGCCAGAUUAACACAACCACACAUGCAUUCAGCAUACUCAAUCUUCUAGACAACUCUGAAUUUCAACCACAGAAGUAUCUCCCAUUUCAUCAAUAAUCAAGAGUACAAGCCUUUUCUCUCUUUCGGAAAAAAAAUCCAGUUCACCAAUAUAACAUUGACUUUCAACAACGAUUGCCUCAGUCUUCUCAAAUGGUGCUAGAGUAGAUGAUGAAAUUGGUGGAAGUACGGAAAUUAGUGAGUUUUGGGCUUCUGCCGUUUCUACAAUGCAAGAAGGGAAAUUACCUCGAGAAGCGUUAUUGAGGACUUGUCAAGGACAAAGACUCGAUGAGGAAAAAUAUACACCAAAAGGCUAUCUCGAUAUAAUAAGUCAAAAUAUAAACAAGUAGGUAUAUUAAAAGGAAACUGGAAUGGCUAUUGCCACAAGACAAGAAACUAAAGACUCUUGAACCUGGACUAGAAGCAAGAAAGGAGUUGACAAGAGUGAAGAAGCCUUCACUCUUGUCUCUAUAUAUACUAUCUAACUAGGGGCUACAUGGCGACGUUCUAUAGGACCUCCAAUAUGUGUUGACUUUGUAGGACACAUGCCUUGACUUACAAGGCAAGUUUUUCUACGUGUGGGCCACAUAGUUAGCUUGAUCUUCAAGCUAACAACAUGUGUGGCACAUGGCCAACUUGUUGACCACGUUUCUAAUCCAAAAAGUCAAUUAAAGACACCUAUGAAGUCAAAGCAGCAUCUAGGAAGUUUCUAGGAAGCUUCUAUAUUAAAUAUUAUACAAUUAACUUACUUUUAUCUACUUUUACUUACUUCUACCUAUUUCUAUAUGUAAUUAUUAGCUUACAUGAUUAUGGCCGUGACAUUACCCCCCCUUCUAGAGACGAGUUCCACGAGGAGCGGUCAUCAUAUGUUGAGGAAAUCUAUGAUGCGACGAAUUAUAUUCGCCACAUACUCUGAUCUCUGUUCUCUUCGAAGAUGAUUGAUAGGGCCUCUCAACCAUCGGUAGUGUCCCAUACCAGGGCGGGAAGACCACCCAGUUAUUUGAUCAUUAUUGAAGCCUUCAUAACUUCCUUCGAAUAGAAUAUUCGAAACACCAUCAGGAGUUGUUCCUACCUCUAGCAAAAUCACCAAACAUCGGGAGUCCCUUCCCAAAUCGUGAUACCAAACGCGUUGUAUCUCACCAUCUGUUCGAGGAAGAACAUGUCGUUCUUGAAGAUCUUCAUCUCGAUUGCGUCGUCUUGAAGGUUGUGACAAUCGUAAUGUCUCGUCCGACAGGUCAGCAAACGAAGGUUCUUGAGUUGAAUCCGCUAGUUGUUGGCUCUCCAUCUAAUUAGCGUCACAAAUGUAAAGAAGUUACAAACAAGGAUAGGAAAUUGAAUGUUAUCUUGCCUCAAUCUUGUCUCUUUUAUAAGAGAGAUUUUCAUCUUGGUUUUGAUGGAUGUCGUUGAUGAAAAACUUUGACUUUAGCUGAUGCAUUUGCUAGAUUCCUAGAUGGCUCUCAUGUGCGUUCACUAAUAUCAUAUCCGCGCCAAUGAACAAGAUAUUUCAGCUUAUUUCGGCGCCACCUUGAGUCUAAUAUCUCUUCCACCUCAAAUUCUUCAUUAUUAUCUACUUCUAUAGGAGGCGGUGGCAUUUGUCUUCUUCCUUGUAUAUCCACUGUCUUAUAUGGUUCAAAAAGAGAUACGUGGAAUACAGGAUGGAUCUUCAUUGACUCCGGUAGAUGUAACCGAUAUGCAACUGGGUUGAUCUGUUCAGAAACAGAAAAGGGGCCAAGCCUACGAUAGUCCAACUUGUCACAAGGUCGAGUAGUCUUGAUAUUGCGACAAAGUAGCCAUACCUUAUCACCCACGUUGAUUUGUGGUUGCUCCUUACGAUAUAGAUCUGCGUUUAUCUUUUGUCGUUCUUGAGCUUCCUUCAAUUGUGUCUUCAUUAUUGCAUGUAACUCUGACAACCGAUUUGCCAUAUCUUCUGCUGCAGGAUUAUCAACUUUUGAAAAAUCAAAAGUAUCAAGUCGUGGAUGAUAGCCAUAAUUGGCAAAGAAAGGUGUUUGUUGCGUGGAAGAAUGUACCGUAUUAUUAUAAGCAAACUCUGCCAAUGGCAGAAGGGUUGUCCAAUUAUCUUGUUGGUAGUUGAUAGUACACCUUAAAUAUUGCUCCAAGACUUGGUUUACGCGCUCUGUUUGUCCAUCAGUUUGAGGAUGGAAAGCCGAAGAUAGCUUUAUGUCCACUUUUAAAAUCUUGAAAAGGGUCCUCCAAAAUCUUGACACAAAUUGAGUUCCCCUAUCCGAUAUGAUAUCUUUAGGUAAUCCAUGAUAGCGAUAGAUAUUAUCAAUAAAAAGCUUAGCUGUUUCUUCACCUGUGAUAGAUUUUGUACAUGGCACAAAAUGUGCCAUCUUGGUGAAACGAUCUACUAUCACAAAUAUAGAAUCAUAAGAUCUUGAACUUGGAAGAUCUGUGAUGAAAUCCAUAGAAAUAGAAGACCAUGGUUGUUCUGGUAUAGGUAAUGGCUGAAGAAGUCCGUAAGGUUGAUGACGAGGAAUUUUUGAUCUUGAACAAAUAUCACAUGAUUGUACAAAGUCUUUGACUGACUUCCACAUUUGUGGCCACCAAAAAUCUCUUGAUAUGAGUUCCAAAGUCUUAUUAUAUCCAAAGUGCCCUGCUGCUGGAAAGUCAUGACGUGCUUGAAGAACACGUAAACGUGAUUCUCCUUCUGGAACAUAUAGGCGUCCUUCAAAAUAUAAUAGAUUAUUCUUGAACUCAAAUUUAGAAGGAUCAUGAGACUUGGAAGAAUUAUUCUCGAUAUCAUAAACAAGAGGAUCUGAGGACAUACUAGAAUGGAUUUGCUUGAGAAAAGUUGAAUCAACAGUCAAUGUUGAUUUCAUUGCUCGGAGAUGAAAUUGCUCCGGUUUCAAGAGGACCGUUCUUUGUUGCUCAAAAGCUGCAUCUCCUUCUUUUGGUGCAAAAUAAGAACGUCUAGAUAGGGCAUCGGAUAAACCUUGUUGUUUUCCUGGCCGAUAAGUGAUAAUGAACUCGAAUCUUGACAAAGACAUACUCCAACGAGCUUGACGACGAUUCAACACGCGUGCUGACAUGAAAUACUCGAGGUUCUUGUGAUCUGUAUACACAGUGACUGGACUAAAAGCGCCUUCUAGAUAAUGAUGCCAUUCUUGAAAGGAAUCCACAAUCGCAAGAAGUUCUUUAUCGUGGAUUUCAUAAUUGAUCUCGGCUGCUGAGAAUUUUCUUGAAUGAAAAGCUAUCGGAUGGAGUUUGUCAUCUGUUCCCAUUUGUGAUAAAACUGCACCCAAGGCAAAAUCUGAUGCAUUUGUUUCCAUAAAAAAUGCCUUAGAAAAGUCAACACGAUAUAAGACUGGUGCAGAGACAAACGAUGUCUUCAAGGCUUCAAAUGCUGCUUCCGCUUCUUGAUUCCAUUGAAAUUUAUCUUUACUAGUCAAGCGUGUAAGUGGAGCUGCAACUCGUGAGAAAUCUUUGAUGAAGAUCCGAUAGUAAUUGGCAAAUCCCAAGAAACAUUGGACAUCUCUUACCGUCCUUGGAAUCUUCCAAUCCACGAUUGUUUGGACUUUCUUAGAAUCCAUCAUGAGACCAUCAUUUGAAAUGAUGUAUCCUAAAAAGUCAACUUGAGUAGUGUGAAAUACACACUUUUCCAUCUUGGCGUACAAUCCUGCAUCUCUAAGUUUUUGUAAUACUUGACGAACAUGUAUUUCAUGUUCUUCGACGUUCUUGGAAUAGAUCAGGAUAUCGUCUAGAUAGCAGACGACAAAAUUGUCUAAGAAUUCACGAAAUACAUCAUUCAUGAGAUGUUGAAAAGCAGCUGGUGCAUUCGUGAGUCCAAAGGGCAUGACAUUAUAUUCGAAAUGUCCAUACCUGGUUCGAAACGCAGUCUUCCAUUCAUCUCCUUCUUUGAUCCGUACUAGAUUAUAUGCUCCUCUUAGAUCUAUUUUUGUAUAGAUCUUAGCUUGAUUCAACUGGUCAAGGAGUCCUGAUAUCAAAGGUAAUGGAUACUUGUUCUUGAUUGUGAUCUUGUUGAGUCCUCGAUAAUCAACACACAUUCGUAAAGAUCCAUCUUUUUUCUUUAUGAAUAGAAUCGGAGCUCCUGCUGGAGAUUUUGAAUGGCGUAUGAAAUUCUUCGCUAAAUUCUCGUCAAUAUAUGUCUUGAGUUCAGCCAUCUCAUCUUGCGAUAAACUGUAAAUUGGUCCAAAUGGUGGCUGAGUUCCUUCCUUGAGGUCGAUUGAACAAUCAUAUGGACGAUGCUCAGGAAGAAUAUCUACAUUCUUUUUUUCAAAAACGUCUUGAUAUUCCUGAUAUUGACUUGGAAUGCCACUUGAAGUCUUUACGUUUUCAGAAAUAGGUGCAGCAUAAAUAGCAAAAGUUGAUCCUUCUUUUGCUGCGUGUAUAAAUGCUUUUGCACCUAUCAGUACGGGUUUUACUGUACUAGACUUAUAAUUUUUUACUUGGUUCGUAGAACUAUUAAUAAUGCUUUUGGAAAAGUCAAGUUUACGCGAAUUCCAAUCUAUUCGAGGAUUAUAUUUUUCUAGCCAGGAUAAACCUAAAAUAACUGGAUUGGACGGGGAUUUAAUUAUGUUAAAAGCUAUGUAGCUAUCAUGACCGUCUAUUGUUACUUUUAUAGGAUGAGUUUCAUGAGUGACAUCUCCAGAAGACAAGGGACGACCAUCUAUGACUUCUACAUGUACUGGUUUAGGUUUCUGUACAAAGGGUAUUUUACGACUUUUAACAAAUUGUUCAUCUAAAAAACAUGCUGAGGCUCCCGAAUCUAAUAAAGCAGAGGCUUUGUAAUUCUUAGGUUCUAAAUAUAAGUCUAUUAUAAAACAAGGAGAGGGUUCUGAGGAGAGGAUAGGACCUUCAUUAGGAAUUGUACAAGGUUCCAGCUGCACGGUCCCUAUUGUAGCUGGACGAAUCCGUUUUCCGACAUGUUGUCUUCUUUGACCGUCGUACCCCUCAUUUUAUAGUUGCGUCGUUUCUUUGGACAAUGUUGAGCAGUGUGCUUAGGUUCUCCACAAUAUAAACAUAAUCCUUCUUCACGACGACGAAUCUUUUCUUGCUCAGUUAGAGGUUUAAAACGUACCGCGUCAAUUUGCAUGUCUUCUACUUCUGAAUGUAUGUUUGGCAAAGAUGUUGAUGUUGCCAUUGAGUAAUAAUGUUGAGGUUCCCGUGAAUGAUUCUCAGAUCGAAAUUCAAAAAGUCGAUUAUCACAUUUUACCGCAAAAUCGAUUGCUUGACUCAAAGUUUGAGGAUCAGGUAAGUUGAGCAUCAAUUUCUUUACUUCGUAUUGCAAUCCAUAAAGAAAUUGACUGAUGAGUGCAGCAUCAUCCCACUUGAUGUCAAUUGCAAGUUGUCGAAAUUGUGAAGCAUAUACUGUUACUGAGCGAUUUCCUUGUCGCAGAAUUCGGAUCUUAUUUGUUGCAACACGAGUUGCAUCGUGUUCACCAUACAUAGAUCGAAACUCCGCCAAAAAAGCUUCCAAAUUAUCCAAUAUUGGAUUUCGUUGUUCAAGAAAAGACGAAAACCACGAUAAUGCAGAACCAGAAAGUAGAGUGCCAAUAAACCUGACUUGUGAUCCUGGAGUUGGAUAGCUUUGCGGUUGAAGUUCAAUUGCCAAUUGUACUUGAUUGAUGAACCCUCAAAACUUUGAUCUCGUACCAUCAAAUUUCUCAGGUAAGGCAAUUCUUGGUUCUCUAGUGCUUAUAGGGUGUUGUACAAUUGGAGAAGGAACGUGAUUUGUUGUAGAUGUUGAAGCAGCUCCGAUCAUCUCUAUAUCUCCACUUUCUGCUAUUCUUGUUCUUUCCUGUGUUGGUGAAUUGAGUUGAUGCAUCGCAAGCAUUAACUCCCUCAUUUGCUCUUGCAUUUGUGCCAUUGCACUCUUCAUUUUAACAAGCUCUGCCAUAAUGAUACUAAGAAGAAAAAUUUGUUUGAUAUUGCUCAAGACAAAAGAAAAGAAAGACUUGAUAACAAAGAAGAUACUAAGAACAAUAUCAGUUUAGAAGUGGGUAAUCCGCAAACUUCUAAUACGCUUAUGUCUUGUCAAGAGAAAGAGGUAAUCCACUCUUACUCAAGAAAAAACAAAGCUCUGAUAUUGUAAGUGUACUCUUGUCAAUCUGUCAAGGACAAAGACUCGAUGAGGAAAAAUAUACACCAAAAGGCUAUCUCGAUAUAAUAAGUCAAAAUAUAAACAAGUAGGUAUAUUAAAAGGAAACUGGAAUGGCUAUUGCCACAAGACAAGAAACUAAAGACUCUUGAACCUGGACUAGAAGCAAGAAAGGAGUUGACAAGAGUGAAGAAGCCUUCACUCUUGUCUCUAUAUAUACUAUCUAACUAGGGGCNNNNNNNNNNNNNNNNNNNNNNNNNNNNNNNNNNNNNNNNNNNNNNNNNNNNNNNNNNNNNNNNNNNNNNNNNNNNNNNNNNNNNNNNNNNNNNNNNNNNNNNNNNNNNNNNNNNNNNNNNNNNNNNNNNNNNNNNNNNNNNNNNNNNNNNNNNNNNNNNNNNNNNNNNNNNNNNNNNNNNNNNNNNNNNNNNNNNNNNNNNNNNNNNNNNNNNNNNNNNNNNNNNNNNNNNNNNNNNNNNNNNNNNNNNNNNNNNNNNNNNNNNNNNNNNNNNNNNNNNNNNNNNNNNNNNNNNNNNNNNNNNNNNNNNNNNNNNNNNNNNNNNNNNNNNNNNNNNNNNNNNNNNNNNNNNNNNNNNNNNNNNNNNNNNNNNNNNNNNNNNNNNNNNNNNNNNNNNNNNNNNNNNNNNNNNNNNNNNNNNNNNNNNNNNNNNNNNNNNNNNNNNNNNNNNNNNNNNNNNNNNNNNNNNNNNNNNNNNNNNNNNNNNNNNNNNNNNNNNNNNNNNNNNNNNNNNNNNNNNNNNNNNNNNNNNNNNNNNNNNNNNNNNNNNNNNNNNNNNNNNNNNNNNNNNNNNNNNNNNNNNNNNNNNNNNNNNNNNNNNNNNNNNNNNNNNNNNNNNNNNNNNNNNNNNNNNNNNNNNNNNNNNNNNNNNNNNNNNNNNNNNNNNNNNNNNNNNNNNNNNNNNNNNNNNNNNNNNNNNNNNNNNNNNNNNNNNNNNNNNNNNNNNNNNNNNNNNNNNNNNNNNNNNNNNNNNNNNNNNNNNNNNNNNNNNNNNNNNNNNNNNNNNNNNNNNNNNNNNNNNNNNNNNNNNNNNNNNNNNNNNNNNNNNNNNNNNNNNNNNNNNNNNNNNNNNNNNNNNNNNNNNNNNNNNNNNNNNNNNNNNNNNNNNNNNNNNNNNNNNNNNNNNNNNNNNNNNNNNNNNNNNNNNNNNNNNNNNNNNNNNNNNNNNNNNNNNNNNNNNNNNNNNNNNNNNNNNNNNNNNNNNNNNNNNNNNNNNNNNNNNNNNNNNNNNNNNNNNNNNNNNNNNNNNNNNNNNNNNNNNNNNNNNNNNNNNNNNNNNNNNNNNNNNNNNNNNNNNNNNNNNNNNNNNNNNNNNNNNNNNNNNNNNNNNNNNNNNNNNNNNNNNNNNNNNNNNNNNNNNNNNNNNNNNNNNNNNNNNNNNNNNNNNNNNNNNNNNNNNNNNNNNNNNNNNNNNNNNNNNNNNNNNNNNNNNNNNNNNNNNNNNNNNNNNNNNNNNNNNNNNNNNNNNNNNNNNNNNNNNNNNNNNNNNNNNNNNNNNNNNNNNNNNNNNNNNNNNNNNNNNNNNNNNNNNNNNNNNNNNNNNNNNNNNNNNNNNNNNNNNNNNNNNNNNNNNNNNNNNNNNNNNNNNNNNNNNNNNNNNNNNNNNNNNNNNNNNNNNNNNNNNNNNNNNNNNNNNNNNNNNNNNNNNNNNNNNNNNNNNNNNNNNNNNNNNNNNNNNNNNNNNNNNNNNNNNNNNNNNNNNNNNNNNNNNNNNNNNNNNNNNNNNNNNNNNNNNNNNNNNNNNNNNNNNNNNNNNNNNNNNNNNNNNNNNNNNNNNNNNNNNNNNNNNNNNNNNNNNNNNNNNNNNNNNNNNNNNNNNNNNNNNNNNNNNNNNNNNNNNNNNNNNNNNNNNNNNNNNNNNNNNNNNNNNNNNNNNNNNNNNNNNNNNNNNNNNNNNNNNNNNNNNNNNNNNNNNNNNNNNNNNNNNNNNNNNNNNNNNNNNNNNNNNNNNNNNNNNNNNNNNNNNNNNNNNNNNNNNNNNNNNNNNNNNNNNNNNNNNNNNNNNNNNNNNNNNNNNNNNNNNNNNNNNNNNNNNNNNNNNNNNNNNNNNNNNNNNNNNNNNNNNNNNNNNNNNNNNNNNNNNNNNNNNNNNNNNNNNNNNNNNNNNNNNNNNNNNNNNNNNNNNNNNNNNNNNNNNNNNNNNNNNNNNNNNNNNNNNNNNNNNNNNNNNNNNNNNNNNNNNNNNNNNNNNNNNNNNNNNNNNNNNNNNNNNNNNNNNNNNNNNNNNNNNNNNNNNNNNNNNNNNNNNNNNNNNNNNNNNNNNNNNNNNNNNNNNNNNNNNNNNNNNNNNNNNNNNNNNNNNNNNNNNNNNNNNNNNNNNNNNNNNNNNNNNNNNNNNNNNNNNNNNNNNNNNNNNNNNNNNNNNNNNNNNNNNNNNNNNNNNNNNNNNNNNNNNNNNNNNNNNNNNNNNNNNNNNNNNNNNNNNNNNNNNNNNNNNNNNNNNNNNNNNNNNNNNNNNNNNNNNNNNNNNNNNNNNNNNNNNNNNNNNNNNNNNNNNNNNNNNNNNNNNNNNNNNNNNNNNNNNNNNNNNNNNNNNNNNNNNNNNNNNNNNNNNNNNNNNNNNNNNNNNNNNNNNNNNNNNNNNNNNNNNNNNNNNNNNNNNNNNNNNNNNNNNNNNNNNNNNNNNNNNNNNNNNNNNNNNNNNNNNNNNNNNNNNNNNNNNNNNNNNNNNNNNNNNNNNNNNNNNNNNNNNNNNNNNNNNNNNNNNNNNNNNNNNNNNNNNNNNNNNNNNNNNNNNNNNNNNNNNNNNNNNNNNNNNNNNNNNNNNNNNNNNNNNNNNNNNNNNNNNNNNNNNNNNNNNNNNNNNNNNNNNNNNNNNNNNNNNNNNNNNNNNNNNNNNNNNNNNNNNNNNNNNNNNNNNNNNNNNNNNNNNNNNNNNNNNNNNNNNNNNNNNNNNNNNNNNNNNNNNNNNNNNNNNNNNNNNNNNNNNNNNNNNNNNNNNNNNNNNNNNNNNNNNNNNNNNNNNNNNNNNNNNNNNNNNNNNNNNNNNNNNNNNNNNNNNNNNNNNNNNNNNNNNNNNNNNNNNNNNNNNNNNNNNNNNNNNNNNNNNNNNNNNNNNNNNNNNNNNNNNNNNNNNNNNNNNNNNNNNNNNNNNNNNNNNNNNNNNNNNNNNNNACCAAACUUUUUUUCUUAAGAGGUAAUCCACUCUUACUCAAGAAAAAACAAAGCUCUGAUAUUGUAAGUGUACUCUUGUCAAUCUGUCAAGGACAAAGACUCGAUGAGGAAAAAUAUACACCAAAAGGCUAUCUCGAUAUAAUAAGUCAAAAUAUAAACAAGUAGGUAUAUUAAAAGGAAACUGGAAUGGCUAUUGCCACAAGACAAGAAACUAAAGACUCUUGAACCUGGACUAGAAGCAAGAAAGGAGUUGACAAGAGUGAAGAAGCCUUCACUCUUGUCUCUAUAUAUACUAUCUAACUAGGGGCUACAUGGCGACGUUCUAUAGGACCUCCAAUAUGUGUUGACUUUGUAGGACACAUGCCUUGACUUACAAGGCAAGUUUUUCUACGUGUGGGCCACAUAGUUAGCUUGAUCUUCAAGCUAACAACAUGUGUGGCACAUGGCCAACUUGUUGACCACGUUUCUAAUCCAAAAAGUCAAUUAAAGACACCUAUGAAGUCAAAGCAGCGUCUAGGAAGUUUCUAGGAAGCUUCUAUAUUAAAUAUUAUACAAUUAACUUACUUUUAUCUACUUUUACUUACUUCUACCUAUUUCUAUAUGUAAUUAUUAGCUUACAUGAUUAUGGCCGUGACAGGACUGCAGCUAGAAUACGAGGUAGAACGGGUUGUGAGGAUCCUGUUGACUCUCUUUCAGUUCAUGCAUAUAUUGCUAAGAGCCAACAUGAAGCUUUGAUAGAAGAAAAGAGACGAGGAAAUUUUGAUGAUACGAGAGAAGGAAAUUCUUCUAAGAGGCAAACUCGAGGAGACAAGGUUCAUGAGGCAGCUUCACAAGAAUUGCCUGUAAAGGAUACUUCAGCAUCAUUGGGAGAAAAAACAAAGGAGACAAAAGAUAAGGGCAAAUCAAUUGCUUAUAUGCUACUUUCUGACAUUGAAGCGGCAACAAAUUUGAAAGGGGUGUUGGAAGAACGUAUAUUAAAUGCUAAGGUGGAAUUCACAUUGAAAGAAGUCUUGAGAAUUAUAAAGUAGGAGUUUCAUGAUGUCAUCAUUGACAGCAUUAAGCGAAAGAAGCAAUUGAUGGACGAAAUUGGAAUGAGUCAUGCUAUUGAUGUAAGAAUAUAUAAAGAUGAAGAAGAGGUUGAUAUUGGUUACAAGCAACCAACAAAUGAAAAGAAUGGGUAUAAUCAACGAGUACAUUUCGAAGAUUCUAGUGACAAGGAAAUGAAAACUUUGAGCCAUUAUACUCGAAAGCAUUGGGCAAGGGCAACUACUGAGGUAUUAGUGAAAGUAGGAGACAUAGAAGAACCAAUUGUUACUUUAGUUGACCAUGGUUCUGAAAUAAAUCUUGUGUCUAAAGAUCUUUAUAAGAAGCAAAAAUGGCAAAUUGAUAUGGAACAUGGAUGGGCAAUUCGAGCAGCUAAUAACACACAGGGUGAAUUAUAUAGAGCUUGUCCAGAUGUCAAAAUUCGGAUUGGGGAUGUUGCGACGGAGCAACAUUUCUUUGUUCAAGAUACAACGUCUUAUCCGUUGAUUUUAGGACAACCUUAUAUUAUGACAACACGGAUGGAAGCAAAAGUACUGGACGAUGGUUCUGCUUAUGCAAGGGUACGGAGCGAGGAUGGGAGGAAAGCUGUACAAUUUCUAACAAUACCUCCUAACCAUGAACGGAAUCGAGAUAGGUUGAGGGAGAAAGAAUUGCCAAAGAUUGUUGAAGGAUUUAAGGAUUUUGGGGAGGUACCACUAUAAAGCAAGAUUAUGGAGGUACAAAUGAGGAGGUACUCUCGCGAGAUGAAGGUGCCUUUGAUGCGAGUUUUAUUGGUAUAUUGGAGAAUGGAAAUAUUAUGUAUAAGAAAGUUGAUGAUUUUUAAAGAAAAGAAAAAAAAAGAUUAUAUGAUAUUGAAGGAGAAUUACGCAAGUUAGGUACAUUACAAGAUAAUGAGAGGAUUUUAGGUAUUUAUGAAGAAAAUGGACUGAAAGAUUCAUUGGAAUUGAUUACAUCUAUUGGGUUAGGAAUAAUGAUAAGAUUGUUGAGAUUCAUUCAAGAGAGGUUUAUACCAUAUUUGAAUCUUUUCAAGCACCAGAAGUCACUGUAGAGACGAGAUACAAAAUGGUAGAUAAGAAGGUAAAGCCUAUUGCCGGACCAUUACUAGAAGAUUCUAAAGAACAAAUGGGAGAAGUAUCAAAAGAAGCAAGUUUAAGAGAUCCAAUGAGUAUUGGACAUCAGUUUACUAAAGAGACUUUUGAAGAAUUGAAGAUUGGUUCUGAUGGUUCUUUAUUGCCAGAGGAAAUUACUUGCUUCAAAAAGAUGUUGGCUAAACAAGGUAGAUCGUUUGCCUUCGAAUCUCAUGAAAUUAGAUGUGUGGAUCCAAAUAUUAUAACACCUAUGGUUAUCUUCACUGUACCGCAUGUACCUUAGAAUCUAAGACCGAUUCCAGUACCGAGGGUACAUUUACCUAAAUUGGUGGAACUAUUAAAAGAAAAGAUAAAGAUAAAAAUAUUGGAACCUUCAUUUGUGCCAUAUUCUAGUCGAUGAUGUACGAUACCUAAGAAGAAUGAGUCACUACGGUUUAUUCAAGAUAUGCAACCGGUGAAUGCAGUAACUAGUAGGAAUGCAAGAAUUGGAGCUAUUGUGGAUGAAUUUGCUGAGGCGUUUGCUGGAAGGGCGAUCUAUUCAAUGGAUGAUUUGUAUUCAGGUUAUGAUCAAUUUCAACUUGUCGAAGGAAGUAGUGAUAUGAAAACGAUGAGGACACCACUUGGAUUGGUUAGAAUGUGCACUCUUCCUCAAGGGGCGACCAACUCAGUUGCGCAUAUGAUGAAUGGGAUGAAUAAGGUAUUGAGAGAUUUUAUUCCAGAAAAGACUAUGCCUUUUUUGGAUGAUGUUCUUAUAAAGGGGUGCUGAGAAAGAGACGAGGAUGAAACUUUAAAUACGAGGGGGUGUCGCAAAUAUGUUGUUGAUCAUAUACAAGAUUCUGAAAAGAUUUUAACUCGGCUUGGAGAAGUUUAUCUUACAUUAUUAGGUAUGAAGUCUGUAUUUGGAGUACGAGAGGUUGUAAUUGUUGGACAUUUAUGUGGAUCUUAUGGAAGAAAACUAGAUCCGACUAAAGUUGAUGCAAUUAGAAGGAUGAAAGAGGAUUGUGAUUCUUUAACAGAGGUUCGCAGGUUUUUUGGUGCAUGUGUAUUUUAUCGAAUCUGGAUCCCUCAUUUUGUUCACAUAGCGGAUCCAUUAUAUGAACUGUUACGCAAGGAUUAUGGAUUUAAAUGGGAAGAAAGGCAUAUUCAGGCAAUGCAAAGAUUGAAGAAAUUAUUGAUAUCACCUCCAAUAUUGAGGAAGGUUGAUUAUAAGUGCAAUAGACCAGUGGUUCUUACUGUGGACGCUAGUCCAAUUGCCAUUGGAUGGGCUGUGGGUCAAGAUGAUUCGAAUGGGAAUAGAUUUGCAGUUCGAUUUGAGGCUAAAGUUUUAAGUAUUCGUCAGCAUGCAUAUUCGCAAGUCAAAAGAAAACUUUGGAGAGUCGUUUCGGCUAUGAAAGCUGAAAAGGACUAUUUGAUUUGGGUAGUAGUAGUAAUUGAAACAGAUUGCUUGCCAUUGCUUGGAAUGAUUAUUAACUGUUCAACGCCAGAUAUUGCAAUGUUGAGAUGGAUUGCUUAUAUUAAGUCACUAAAUCCAGAAUUUAAGCAUAUUACUAAGAAGGACUAUUUAGUAGUAGACAUGCUAUCUCGAGCAAGAUACGAGAGGGAGGACGAAAUGGUUGAAGACAUUGAUGACAUCGGAUUGAAAUUCUAUUCAAUAUCAAAUCUCAACAGAGAAGACAAGCUAUUUCUUGAAGAAUCUUAUGAAGGAGAAUUAUUGGAUAUUGGUCAUUACUUGAAUACCUUGACUAAGCAGGGGAAUCGGUCUACAGAAAAAUUCAAACAAAUAAGAAAAAAAGCAUAUGGAUUUUUAUUUCGAGAUGGAUUCUUAUAGAAGAGACCAAAGAAAGGAAUUGGAAUGCCACGACGAGUGAUAGGCAAAGAAGAAGAAAAACUAAAAUUAUUGAAGGAGUUUUAUGAUAGUUUAUGGGCAGGGCAUAGAGAAAUCUGGGCUACUUUUGCUAAACUCAAGGAACGAUAUUGGUGGAAAAAUAUGUAUUGAGAUGAGCUCUCAUUUGUAGAGUCAUGUAAAAUCUGUCAAUCGUAUUCUAAUAUCCGACAUCGAGAUGGUCUUCAUCCUACGUAUCCUUUGGCUAUUCAUUUUAAAUGGGUUGUUGAUUUGGUUAUUAUGCUGGUUGGGUUAUGGUAGAUGAGAUAUUUGGUUUUAGCUCGUGAAGAUUUAUCAAAUCAAGUAGAAGGAAGAGCAUUGAGGACAAAAUCUACAGAGGGGAUUUAUAGGUUUUUGCUUGAAGAUGUCAUUUGCCGCUACGGAUGCAUAGGAAAAAUCACUGCAGAUCGUGGAGAAUUAAAUGCACAAGAAGCUCGUAAGUUCUUUGAAAGAUGUGGAGUUAAACUAUCACUGACUAUUGCUUAUAAUCCGGAAGGGAAUGCAAAAAGCGGACGCGGUCACCCACCGAUUGUGAAAGCAUUAGUUAAAGCUUGUAAUGGGAAAGUUAAAGAGUGGCCACGGCUUUUGUCAUUUGCAUUAUGGGCUCAUCGAACAACACAUAGUUCGGUGACAGGAUAUAUGCCAGUAGAACUUAUGACAGGUCAAAAACCAAUUAUGCCGAUUGAAGAAAAGGUACUUACUUGGAGUAUGCUACCAUGGGAAGAUGGAUUGACAAGAGAAGAACUUCUGGCUAUUAGGAUUCGACAAUUGGAGCAAAGAACGGAAGAUGUCCAGAUAGCAUUGGGAAGGUUAAAAAGAGCAAGGUUACAAAACAAGGCGCGAUUUGAUAAGCAACAUCGAUUGAGACCAAAAGCAAUCGAGGAAGGUGACUGGGUACUUGUUUAUGACAAUAGUCUGGAUAAUCAACAUAGUACUUUGCGGAAAUUUUCAAAACGUUGGUUUGGACCAUAUGUUGUAACAACUGUUCAUGAUAAUGCGACUUACUCAUUACGGGAGUUAGAUGGUACAAAAUUGAAAAUACCAAUUGCAGGGAAGCGAGUAAAAAUAUUUAAACGAAGACACGCAGAGAUGAAUAUGGAAGAUCUUAAUGAAGGUAUAGAGAUUCCGCAGCAAGAGAUUGAAAGUGAUUUGGAUAAUGAAGGUGACGAAGACGAACUGGACAAAGACGUAGAGGAUAUAUUCUGAAUCAAACACUAAUUGGAUAAAUUGGUGCAUACCGGAAGAUGCACAGGUUCAAAGGGGGUGGAUGUCGUGUUGUAACACGAGUAUACCGUGAAAAUAUAAAAAAAAGGGACUUUUAUUAAUAUUCAGUUACCUCGAAUAUUGGGAGCAACGACCAACUCCAGUGCAAAUACUGAGUGGUCAGGUUCAGUCACUCCGUUACAGUCAGCUGGGGCAUAUUGAAAUGCUCCAUUCGAUUCUAAUAACGGGAGUCAACAGGAAGGGAAAGGACCAAUUCACGCGACUGGUGAGCCUGGUUCGAAGAGCCAAUUGGAUCCAAUUUUGAGAAUCCAAUCUGGGUCCUCUUACCUAAUAUGAGACCUGAAUUGGUCGGGUAAUCCAAUGCAGUCUAAUUACGGGAAAAUCCGGGUCUUACUACUCGACUCUUAUCCAGUAUGAGACCUGAAUUGGUCGGGCGACCCAAUGCAAUCUAAUUAGGGGAAAAUCCGGGUCUUACUACUGGACUCUUAUCCAAUAUGAGACCUGAAUUGGCCGGGCAACCCAAUGCAGUCUAAUUACGGGAAAAUCCAGGUCUUACUACGGGCCUCUUAGUCAAUCUGACACGAGGACCAAUUUGACCCAAUUAUGGGAACAUCUAGGUUAUUACGGGCAUCUUAUCCAAUAUGUGACCUGAAUUGGUCGGGCGACUCAAUGUGGACCCGAGUACGGGGUUUGGAUUCUGUUUCAGGCUGUCCUAUUCUCUGUGCUGUUUCAGGGAACGUUGUUUUCGGUAAAUAGAUCUCUUAAAGGUAAAAAUGAAGGAGGAAGCUCUGACAACGGGAGUCAAUUUUGGAUCUAAGCUCUGACGAUGGGAGCCAAUGCCGGAUCCAAGACAGAAGAUUGAAGAAAUUCAGAGGAUAAGAUUAGGGGGAGAAUAAGUUUUGGGGGGGUUUUUUUUUCAGUGGGAAGAUCAAAGGGGGAUUGGAGAGGAGCUUCAUGCUUCGGGUCGGGGAAGAAAAGAUGGAGAAUUGGAUUUUUCUUCUUCAUAGAGUUUUGGGAAGAUUGAGGCAAUCGUUGCUGAAAUCAGUGUGGUAAUGCUGAAUCUGGAUUUUUUCAUGAAUUGGGUUUGAUUACUCUUGACUGUUUUGUGAAAUCGAGUUACGUCUGUGAUUGAAGAAUUAAAAGGGUGUCUAUAGGAUUGAGUAUGCGAAGUGAAUGAAAUUUAUUGGAUUAAUCUAACAAGACAGUCAGUGGAUACAAGAUCGUAAGUACAAAGCAAUAUCAGAGAUUAGCAGAUUGGGUUGUUCGGGGUUCUCUGUAACGUCUAGAGACCUACCGGCUGUGGCAAAUAGGAAUUCGAUAAGCAGUCGAAGGGCAUUCGUAUAGAUUUAUGAUGUAUUCUUGCAGUCGUUUAUAUUCCAGCAGUCAAGAACUGAUAGACUGUUUGACUAUUGACGAAUCUCCAUACUACCUUCUACAGCCAGACGCCCGGCGCGUUCUCGAGCAGGAAAGCAUGUAAUACGACAACGGGAUGACUGAACGUGGCCUCUUAGUAUUUGCACUAGAAUUGGCCACCGCUUCUAAUACCCAAGGUGACUAAAUAUUAAUAAAUCUUCUUCAUUUAUAUUUUCAUCAUAUAGAUGUGUUACAACACGACAUCCACCCCCUCUGAACCUGUGCAUCCUCCGGUAUGCACCAAUUAACCUAGUUGUCGUUUAAUUCAAAAUAUGUUCUUCAAAUCUUUGUCUAGUCCAUCUCUACUGUCUCUACUAUCCAAAUCAAUUUCAUCUUCCCACUGCGGAAUAUCUAUGUCUUCAUUUAGAUCUUCUAUAUUUAUUUCUACAUAUCUUUGUUUAAACAAUUUCACUCUCUUCCUUACACCCUUUUAUAGGAACAUCAUCCAGAAAAGACAUAGUCUUCUCUAGAAUAAAAUCUCUCAAUAUCUUAUUCAUCCCAUUCAUCAUAUGUGCAACUGAGUUGGUCGCGCCUUGAGGAAGAGUGCACAUUCUAACCAAUCUAAGUCGUGUCCUCAUCGUUGUCAUAUCUCUACUUCCUUUGGCAGGUUGAAAUUGAUCAUAACCUGAAUACAAAUCACCCAUUGAAUAGAUCGCCCUUCCAGCAAACGCCUCAGCAAAUUCAUCCACAAUAGGUCCAAUUCCUGCAUUCCUAACAGUUACUGCAUUCACCGAUUGCAUAUCUUGAAUAAACCGUAGUGACUCAUUCUUCUUAGGUACCGUAAAUCAUCGACUAGAAUGGGACGCAAAUGAAGGUUCCAAUAUUUUCAUCUUUAUCUUUUCUUUUAAUAGUUCCACCAAUUUAGGUAAAUGUACCCUCGGUACUGGAAUCGGUCUUAGAUUCCAAGGUACAUGUGGUACAGUGAAGAUAACCAUAGGUGUUAUAAUAUUUGGAUCCACACACCCAAUUUCAUGAGAUUCGAAGGCAAAUGAUCUACCUUGUUUAGCCAACAUCUUUUUGAAGCAAGUAAUUUCCUCCGGCAAUAAAGAACCAUCAGAACCAAUCUUCAAUUCUUCAAAAGUCUCUUCAGUAAACUGAUGUCCAAUACUCAUUGGAUCUCUUAAACUUGCUUCUUUUGAUGCUUCUCCCAUUUGUUCUUUAGAAUCCUCUGGUAAUGGUCCGGCAACAGGCUUUACCUUCUUAUCUGCCGUUUUAUAUCUCGUCUCUACUGUGACUUCUGGUGCUUGAAAAGAUUCAAGCAUGGUAUAAACCUCUCUCGAAUGAAUCUCAACAAUCUUAUCAUUAUCCCCUAACCCAAUAGAUGUAAUCAAUUCCAAUGAAUCUUCCAGCCCAUUUUCUUCAUAAACACCCAAAAUCCUCUCAUCAUCUUGCAAUGUACCUAUCUUGCGUAACUGUCCUUCAAUAUCAUAUAAUCUUUUUCUUUCUUUUCUUUUAAAAUCAUCAACUUUCUGAUACAUAAUAUUUUUAUUCUCCAAUAUACCAAUAAAACUCGCAUCAAAGGCACCUUCAUCUCGCGAGAGUACCUCCUCUUUUGUACCUCCAUAAUCUCGCUUUACAGUGGUACCUCCCCAAAAUCCUUAAAUCCUUCAACAAUCUUUGGCAAUGGUUUUUCCCUCAACCUAUCUCGAUUCCGUUCAUGGUUAGGAGGUAUUGUUAGAAAUUGUACAGCUUUCCUCCCAUCCUCGCUCCGUACCCUUGCAUAAGCAGAACCAUCGUCCAGUACUUUUGCUUCCAUCCGUGUUGUCAUAAUAUAAGGUUGUCCUAAAAUCAACGGAUAAGACGUUGUAUCUUGAACAAAGAAAUGUUGCUCCGUCGCAACAUCCCCAAUCCGAAUUUUGACAUCUGGACAAGCUCUAUAUAAUUCACCCUGUGUGUUAUUAGCUGCUCGAAUUGCCCAUCCAUGUUCCAUAUCAAUUUGCCAUUUUUGCUUCUUAUAAAGAUCUUUAGACACAAGAUUUAUUUCAGAACCAUGGUCAACUAAAGUAACAAUUAGUUCUUCUAUGUCUCCUACUUUCACUAAUACCUCAGUAGUUGCCCUUGCCCAAUGCUUUCGAGUAUAAUGGCUCAAAGUUUUCAUUUCCUUGUCACUAGAAUCUUCGAAACGUACUCGUUGAUUAUACCCAUUCUUUUCAUUUGUUGGUUGCUUGUAACCAAUAUCAACCUCUUCUUCAUCUUUAUAUAUUCUUGCAUCAAUAGCAUGACUCAUUCCAGUUUCGCCCAUCAAUUGCUUCUUUCGCUUAAUGCUGUCAAUGAUGACAUCAUGAAACUCCUUCUUUACAAUUCCCAAGACUUCUUUCAAUGUGAAUUCCACCUUAGCAUUUAAUAUACAUUCUUCCAACACCCCUUUCAAAUUUGUUGCCGCUUCAAUGUCAGAAAGUAGCUUAUAAGCAAUUGAUUUGUCCUUAUCUUUUGUCUCCCUUGUUUUUUCUUCCAAUGAUGUUGAGGUAUCCUUUACAGGCAAUUCUUGUGAAGCUGCCUCCUGAGCCUUGUCUCCUCGAGUUUGCCUCUUAGAAGAAUUUCCUUCUCUCGUAUCAUCAAAAUUUCCUCGUCUCUUUUCUUCCAUCAAAGCUUCAUGUUGGCUCUUAGUAAUAUAUGCAUGAACUGAAAGAGACUCAACAGGANNNNNNNNNNNNNNNNNNNNNNNNNNNNNNNNNNNNNNNNNNNNNNNNNNNNNNNNNNNNNNNNNNNNNNNNNNNNNNNNNNNNNNNNNNNNNNNNNNNNAAGAGCAGGUUACAAAAAAGGCGCGAUUUGAUAAGCAACAUCGAUUGAGACCAAAAGCAAUCGAGGAAGGUGACUGGGUACUUGUUUAUGACAAUAGUCUGGCUAAUCAACAUAGUACUUUGCGGAAAUUUUCAAAACGUUGGUUUGGACCAUAUGUUGUAACAACUGUUCAUGAUAAUGCGACUUACUCAUUACGGGAGUUAGAUGGUACAAAAUUGAAAAUACCAAUUGCAGAGAAGAGAGUAAAAAUAUUUAAACGAAGACACGCGGAGAUGAAUAUGGAAGACCUUAAUGAAGGUACAGAGAUUCCGCAGCAAGAAGAUGAAAGUGAUAUGGAUAAUGAAGGUGACGAAGAAAAACUAGACAAAGACGUAGAGGAUAUAUUCUGAAUCAAACAGCAAUUGGGUAAAUUGGUGCAUACCGGAGGAUGCACAGGUUCAGAGGGGGUGGAUGUCAUGUUGUAACACGAUUAUACAGUGAAAAUAAAAAGAAAGGGGAAUUUUAUUAAUAUUCAGUUACCUCGAAUAUUGGAAGCAUCGACCACCUCCAGUACAAAUACUGAGUGGUCAGGUUCAGUCACUACGUUACAGUCAGCUGGGGCAUACUGAAAUGCUCCAUUCGAUUCCAAUAACGGGAGUCAGCAGGAAGAGAAGGACCAAUUCACAAGACGGGUUCGAGGAGCCAAUUGGAUCUAAUUUCGAUAAUCCAAUCCGGGUCCUCUUAUCCAAUAUGAGACCUGAAUUGGCCGGUCACCCAGUGCACUCUAAUUACGAGAAAUCCAGGUCUUACUACGGGUCUUAGCCAAUCUGACGCGAGGAGCAAUUUGACCCAAUUACGGGAACAUCCAGGUUACUACGGGCAUCUUUCCCAAUAUAGGACCUGAAUUGGUCGGGCGACUCAAUGUGGUCCCGAUUAUGGGGUUCGAUUCUGUUUCAGGCUGUCCUGUUCUCUGUGCCGUCUCAAGGAACGUUGUUUUUGGUAAAUGGAUUUCUUAAAGGCAAAAACGGAGGAGAAAGCUUGACGACGAGAGCCAAUUUCGGAUCCAAGCUUGAGGUGGGAGCCAAUUCCGGAUCUAAGACGGAAGAUUGAAGAAAUUCAGAGGAUAAGGUUAGGAGGGAUAUAGUUUUAGGGAGGGUUUUUUUUUGAGGGGAAAUCAGGGGGGAAGGAUUUUUCAAGCUUCUGCAAGGUUACCAGUUCGGUUUUUUUUAUUGGAGGUUUUUGAAGAUCAAGGGAAUUAGAGAGAGGAGCUUCAUGCUUCGGGUCGGGGAAGGAAAGACAUAGAAUUUGGAUUUUUCUUCUUCGUAGAGUUUUGGGGAAGACUGAGGCAAUCGCUGCUGAAGUCAGUGUUGUAAUGGUGAAUCGGGAUUUUUAAAUGAAGUGGGUUUGAAUACUCUUGACUAUUUUGUGAAAUCGAGUUACGUCUGUGAUUGAAGGAUUAAAAGGGUGUCUAUAGGAUUGAGUAUGCGGAGUGAAUGAAAUUUAUUGGGUUAAUCUAACAAGAUAAUCAGUGGAUACAAGAUCGUGAGUACAAAGCAGUAUUGAAGGUUAACAGUUUGGGUUGUACGGGGUUCUCUGUAACGUCUAGAGACCUACCGGCUGGGGCAAAAAAGACUUCGACAAGCAGUCAAAGAGCACCCGUAUAGAUUUACGGUACAUUCUUGCAGUCGUUUAUAUUCCAGCAGUCAAAAACUGAUAGACUGCUUGACUAUCGACGAAUCUCCAUACUACCUUCUACAGUCAGACGCCCGACGCGUUCUCGAGCAGGAAAGCACGUAAUACGACAUGAGUGGUGAACCAGACGUGAAAGCUUGAGGUAGAAGGUAUUGGAUUUCGGUUGAUUUUAUCUUUAUUUUUAUGGAAAACGAAAAUAAAAAUUUUGAAGGAUUUUUGGGAGAAGUUUCUGGUGGGGAGUCUUCUAAAGGACAAGGUAUGCACAUGGAUCCGUCUAUUGCUAGUUUGUUUCAAGCCUUCUCAUUGUCAAUGCAGCAAAAGCAAAGCAAUGAUCGAAAGGAAGCUUUGGCAACCAAAGCAUUGCAAGCAGUGGUCAAUAAAAUUGAUCAAUUUGAUGGGAGGAAUAUUUCAAGGUAUUUAAGAUGUUAUAUUCGUGAAAUGGAAUUAAAUUGGGUUUCUGAGAAGAAAAUGGUUGCACUAUUUGGACUUGCUACGAUACCGGAGAUAAGGGACCACAUUACAUCGAUUACGGAUCGUUGUGGGAAUUCAUGGGAGGAUUUUUUACAUGCAUUGAAAGACGAAUAUUUCUUGGAAGAUGCUGAUCGCGUUACUAAGAAGCUGUUUUUGGGAUGGAUUGAACGGCCCAAUAAGACUUUACAAGCAACAGAGCUACUAAGGGAAUUUGAGAGGCAGUACUCUCAAUUAUCGAAGGUAGAAAAAUUGACAUUGGAGCCGAACAAAGUUGAUCUAUUUCUUCAAGCUGCUGAUGGAGAAUUGCAAGAGAAAUUAGAACCCCUUCUUGAAGACAAAGAAGAAGAUGAAGGAUUGACAACGAAGUGGAAGAACAUUGAAGAUGCGGUGGGAUUGCUUACAAAAAAAGAAAGGAGGAAGGAUAGGAGUAAUAUUCCGAAACCAGUACAAGCACCCAAAGCUCCAGUACGUACUACAUCACCGACAAUGCCUACAGUUCAACCUUCGACAUCCUUGUCAAAGAAAGCAGAUAUGGGUAUGGAAGAAAUUAUACGAGGAAUGCGAGAUCUUCAAAUCAAAUUGGCAAGACUUGAAGAGAAUACUUCUAUAAACAAUUCGAAGAAUGUUUCCAAACAAGGAUAUGUACAAAGAUGCAUUUAGUGUGAUGAUGCUUCACACACUAGAAAAGAUUGCAAUGAAUUUAAUAAUAUGAUACGGCAGGGAAUUAUUUGCUGGAAAGAUGGGAAGAUAGCAUUGAAAGAUAGGGAGGAUCUUCUUCAAACCAAUUUUGGCAAGGGAGGAAUGAGAGCAUUGGUUCAAGAUUACUUAAAAGGGCAUGAAACAGUAGCACGUGAAAGUGCAAGUUAUGGUGCUAGAGUAGAUGAUGAAAUUGGUGGAAGUACGGAAACUAGUGAGUUUUGGGCUUCUGCCGUUUCUACAAUGCAAGAAGGGAAAUUACCUCGAGAAGCGUUAUUGAGAACUGCAGCUACAAUACGAGGAAGAACAGGUUGGGAGGAUCCCGUUGAGUCUCUUUCAGUUCAUGCAUAUAUUGCUAAGAGCCAACAUGAAGCUUUGAUGGAAGAAAAAAGACGAGGAAAUUUUGAUGAUACUAGAGAAGGAAAUUCUUUUAAGAGGCAAACUCGAGGAGACGAGGCUCGGGAGGCAGCUUCACAAGAAUUGCCUGUAAAGGAUACCUCAGCAUCAUUGGGAGAAAAAACAACGGAGACAAAAGAUAAGGGCAAAUCAAUUGCUUAUAAGCUACUUUCUGACAUUGAAGCGGCAACAAAUUUGAAAGGGGUGUUGGAAGAACGUAUAUUAAACGCUAAGGUGGAAUUCACAUUGAAAGAAGUCUUGGGAAUUGCAAAGAAGGAGUUUCAUGAUGUUAUCAUUGACAGCAUUAAGCGAACGAGGCAAUUAAUGAGCGAAACUGGAAUGAGUCAUGCUAUUGACGCAAGAAUAUGUAGAGAUGAAGAAGAGGUUGAUAUUGGUUACAAGCAACCAACAAAUGAAAAGAAUGGGUAUAAUCAGCGAGUACGUUUAGAAGAUUCUAGUGACAAGGAAAUGAAAACUUUGAGCCAUUAUACUCGAAAGCAUUAGGCAAGGGCAACUACUGAGGUAUUGGUGAAGGUAGGAGAUAUAGAAGAACCAAUAGUUGCUUUGGUGGACCAUGGUUCUGAAAUAAAUCUCAUGUCUAAAGAUCUUUAUAAGAAGCAAAAAUGGCCAAUUGAUAUGGAAUAUAGAUGGGCAAUACGAGCAGCUAAUAACACACAAGGCGAAUUAUAUGGAGCUUGUCUAGAUGUCAAAAUUCGGAUUGGGGAUGUUGCUACGGAGCAACAUUUCUUCGUUCAAGAUACAACGCUCGUUAUCCGUGGAUUUUAGGACAACCUUAUAUCACGGCACACGGAUGGAAACAAAAGUACUUGACGAUGGUUCUGCUUAUGCAAGGGUACGGAGCGAAGAUGGGAGGAAAGCUGUACAAUUUCUAACAGUACCUCCUAACCAUGAACGGAAUCGAGAUAGGUUGAGGGAAAAACCAUUGCCAAAGAUUGUUGAAGGAUUUAAGGAUUUUGGGGAGGUACCACUGUAAAGCGAGAUUAUGGAGGUACAAAAGAGGAGGUACUCUCGCGAGAUGAAGGUGCCUUUGAUGCGAGUUUUAUUGGUAUAUUGGAGAAUAAAAAUAUUAUGUAUCAGAAAGUUGAUGAUUUUAAAAGAAAAGAAAGAAAAAGAUUAUAUGAUAUUGAAGGACAGUUACGCAAGAUAGGUACAUUGCAAGAUGAUGAGAGGAUUUUGGAUGUUUAUGAAGAAAAUGGGCUGGAAGAUUCAUUGGAAUUGAUUACAUCUAUUAGGUUAGGGGAUAAUGAUAAGAUUGUUGAGAUUCAUUCGAGAGAGGUUUAUACCAUGCUUGAAUCUUUUCAAGCACCAGAAGUCACAGUAGAGACGAGAUAUAAAACGGCAGAUAAGAAGGUAAAGCCUGUUGCCGGACCAUUACCAGAGGAUUCUAAAGAACAAAUGGGAGAAGCAUCAAAAGAAGCAAGUUUAAGAGAUCCAAUGAGUAUUGGACAUCAGUUUACUGAAGAGACUUUUGAAGAAUUGAAGAUUGGUUCUGAUGGUUCUUUAUUGCCAGAGGAAAUUACUUGCUUCAAAAAGAUGUUGGCUAAACAAGGUAGAUCGUUUGCCUUCGAAUCUCAUGAAAUUGGGUGUGUAGAUCCAAAUAUUAUAACACCUAUGGUUAUCUUCACUAUACCACAUGUACCUUAGAAUCUAAGACCGAUUCCAGUACCGAGGGCACAUUUACCUAAAUUGGUGGAACUAUUGAAAGAAAAGAUAAAGAUGAAAAUAUUAGAACCUUCAUUUGCGCCGUAUUUUAGUCGAUGGUUUACGGUACCUAAGAAGAAUGGAUCACUACGGUUUAUUCAAGAUAUGCAGCCGGUGAAUGCUUUAACUGUCAAGAAUGCAGGGAUAGGACCUAUUAUGGAUGAAUUUGCUGAGGCGUUUGCUGGAAGGGCGAUCUAUUCAAUGAGUGAUUUGUAUUCAGGUUAUGAUCAAUUUCAACUUGCCGAAGGAAGUAUAGAUAUGACAACGAUGAGGACACCGCUUGGAUUGGUUAGAAUGUGCACUCUUCCUCAAGGCGCGACCAACUCAGUUGCGCAUAUGAUGAAUGGGAUGAAUAAGGUAUUGAGAGAUUUUAUCCCGGAAAAGACUAUGCCUUUUCUGGAUGAUGUUUCUAUAAAAGGGUGCAGAGAAGGAGACAAGGAUGAAACUUUAGAUACGAGGAGGUGUGGCAGAUAUGUUAUUGAUCAUAUACAAGAUUGUGAAAAGAUUUUAACUCGGCUUGGAGAAGUUCAUCUUACAUUAUCGGGUAUGAAGUCCGUAUUUGGAGUGCGAGAGGUUGUAAUUAUUGGACAUUUAUGCGGAUCCUAUGGAAGAAAACUAGAUCUGACUAAAGUUGAUGCAAUUGGAAGGAUGAAAGAGGAUUGUGGUUCUUUAACUGAGGUUCGCAGGUUUUUGGAUGCAUGUGUAUUUUAUUGAAUCUGGAUCCCUCAUUUUGUUCACAUAGCGGAUCCAUUAUAUGAACUGUUACGCAAGGAUUAUGGAUUUAAAUGGGAAGAAAGGCAUAUUCAGGCAAUGCAAAGAUUGAAGAAAUUAUUGAUGUCACCUCAAAUAUUGAGGAAGGUUGAUUAUAAGUACAAUAGACCAGUGAUUCUUACUGUAGACGCUAGUCCAAUUGCCGUUGGAUGGGCGGUGGGUCAAGAUGAUUCGAAUGGGAGUAGAUUUGCAGUUCGAUUUGGAGCUAAAGUUUUAAGUAUUCGUCAGCGUACAUAUUCGCAAGUCAAAAGAGAACUUUGGGGAGUCGUUUCGGCUAUGAAAGCUGAAAAGGACUAUUUGAUUGGGGCAGUAGUAGUAAUUGAAACAGAUUGCUUGCCAUUGCUUGAAAUGAUUAUUAACUGUUCAACGCCAGAUAUUGCAAUGUUGAGAUGGAUUGCUUAUAUUAAGUCACUAAAUCCAGAAUUUAAGCAUAUCACUGGGAAGGACAAUUUAGUAGCAGACAUGCUAUCUCGAGCAAGAUACGAGAUGGAGGACGAAAUGGUUGAAGACAUUGAUGAUAUCGGAUUGAAAUUCUAUUCAAUAUCAAAUCUCAACAGAGAAGACAAACUAUUUCUUGAAGAAUCUUAUGAAGGAGAAUUAUUGGAUAUUGGUCAUUAUUUGAAUCCCUUGUCUAAGCAGGGAAUUGGUCUACAGAAAAAUCAAACAAAUAAGAAAAAAAGCAUAUGGAUUUUUACUUCGAGAUGGAUUCUUAUAGAAGAGACCAAAGAAAGGAAUUGGGAUGCCACAACGAGUGAUAGGCAAAAGGGAAGAAAAACUAAAAUUAUUAAAAGAGUUUCAUGAUAGUUUAUGGGCAGGGCAUAGAGGAAUCUGGGCUACUUUUGCUAAACUCAAGGAACGAUAUUGGUGGAAAAAUAUGUAUCGAGAUGUGCUCUCAUUUGUAGAGUCAUGUGAAAUCUGUCAAUCGUAUUCUAAUAUCCGACAUCGAGAUGGUUUUCAUCCUACGUAUCCUUUGGCUAUUCAUUUUAAAUGGGUUGUUGAUUUGGUUAUUAUGCUGGUUGGGUUAUGGUAGAUGAGAUAUUUGGUUUUAGCUCGUGAAGAUUUAUCAAAUCAAGUAGAAGGAAGAGCAUUGAAGACAAAAUCUACAGAGGGGAUUUAUAGGUUUUUGCUUGAAGAUGUCAUUUGCCGCUACGGAUGCAUAGGAAAAAUCACUGCAGAUCGUGGAGAAUUAAAUGCACAAGAAGCUCGUAAGUUCUUUGAAAGAUGUGGAGUUAAACUAUCACUGACUAUUGCUUAUAAUCCGGAAGGGAAUGCAAAAAGCGAACGCGGUCACCCACCGAUUGUGAAAGCAUUAGUUAAAGCUUGUAAUGGGAAAGUUAAAGAGUGGCCACGGCUUUUGUCAUUUGCAUUAUGGGCUCAUCGAACAACACAUAGUUCGGUGACAGGAUAUAUGCCAGUAGAACUUAUGACAGGUCAAAAACCAAUUAUGCCGAUUGAAGAAAAGGUACUUACUUGGAGUAUGCUACCAUGGGAAGAUGGAUUGACAAGAGAAGAACUUUUGGCUAUUAGGAUUCGACAAUUGGAGCAAAGAACGGAAGAUGUCCAGAUAGCAUUGGGAAGGUUAAAAAGAGCAAGGUUACAAAACAAGGCGCGAUUUGAUAAGCAACAUCGAUUGAGACCAAAAGCAAUCGAGGAAGGUGACUGGGUACUUGUUUAUGACAAUAGUCUGGCUAAUCAACAUAGUACUUUGCGGAAAUUUUCAAAACGUUGGUUUGGACCAUAUGUUGUAACAACUGUUCAUGAUAAUGCGACUUACUCAUUACGGGAGUUAGAUGGUACAAAAUUGAAAAUACCAAUUGCAGAGAAGAGAGUAAAAAUAUUUAAACGAAGACACGCGGAGAUGAAUAUGGAAGACCUUAAUGAAGGUACAGAGAUUCCGCAGCAAGAAGAUGAAAGUGAUAUGGAUAAUGAAGGUGACGAAGAAAAACUAGACAAAGACGUAGAGGAUAUAUUCUGAAUCAAACAGCAAUUGGGUAAAUUGGUGCAUACCGGAGGAUGCACAGGUUCAGAGGGGGUGGAUGUCAUGUUGUAACACGAUUAUACAGUGAAAAUAAAAAGAAAGGGGAAUUUUAUUAAUAUUCAGUUACCUCGAAUAUUGGAAGCAUCGACCACCUCCAGUACAAAUACUGAGUGGUCAGGUUCAGUCACUACGUUACAGUCAGCUGGGGCAUACUGAAAUGCUCCAUUCGAUUCCAAUAACGGGAGUCAGCAGGAAGAGAAGGACCAAUUCACAAGACGGGUUCGAGGAGCCAAUUGGAUCUAAUUUCGAUAAUCCAAUCCGGGUCCUCUUAUCCAAUAUGAGACCUGAAUUGGCCGGUCAACCCAGUGCAGUCUAAUUACGGGAAAUCCAGGUCUUACUACGGGUCUUAGCCAAUCUGACGCGACGAGCAAUUUGACCCAAUUACGGGAACAUCCAGGUUACUACGGGCAUCUUCCCAAUAUAGGACCUGAAUUGGUCGGGCGACUCAAUGUGGUCCCGAUUAUGGGGUUCGAUUCUGUUUCAGGCUGUCCUGUUCUCUGUGCCGUCUCAGGGAACGUUGUUUUUGGUAAAUGGAUUUCUUAAAGGCAAAAACGGAGGAGAAAGCUUGACGACGAGAGCCAAUUUCGGAUCCAAGCUUGAGGUGGGAGCCAAUUCCGGAUCUAAGACGGAAGAUUGAAGAAAUUCAGAGGAUAAGGUUAGGAGGGAUAUAGUUUUGGAGUGGUGUAAGUUUUUUUUUUUUUUAAGGGAAAAUCGGGGGGGGAAGCAAGUUUUUCAAGCUUCUGCAAGGUUACCAGUUCGGUUUUUUUUAUUGGAGGUUUUUGAAGAUCAAGGGAAUUAGAGAGAGGAGCUUCAUGCUUUGGAUCGGGGAAGGAAAGACAUAGAAUUUGGAUUUUUCUUCUUCGUAGAGUUUUGGAGAAGACUGAGGCAAUCGCUGCUGAAGUCAGUGUUGUAAUGGUGAAUCGGGAUUUUUAAAUGAAGUGGGUUUGAAUACUCUUGACUAUUUUGUGAAAUCGAGUUACGUCUGUGAUUGAAGGAUUAAAAGGGUGUCUAUAGGAUUGAGUAUGCGGAGUGAAUGAAAUUUAUUGGGUUAAUCUAACAAGACAGCCAGUGGAUACAAGAUCGUAAGUACAAAGCAGUAUUGAAGGUUAACAGUUUGGGUUGUACGGGGUUCUCUGUAACGUCUAGAGACCUACCGGCUGGGGCAAAAAGGACUUCGACAAGUAGUCGAAGAGCACCUGUAUAGAUUUACGGUACAUUGUUGCAGUCGUUUAUAUUCCAGCAGUCAAAAACUGAUAGACUGCUUGACUAUCGGCGAAUCUCCAUACUACCUUCUACAGUCAGACGCCCGGCGCGUUCUCGAGCAGGAAAGCACGUAAUACGACAACGUUUUCUCUCUUUCGGAUAAAAAAUCCAGUUCACCAAUAUAACAUUGACUUUCAGCAACGAUUGCCUCAGUCUUCUUAAAACCCUAUGAAGAAAAAAAAAUCCCAAUUCUCUGUCUUUCCUUCCCUCCUAAGCAUGAAGCUAGCUCUCCGACCUAAAAUCCUUGAUUCUCCUCUUUUUUUUCAUUUCUUAACCUAUCUUCUCCUUUAACCCUGAGAAGAUCCUAUUCUCCCGCCUUGGACUUUCCGAAUUGAAACAGUCGACGGAGCUUUCUCCCCCAUUUUUACCUUUAAGAGAUCCUAUUAUCAAAAGGACGUUCCUAGAAUGGCACAAAGAACGGAACAGCCUGAAACAGAAUCGGAGCCCCAUAAUUGGACAGCAUUGGGUUGCCCGACCAACUUAGGUCUCAUAUUGGAUAAGAGGCCUGUAAUAGGAUCUUGAUUGGAGGUCUUUCGAAAUUGGAUCCAAUUGGCUCUUCGAACCAGACUCACCCCUCGUUGAAUUAGUCCUUUUCCUUUCUGCUGACUUCCGUUAUUGGAAUCGAAUAGAGCAUUUUGUUACUAGUGAGUAUGCCCCGGCUGAUUGUAACGGGAUGACUGAACGUGGCCUCUCAAUAUUUGUACUGGAAUUGGCCACCGCUUCUAACAUCCAAGGUGACUAAAUAUUAAUAAAUCUUCUUCAUUUAUAUUUUCAUCAUAUAGAUGUGUUACAACAUGACACCGUUGCCAUCUCUCUUAAGGUAUCAAACAUAUAAAUAUCUAUGGUAGAACCACUAACUCAAAUCCAAAAAGUCAACUUGGCUUUAGUAACUUGAUCAUGUGAAGCCAUUGUAUUAAAUCUCUUCUCAAGCUCUAUAAUCUUAGUCUCUAAAGCCUUUUUCUUCUUUAAGGUAUGGCGCUUCUUUCGAUGAAUAAUGAAGUAAUUCUCUAUAUUGCGGUUGAGCCUACCACAAUGAAUGCAAUUCAACUGUUUCUUCUUAGAUUUUUCUCUUGCUUUAGCCACCUCUAUCUUUUCUUUAGGCUUUUCUAUAGAUUAAGCCAUCUUCUUUAAGUUCUUAAGAUAGUUGGGAUCAUUCUUGGUAUGGCCAGAUUCUCCACACCUCCAAUAGUGAAGAAUCUUCUUAAGUUGAGUCUCUACCAAGUUACUUGUGGCGGCAAGAGUCUUCUUACAUUAGAAUUUAUAUUAUAUAUAUACAACAUUCUUCCGGUAGUAUAUUUUAUAAUAUCUUUAAAUAUAAUUAUAUCAAAAUCUUGAUAGUAUGUUAUAUAUAAUUAUUAUAUAUUAUAUUAUAUAAUUAAUUUAAAUAUAAAUAUAUAAAUUUAAUAUGUAUAUAAAUUUUUAUAAGAUAUAUAAUAUAAUUAUUAUUUAUAUUAAACUUAUAAGUAUAUAUAUAUAUAUAUAUAUAUAUAUAUAUAUGUUUCUUGAAAUUUUGAGCCAAAACCAUGUCAAAUUGUUCAAGAUAUAGCUCUAGUCACGACCACUAGUAAAUCGGGUCACUUACUACCCUUAGAUUGCAUGCGCUGACUUCAAAAUCCAAUCACUCCUUCAUUAUAACUUGGAAUCUAGCAAGCAGUAUGUGAAAAGUGUAUCCGCAAAAGUGGUCUCUAUAGUCGCAAUCACUUAUAUUCAUUUGCUGUCUGUACCCAUGCGUUAUGCCAAAAAGAGUGACAAUAGCUUCCAAAUCAACACCUUAACUUUGAGCGCUUGUAUCUCCUUCAUAUAAACUCUAAACCAUACAAAACUUACAUCAAAAUCAUAGCCAAAAACCUAAACUUGCUGACACUAGUCUUCAAAGCUCGAAUGGGUCCCAAAAAUUAACCCUAAUCUCUAAUAUGACUUCGGGCAACCUCCUCAAAGCCCAUUGGUCAUGAUUUUUGACCAAUAGGAAUGGAGAUUUUCAUCAUUCAUCUCCAUUCAUCUAUAUUGGUACCCUAAUUACUCCCUUUGCUAUCUAAAUCCUUCUUCAUUCCUUUUUCUUAUAAGAUUUACAUAAUUUAUGCUCCAAACACCAAAUAAAAGAAUCAAAAUAAGUUUUCAAAGAUCACCAAUGUCUAACAAAGGUGACUCUAAAUAUUUAGAAGUUACUAUCAACGAAAACCAAUCUUAAAAGCCACUAUCAAAAUGAAAUUAAAGUUAUACAAAUUCUAUAGUAAUCUUUUUAAACAACCUCUUUUUAAGGUAAUAAUCAAAUUAUAUUCUACAAUCAAUUAAAAUCUAUUAACAUGGUUGUCACCAUGUUACUUAAUUAAUUAUAUAUUAAAUAUAUAAUUACAUUAUUUUCAUAUAGUAGCCAAAGCACAACACGACAACGUGUGGGUGAUAGAUGUGUUUGAUCGAUACUAUUGUACUUGGUUUCUUUUUCUUGUAUGUGUAUCAUGAAUUGAUUUCACUCUUUUUUUCUAAUUUUUAUUUCUUGGGCUUUAGUAAUAUUAUGAAAACCCUUUCCUUAAGGUUUUUGUCAAACUUGGAGCAGCCAAAAUUCAAAUGUACGCAUUUGAUAUAUUAUGUUGGUUCUUAAGGAGGUCCAAGUGCCUUGCUUGGAUGUUUGAUUGCCUGCAUGCUACACCUCCUUUCAUAGAUAACACCCUCAACAUAGCUCCUCUAGAUUUAGCCAUAGUAAUAUUUAACAUUUUUUUUUUUUUUUUUGUAAGCAAGCACUAUUCAGUAUGUAAUGAUAGUAAUCUAUUUAAAAAUUUGAGUUACUUUUUGUUGUAAUGAGGAAUAUAGGGCCAAUAUUACUAUUGUGUGGCAGAUAGUGACUCGAGCUAUAUCUAAUUAUUGCUUGUCAAUAGUCAGAUUUUGAACACUAUAGUCAAGAAUUAAGAUUGUUUAAUUCAAAAAGGGUUUUGAAUUGCUGCUUGAUACAUUUUUUGGACUUAGCCACAAAUAAUCAAAUAUAAUGCAUGCUUUGAAUGAUGAUAACAAGUGUUUAAUGCUCUCGUAGAGUCGACCAUGGUACAAUAUUUUAGAUCUUACAAAUAUUAUUCUUUGAUUACUAAGUUCUGCUAUACAUAGUUGGUGGCUUCUAGUAUUUUCAAGAGAAUUAUAAUUUAAGAUGGAAUAAUGUUGAGUACUUAAAUAGAAGCAUAUCAUGGCAGACAUUAUAAAAUGUGCACAAAUAGAUGGACUGCAUAUAUAUACAUCAUUUCAUACCAAGACAGAUAAAAUGCCUACAAAAUGAGUCAUUUGCCUUAUAAGAUUUCAGCUCGCCAAAUAAUUUGUAUAAAAAAGAUAAGAAAGCACAUAGCACGCAACUCUCAAUUUCUUGAAUUUGAAAAUAAGCGAUGCAAAUUUAUAUCAUAAAUUCAAUGAUAUUAUAAACUUAUAUGAAAAUAAUCUAAUAGUCACGUGUAUAAACAUGUAUUAUAUAUAUUAUAAUAUAUAUAUAUAUAUAUAUAUAUAUAUAUAAUCCAUCAACAACAAGCGUUAACCAUAGCAGAGUUACUUAUAAUACUAGCCUCAAAAGAUUCUAGUGAAACCUUGUUAUUAAACUUAAUAAAGAAAAUGGAAGAAAUAGCUAUUAAUAUAGUCAAGGAUAAGGAGAAGAGGCAAAAGCCUACCAAUACUAGGACCAAUGUAUGAUGUAGUAAUUGUAAGGGCCACAGUCAUUUAGUAAUAGAAUGUCCUUUACCCUCACAAAUGAUGGGUCAAUGUAAAUUUUGCGGAAGAAAGCACUUAACAGCUAAUUGUUUGAAUUGGAAAAGGCACCAAUAAUUCAAUAAUUAGACCAUGAUUGCAACUCUGUGAGUUUAAACAAGAAAUACGUUUGGAUAGAAUAGAAAUCGAUUUAAUUGAUAAAAUCGAACAUUUAAUAACUUUCAAAGUUCCAAUUUUAAUUAGAGGCCUUCAUCGAACUCCCAAAACUAGAGUAAGGAGUAGCAGAGGUAUCAGCAAUAUGCUCCAUCGGUGCCAUCAAACCAAGUUUUCUCCAUACCAGUGGGACAAUCAAGAUCAUUUUCUAACCCUACAUGGAACAAGCCUAGUAGGUAUAUAUCGAUGGAAAUACCCAAUAUGCUUGAUGGUGGUGUAAAAUGACUACUUCGUUGUUUCUGUUGCAAACAGAUUGGUGAUUAUGGGAGUGAAUGUUCCAAUCCCAGAGACAGUGAUGAUUAUGCACCAUUUUGUAGAAAUUGCAAGCAAUCGAGGCAUAUGUAUCAAAAAUGUAAUGCUUUGUUUAAUUUCAAUAAUUGAGAUCAACACAUUCAAAGCCAAGAAAAAAUCGAGGAAAUAAAUCAAGGUCCUUAAGAUUCUCCAAUAAAUCAGGUAAAAUGUGUCCAAGCCGUCCUUACAAAGAGUUAACAAAAAAAAAAAGGAUCAAUUCAAUAUUUAGGUGAUCUUGAAGCAAUGGGCCAAUUGAACCAAAUUACAAGGCCAUCCAAUCCAGGUCCUGAUGUAGGCUCCUUACUCAAUAUGGGACCUGAAUCAAUUGUGCAACUUAAUAAGGUGUCGAUUAUAGAUGCUAUAGUUCCGUUCUAAGCCAUUUCGUUCUCUAUGCAAUUUUGGAAAACUUCUUAUCCAUUGAAAAAUCCUCUCAAAGAUGGAGAUUCUAAGGAUACUUUAGUUGUUGUUUCAAUUUUGAGUCCAAGGUGGAAGAAUAUCUUACCUCUAGGAGUUAAGCUCAAAUCAAUGAAAAGAAAGAGGGCAUUGGAAAUUAUCCUAAACAUGAAAUCCUAUGAUAUUUUGAAAGAUUUGGAUGCUAUUUGGCCUUCUAUUUCUAUGAAACAACUUCUAGUGGUCGCAUUAGAGUGCCAUUCUAUAUUGAAUUCAUUGUUAACAUGACAUAGGCAAUGUAAUAAAGAAGUUUGUAAAGUCAAUUUGAACCCUGACCCAGGUGCAUCAACCAUCGAUGUUUCGAUUGAGGGUGUUAUGAUCUCCAAUGUUCAAGUAGAUAGUGGUUCUAGCGUCAAUUUAAUAAAUGCUAAUAUAAUAGAUACUUUAGAUUUGGAACACUUAGUAUCCACAAUAUUGAUAUUACGAAUGGCAGAUCAUAGCCGAAUUAAACCAAUGGAUAUUUUACGGAGUGUUCAAACUAUAAUUAUUGGUAUUACAUAUGAAAUCGACUAUAUCAUAUUUUGAUUACAACGUUCAACUUUAUUGUAUCCAAUUUUAUUGGAACGACCUUGAUUAUAUUAAGCAAAGGCCAAGAAUGAUUGGAGUUAGGAUACUUUGAUAAUAGACAAGGAUGGAGAUAAAAUGGCAUUACAAAUGUACGUAGUAUAUUAUCACGGAAAAUCUUAAUUGCCAGGAUCUGAAUUGACGUCAUUUAAUGAGCUUAGCUCCGAUGAUGAUAUCAUAGCACCAAUUACGGAGGCAGCCACGGAGGCAACACAACAUCCUGGAAUGGUUUAUCAAUGUAGAGGUCCAAGAGAGUAUUUGAUAUACCCAACGGAUUUAAAAAACUUUGAUUAUGUUAGUAUUGAUUGGAUGAUUAAGUAUGAUGUAUACCAUGUUAGUGCCAUGGACACAAGAUUCUGAACUUUGCACAUGUCGAACUUACCAAUUGAUUUUAAACUAGCACGGGAGUUGAACCAAAAUAUUGCUGCUGCACCUUUAUGUGAAACUAUCAACUUGGCGACCAUAGCAAAACCUUGGACAAUUAAGAUCUAUGAAGGUAUUAAGGAGCAGAAAUUGACCUGUUAGAUAGAAUUUUUCUUGCAUCAUAAAUUCACUUUUGCUUGGACUUAUAAUGAUUUAAAAGGUAUCCUCGCUGAAGUCUAUGAGGAUCAUAUCAUUUUAGAAGAAAAUAUUAAAUCGGUAAGAUAAAGGAAAUAUUGCCUUAAUCUUAAAUAUUCUCUCAUAGUAAAGGAAGAAUUGGAUAAGCUUCUUGCGGUUGGUUUUAUUUAUCUGAUAUUGAAUAGUGAAUGGAUUUCUCCAAUCGUGAUAUUGCCAAAAAAAAAUAGAAAAUCUGUAUUUGUCAAGAUUUUUGGAAACUUAAUGUAGCCACUAAAAAAGAUUACUUUCCAUUGCCUUCCACAGAUAGUAUAUUGGAUGUCGUAGCAGGUCACAAAUGUUAUUUGUUCCUUGAUGGAUUUUUUGGGUAUAAUCAAGUUCAAAUUGCAACGGAAGAUUAGCUCAAGACGACUUUUACUACAAAUUGGGGCACAUUUGCUUAUCGCAUGAUGCUUUUUGGGUUGUUUAAUUUCCCAGCCACAUUUCACAGAGUGAUGACUCAUGCCUUCCAAGACUAUCUCCAAAUAUUUAUGGAGAACUUUUUAGAUGACUUCUGUACAUUCAAUACAAAAUAAGAUCAUCUUACUUGUCUAGGCAAAUGUUUGGCUCAGUGUCCUAAGUUUGGGAUAUCAUUGAACUCGAAUAAGUGUCAAUUCGAUGUUCCAUCAAGAAAAUUAUUGGACCAUAUCGUCUCUAGCCAUUGUAUUGCUAUGAAUACUGAAAAAGUGAAGCAUAUAAUGAACUUGCUCAGACCAAAGACAAUCUCCCGAAUUUAAAGGUUUGUCGGCCUUGUUAGUUAUUAUUGUCAAUUUAUUCAUUCGUUUGUUAUUAUUUAUCAACUUUUAACAAACUUACUGAAGAAACCUCCAUUAGAUGGAACUAGUCCCAUUUAGACCAUAGAGUGUACUGUGGCCUUUGAGGCAUUGAAGUCAAAAUUGGUCUCUGCUCCAAUAUUGGUGUCCCCUUAUUAGUCAGAGCUCUUUCAUGUAUACGUUGAUACAUCCAAUGUGGCUAUUGGAUCAGUGCCAAGUCAGAAAGAUGAUAAGGAUCUGAAUCAUCCUAUCUAUUAUGCUAGUCAAAAAUUCGUGGCGGCUGAACGUAAUUACACUACUAUUGAACGAGAAGCAUUGAGUAUAAUUUACUCAGUUCAAAAAUUUUAGCACUAUUUGCUUGGAUAUUCAUUUGUCUUUUAUGUAGAUCAUGAUGUCCUCAAAUAUAUGAUUAAUAAGCCUCAAUUGAGUAGGCACAUUGCUUGAUGGAUAUUAUUCCUACAAGAGUUCAAUUUUAUAAUUACCGUACAACCAAAGAAGAAACAUGCAAAUGCUAAUCAUUUAUUCCAUUUGUCUAAUAUUUUUGGCAAUGAACUUAUCUUUGAUAUUCUUUCGGAUAUUAAAUUAUUUAUAGUAGAUGUGAUUUCUCUCAAAUAUAAUGAAAUCAUUCAGUUUUUGACCUUCCAUACCUUUCUACAGAUUUUCAUUGAUAUGCUUAAGAAGCGCCUCAUUUUGAAGAGUACUUUGUACAUGAUGAUUUGCGGUACUUUGUAUAAACAAGGUAAAGAUGGCAUUUUAAGAUAUUGUAUCUUUCCAAGUGAAGUACAGUUGAUACUAGAGGGUUGCUAUUUAAAUAGUUGUGGUGAUUAUUUUGGGGAAGAUAGUACUGUUCGCAAGGCUUUAAUGGCUAGAUAUUGGUGGCCCACAAUGUUUUAUGGUGCACACCAAUUUCUUCAUCGUUGUGAUCCAUGUUAACAAAUUGGUCGAUCUAUGGGUACUUCAGCCAUGCCAUUAGUACCAAUCUUGGCACAAGCACCGUUUGAAAAAUGAGAUAUUGAUUCUAUUGGUUCCAUCACCCCAACGUCAAAAUCUGGCCAAAAGCGGUAUAUUUUAAAUGCCACAAAUUAUGUAACAAAAUGGAUAGAGGCUCUUGCUAUCCGCAACGAUAAUGCCAGUAUGGUGGCUGCUUUUUUAAUUGAGAAUAUUAUAACUUGAUUUGAAUGUUCAAAGGAAUUGGUUAGUGAUCACGAUACAUAUUUCAUAAAUGCUACCAUAGCAGCCUUGACAAACACGUAUGAGAUCAAUCAUCAAAAAAUCACAUUAUAACAUUCUGGCGCUAAUGGGCAAACAAAAAAGACCAACGGAAUUUUAUGCAAGGUCUUGAUUAAAACAAUUUCAAGAGUGGGUACCGAUUAGGAGACCAAACUCUUUGUAGCUUUGUGGGCGUAUUACACUGCAUAUAAAGUAACUACCAACUCUAUUCCAUUUCAACUCGUUUAUGGGCAAGAAGCCAUUUUACGCAUCAAAUUAGAGGUUCAAAGUUUAUGGAUUGCCUUGGAUGAAAGACUCAGUGACAAAGAAUCAUUAUAAUUUUGGUUGGUGAAAUUAGAAGAAUUGGAUGAAAUACAAGCUAUAGCUCUGUUCAACAUGGAAGCAACUCAGAAACGGAAGAGAAGUUAUUAUGAUAGUAAACUAUGUUCGAAAAAUUUUAUGCCAAUGAUUUGGUAUUACUAUAAGAUAGCCAGUUUAAUCAUUUUUUGGGCAAACUUCAAGUGCGUUGGCAUAGGCCAUAUCAAGUGAUUGAAGGAUUCUCUAAUAGAUCUGUUUAAUUGGAAGAUUUCAUGGGCCAUCGAUUCAACACCUACAUUAAUGGGAACCGAUUACAAUUAUAUAAUAUAUAAAAUCUAAGAUGUGUUUUCAUUUUUUUUUGCGGAAGGUGACUUUGAAUGAACUUAGGAUAGAUCUAAUUAUGAUAUAAGUACAUUAGGAUGUAGAGGCGACUGAAAGAAUAGUUAGUAAUUAUUAAUGUGUCAAAUGAGAUGGACGUUAAAAAUAGACAAUAUGGGUAACAUAUUGUCAUGAUCAUUGGUAGUAAGAAAAUAGGAGUAGUGCAUGAGUUAGAGGUCAUUUAUGUUGACGUUUUUGGUUGUUUUUUUGAGAUUGCCAUUUCUUGUCUUGCUUGCAUAUUUGAAAGUAACAGUUCCAAUUAAGAGGUUAAGAGCUUGAGAAGGAACAUCAUAGCAAUUGAAAGUACAAAGCGAUGUCGUAUUGUUGUUUGGUUAUUGUAUGAAAAUAAUGUAAUUAUGUACUUGAUAUAUAAUUUAUUAAAGAACAUGGUGACAGCCAUGUUAAUAUAUUUUAGUUGGUUGUAGAAUAUAAUUUGAUUAUUACCUUGAGAAGAGGUUGUUUAAAAAGAUUACUAUAGAAUUUGUAUAACUUUAAUUUUCUUUUGAUAAUGGCUUUUAAGAUUGGUUUUUGUUGAUAGUAACUUCUAAAUAAUUAGAGUCACAUUUGUUAGACAUUGGUGACUUUUGAAAACUUAUUUUGGUUCUUUUAUUUGGUAUUUAGAGCAUAAAUUAUGUAAAUCUUAUAAGAAAAAGGACUGAAGAAGGAUUUUGGUAGCAAAGGGAGUAAUUAGGGCACCAAUAUAGAUGAAUGGAGAUGGAUGAUGAAAAUCUCUAUUCCUAUUAGUCAAAAUCAUGACCAAUGGGCUUAGAGGAGGCUGCCUAAGGCCAUAUUAGAGAUUAGGGUUAGUUUUUGGGGCCCAUUCGAGCUUUGAAGACUAGUGUUAGCAAGUUUAGGUUUUUGGCUAUGGUUUUGGUGUAAUUUUUGUAUGGUUUGGAGUUUAUAUGAAGGAGAUAGAAGUGCUCAAAGUUAAGGUGUUGAUUUAGAAGCUACUAUCACUCUUUUUAGGAUAACGCAUGGGUACGGAUAGCAAAUGAAUAUUGGUGACCGUGACUAUAGAGGAUACUUUUGCGGCUAUAAUUUUUAGAUACUACUUGCUGGAUUCCAAGUUAAAGUGAAGGAGUUAUUGGAUUUUGAAAUCAGCACAUGCAAUCUAAAGGUAGUAAAAGACCUGAUUUACUAGUGGUUGUGUCUUGAGCUAUAUCUUGAGCAAUUUGAUAAGGUUUUGGAUCAAAAUUUCAAGAAAUGGAUAAUUUGAUGUAAGUAAACUUUGUGCAUAAGUUUGAUGACAUUUAAGUAUUGGAUUCUUGAAAUAUUAUGAAAAUAGUGCUCGGGUGCUUGUAAAUUACGAUUUAGAGCAUCUGCUAGGGUUUCUUGGAUGCCACAAGAUUGAGAGUGAAUUUGCGGUUGGUUUUAUUGUGAUAAAAGUUAAGGGUGAAUUCUACCAACCCUGUAAAUUUGAGACAAACUGAACAACUAGACUAAGAGAUAUGAAUUUCUAAAUUUUAGGAGAAGAACACCCUUCGCGAGAAAAAUAUGUUUUGAAAGGAUUUUGUUAUAUUUUGAGUUUUAUGCAAAAUAAUAGAGUUUUGGAAACUAAGAAAAGAUUUAUAUAAAGGUUUAAUCUGAACUCUCUACAGUUAAAUACCUAGUGUAUUCCUAGAUAGCAAACUACGCCAUACGACAGCAAGCUGCAGACAAAGAGGAUAGUGGCCGAAAUGUGAGAGCUAAAUGUAUGUCAAAACCACCAUCUAUAAUAAUUGUUACAAAUAUGGAACCGAUGAAGUUUGAUAUCUAUUGGACGUCGAGAAGAAUAAGAAACUUUUGAAAUUCAUAGUUGUUCCAAUUUUUACACCUGUCCAAUCGCUUACUAUCAAUCAAUGUGGCAUAAGUAGAGGAAUACAUCACGAAUUACGACUCCAAGGAUGGAUCGAGUGUCGUACAAUGUAAAAUUAUCAAAAUUGAUGAAACAAUCCUUAAAAAAGUGUUGUUUCUGCCCAUUAGAGAGAUUGCGGUAAGGACUGAUAAAUCAAGCAAUUUUAGCCUCGAUAGAUUUUUUAAUGAAGGUAUGUCAUCUUUUGAGAGGAACCAAGGUUAGUAGACUGCUAAAGCACUUUCACCAGAACUCGCAAAAUGGUUCUGCUUUGUGGUGAGGUAGUUAGGAUUAUACCAAUAUUCCACGUAUAUAUCCAAACGGUUAUUAUAUGCAGUAGUAGGAGCGCUGGAAGGGAUGGUGUUCAAUUGGGCACCUUAAGUAGCUACUUGUAUUCAUGCGGAGAUAAGAACUAAGUGAAAUUUGGAGAAGUUCACAUAUUUGCUUUGUUCCAACAAUGUGUCUAUUAUGAUUAUAUACAUAUUAUGUCAAACAUCGCAAAUCCAAGAAAGUCCUAUAUCAGUGCCAGUGCCUCCAUAGAGAGAACGGAAUUCGGUGGCACAGAAUAUCAAUGCAGCAGAUAUAAUAUACAAAAUUGGAGAGUCAAAUCGUAUAGUGGCACUGGAGAUCUUUCCAACUAUUAAAUCAGAGCGGAUUCCAAUUCUUUUUGCGGUGGAAGAGGACAAUGAAGCCCUAGUUACAAUGGAUAUCAAUUAGUUGGCAUUUCCACAUGGUCGAUUGUCCAAAGGAUUACUGCUUAAGAAUGUUCUAUAGAAGCAUAUUUCACAAAUACAUUGUAUGGUGCGAGCAUUGGACGUAGAUGACAAUAGCAAAUGAGAACUAGAGGCUAGAAAGAAGGUGAUAUCAAAGCAAAACCAAAAAAUCACAGAGAAAGAACGGAUCCUCCAAGAGAAAGCUAAAUCCAAGUUGACAUUAGAAAGGGGAUUUUUAUAAAAAUAAGAAGCUUGGACGCAAGAAAAAGAACACAUAUUACGAAUUGAUGAAGAAAAAUGAGAUGAAUUGAUUCAUACUCACAAGAUAUGGGAUUUGAAAUGAGAAACUCAAAUGCCAGUUGCAAGUGGAACAAGAAAAGACCGAGUUAUUGGCAAAAGAGAAAGCGGCAUUCAAUUACUAAUCCAGAUGCGAACGGAGAAGUUGAGGUCCAAAAUCAAAGUUAUACAAGAUGAGGUGGCAAAAUUGAAGGAAGAGUUAACCAUCAAGAGCCGAUCACAAUCAUCAAUUAAAGAUGUUCCAGAUUGGAUGAAUCAGCAGCAAUAUCAGUUGGAACUCCGUGAUGCCCAGAUCUUGAAACUGGAGGCUUAAGUCCGUAAAUUGGAAGAGUAUAAUGAAAAUCUCUCAACCCAAUUGAGGAAGUAGAGGAUGGACGGAUUGGAAGAAGAGAAAGAUUUGCAAUUAGAACAAAAUCGAUGGAAUCAAUAGUGGUUAAUGUGGCAAGUGAUCAAUCAAGUGGGCCAUAAGAAAUAGUAAUUUUAUAGCCUUCUGUUAAGUAGUUUUUAGAAAGGUAACAAUUGUGUGUUUGCGAGCAUGCUCUACAGAUAGGAGUAGGGUUGUGUAGAAUAGAUAUUAGUUUGUUUUUAUAAGAUAUUGAUAAAAUAGGCUCAUAGUCCAUAGAAUAGUCAGUUCAAGAGGACAGAUGAUUAACUUAGUUAUUAAAAGUGAUUAAUUAAAGAAUUAUAAUUAGAAUCUAGGAAUAAAAAGUAAGUAUAUAGGAGUUGUAGAAGUUAGUAUGAAUGACACACUAUGAAAGUCAUGAGUCGGGAUAAGCUUGGUACUACUUCUUUGUUUCUUUGUUGUUGAAGAGUAAUAGAUAGUUACUGAAUACUAUGAAGUGAAUCUCUGGAAUAAAUCAGAGAUUGAUUUAUAAGAUAAUGAGUAUGUAAUUGGAGUACCGUGUGGUUGAAUUAUUGUGAGAAGAUAUUGGGAGUCGGUUAUCAUAUUCUGUGGGAGAUUAUUAAUGGAUGGAAGAUUAUGAUUAUUGGUUAUUGAGAGCUAUGUGUUUAAAGAGAAGAAGUCUGUGAUUACAGAAAUUGUGCGAAGACAAAUUGUUUGGAGUGGAAGUCUGUUAUUUCUGGUGUUGGAUGGAAUUUAUGUACUCGGAGCAAUCUUAUAAAGACAGUGCAAGAGUUACAAUGGUUCCUUUCUAAUUUUUUAAUUCAUCUCCCUCAAUCCUAUUCAUAGGAUUUAAGGGACCCAAUCUUAAUAAAACCUCAAUGAUUUCAACGAGAGCCAUGCUUUGUAGAGUCCACGUCGGAGAAUGUGGACAUUACUGCCACCACUCUGUGCUCGGUCAAGUGACAAGAAGGAUUGCACGAUUUCGAUGCAAAUCGAAGCAGGAGGUGAAUCAGUGACCAAGGUAGCACCUUAACUCUCCAACCCCCAUUUUCUCCACGGCAGGGCGGCUGCCGUUCAAGGGUGAAACGCUACGCAUCGACCAUGUACACAUUUGAAAAGCACAAUACAGCCAAGUUCGUGAUGUAACUGUGAAAAUCAUUCUUGGAACAAAGACUUUUGGCAGGCACUGGAACAUGAUAUACAACUUGUGAUUUACCGUAAUCUGACGCUGGGCCGCAAAUGGAGGAUAUAAAAAGUAAUAUUCUGAAAGCGACUGUAAACCACAUUGUAUCAAUCUGCAAUGCUCAUGCAACGCCAGCGUAGCGCAGAAUCCAACGACCAUCCCACACGAGCUGCGCAUGUGAUUAUUUAUAAUUUUUCAAGAUGCCGCCUAGGGAAGGCGGUGGCUCCCAAUCCAGUAUAAGGGUGUCGUUGAGAGGCACGGAGAUCCCAAGCUUGUGCUGCACUUGAUGCAUGGUACCUCAAUCCCCUCAUCCUUCCGUGCUGCUCUACGUGCUCCUGCCUUGCCGAUCUGCAUCCUUUGCAGCGCAGAUCUAAUUCACGAUGGCCAGCCAUGGCAAAGCGGUGGUGCUGGUGCUGGUGCUGGUGCUAGUGGCGGCGACGGUGGUGGUGCCGCGGGCGGAGGCGCGUGCUCUAGUGGACGAUGGCGGGGAGCGCCCGGCGGAGCGCAUGAGCCCCUUGAUCACUGACCUCCAGGCAGUUGUGUGCAAGCAUUUGGGCUUGGCCUGCGCAGGCAAUGGCGAUCCACACAAUUUACAGUGUCAAAAGUUAUUUUGGCAUUGUGGAAGGGAUUAUGCGCCAUGCUGCGGUAGUAUGCAGUGCAAGUGCAUUGGGGAUUUGUGUACGUGUGAACUGGUUUAAUGUAGAAGGCAGAUAUUGGAAACGUGUUUGAAUUGCCAUGACUGAAGCUUUUAUGAUGAGCAGUGCUGCAGUCGGGUUUGCAUUCCAUUCCUGGAUGUCAGCCCUCUUGCUUACAGAAUGUUGUGAGAGUGAGUCUAGACGGCAGAUAUUCGGGAUACGAUGCUUCCUUAUCGAGCUGUAAUCAAGCCAUGCAGUACUGUCUACAAUAAAGUUGCAAAACUACUAGGUCAACUGUGGCGCCAUUCUGUGGCAUUUGAACUAAUGUAAAGUUACAAGACUACUUGGUCAACUGUGGCGCCAUUCCGUGGCAUUUGAACUAAUAGAAAGAGCCAUUUUGUAUGCAAUAUUGCACCUUUCUGUCUGGAAUUUUGCGUCAAUUUUGUGUCAUAUUGUCGUGUAGUUGACAAACACCUCAAUUUAGUAGUGGGAGACUAUGGGAGCCAAAAUUGUAAUAAAAGUUGAUCAUCGUGCAGUGUACUUUGAUUUUUUUUUCCUCCUUUGGUGAAUACGUAAUUUAGUCGACCAAAAUGAUCUUUGUUGCAUUUGAGUUCAACUAUCAAAAUGAACCUCAUAGUCUUCUUCUUACUCCAUAUUGAAUUUUUUUGAAAAUUCUUAAAAUUGACUGUUUCAUAGUAAUUAUAAGUUCUGCAUCCAGGAUAACAUAAUUUGGUUCUUUUAGGGUGUCUGGUUGAACUGAGAGGCUGUACAUUACCUUCUGCCGACCUCUUCGCUAGUUUGAAUGCACGAGGCUGUGUUUGGGUUACUUCAGCCCCCCGAUGUACUGAACUUCUACUCUGCAUGGCUUGGGGCUCAUGCUGACGCCUUGUGUAAUUGGGAUACUAGUCUUAUAUUUGUUAACAGAUUAUACAAGUACUUUUAUUGUUAUAUAUACAACAUUUUAUAAAUUAUGAUUUUAAAUAUUAUACCAUUUAUGAUGCACAAAUUAUUAUAUUUAUGUAAUAUAGUAUUUUAUAUAUAUAAAUAUAUAUACAUAUAUGUGUAAUAUAUAUUUAUACAUGUUAAUAUAAUUAUAUAUAAUAAUUAUAUAUUUAAUCUAUAUAAUGUUAUAUUUAUAUAUUUUAUAAUUUAUAUAAUUAUUAUAUAUAAUAUUAUAUUUUAUAAUAAUAUAUAUAAUUAAACAUACAUAAUAAUAUGUUUAUAUUCAUUUUAAAUAUUAUUAUGUAUAUACAUAAUAUAUUUAUUAAUAAAUAUUUAUACAUAUGAUAUUAUAUUAAUAUUAUAUAUAUUAUUAUAAUAAAUGUGUUAUAGUUUAAAUAUAAGGAAGCAAUAUAAAGUUCUGGCCACAAACUCAUCUUGGGACAACUUGGAUUUACACUACCAAAAAAUAAGGAAACUGACCAUGGGAGUUGAUGUUACCAAAAGCGCUAUAAAAGUGUCAUAGAGGAUAAGGUUUCAUGGUCCAAGUUCAUUUUAAGUAGGUCAAGCACAAGACGUCGGUUAGCCGCAAAACCAAGAGAUUGUGGGCUUAACUCCUAAAAGACAAUUGUCCCAAAUUGGGCUUUUUGCAUUUUUAGGCAGGGUUGUUUGAAGUCAAUUUGAGGUGUAAUAUUCUGAAAUCUUUUUUUGGAGAUGUGGUGUCAUAUGGCAUGAUUUGCUAUCUUGAAAUCCACUAGAUAUCUAGCUGUAGAGAGUUUAACUUAAACCUUUAUAUGAAUCUUUUCUUAGCCUCACAAAACUCCAUUAUUUUACUAAAACUCAAAAUAUAACAAAAUCCCUUCAAAACAUAUUUUUCCCGCAAAAGGUUUUCUUCUCCUAAAAUAUAGAAAUUCAUAUCUCUUAGUGUAGUUGUUUCGUUUGUCUCAAAUUUACAGGAUUGGUAGAAUUCACCCUUAACUUUUAUGACAAUAAAACCAAUUGCAAAUUCACUCUCAAUCUUGUGGCAUCUAAGAAACCCUAGUAGAUGCUCUAAACUCUAUUUAAUAAGCAUCUGAGCACUAUUUUCUUAAUAUCUUAAGAAUCCAAUUCUUAAAUAUCAUAAAACUUAUGUAUAAAGUUUAUUAACAUAAAUUUACACAUCUCCUAAAAUUUUGUGCCAAAACCUUAGCAAAUUGCUUAAGAUAUAGCUCAAGAUACAACCACUAGUAAAUCGAGUCACUUACUACCUUUAGAUUGCAUGUGCUGAUUUCAAAAUCCAAUAACUCCUUCACUUUAACUUGGAAUCCAGCAAGUAGUAUCUAAAAAUUAUAGCCGCAAAAGUAGUCUCUCCAAUAGCGGUUGCCGAUCCUCAAUUGCUGUCCAUACUCGUGUAUUAUGCCAAAAAGAGUGACAGAAGCUCCCAAAUCAACACCUUAACUUUGAGCACUUGUAUCUCCUUCAUAUAAACUCCAAACCAUACAAAACUUGUACCAAAACCAUAUCCAAAAACCUAAAUUUGCUGAUCCUAGCCUUUAAAGCUCGAAUGGCCUCCAAAAACUAACCCUAAUCUCUAAUAUGGCCUUAGGCAGCCUCCUCUAAGCCCAUUGGUCAUGAUUUUUGACUAAUAGGAAUGGAGAUUUUCAUCAUCCAUCUCCAUUCAUCUAUAUUAGUGCCCUAAUUACUCCCUUUGUUACCAAAAUCCUUCUUCAGUCCUUUUUCUUAUAAUAUUUAUAUAAUUUAUGCUCUAAACACCAAAUAAAAGAACCAAAAUAAGUUUUCAAAGGUCACCAAUGUCUAAUAAAGGUGACUCUAAAUAUUUUGAAGUUACUAUCAACAAAAACCAAUCUUAAAAGACACUAUCAAAAAAGAAAUUAAUGUUAUACAAAUUCUAUAGUAAUCUUUUUAAAUAACCUUUUCUCAAGGUAAUAAUCAAAUUAUAUUCUACAACCAACUAAAAUCUACUAACACGACUCUCACCAUGUUAUUAAUAAAUUAUAUAUUAAGUAUAUAAUUAUAUUAUUUUCAUAUAAUAGCCGAACCUCAUCACGACAUCCAUCCCCUCUAAACCUGUGCAUCCUCUGGUAUGCACCAAAAAGAACCAAAGUUGUGGUCGGCAUCAUAUCUCCUUCCUAAUAAUGUCUUCUUCAAAAUCUAAUUCUUCUUCCUCAUACCUAGAUAGAUCAAAUUCUUCUUCAACAUCUUCGAGGAUUAGUUGUUGAUCCCGUUUUUUGAAAAGUUUUAUAUGUUUUCUAGCAAUUGGAAUUUUGAAUCUUGUUCCAUCUAAUUCUCUAAAUACAUAUUUAGCAUUAUCCAAAACAUGUACAACUACAUAAGGUUCAAACCAAUGCUUAGAGGACUUUUUAAGAGCACUAUGGUGGUCAUCCAAGCUAUUGUUAUAUACUUAAAUCCAAUAGCCUUCUUGAAUAUCUUUUGGCUUCAACAUGUGUCGCUUAUCAAAUCUAUCUUUAUUCUUCAAGCGCAACUCCCUCAGCCUUAUAAUUGCUUUUUCCACAUCUUCAAGUAUUUUUUCUAGUUGACGAAUUCAAAGUAAAAGAAGUUCUUCUUAAGAUAUAUUUUCUUGCCAAGGCAAGAUAUUCAAAGUAGGUAUUUGUUCUUCAAAUAACAUAAUAGGCUUCUAUCCUUGCAUUAACUCUGCCGGCAUAUAUCCUGUCAUUGAACUGUGAAUAGUACAAUCAGCCCAAAGAGCAAAUGGUAAUAGCCUUGGCCAUUCUCUUACUCUUCCUUUGCAAGCUUUAAUAAUGGCCCUUACAAUAGGAGGAUGAUCUCGCUCACUCUUAGCAUUGCCUUCCAGAUUAUAAGAUGUAGUAAGUACUAGCUUGACUCCACAUCUCUCAAAGAACUGUCUAGCCUCAUGUGCAUCCAAUUCUCCAUGAUCAAUAGUAAUUUUUCUAAUACAUCCAUAUCUACAAAUCACAUCUUCCAGUAAAAAUCUACAAACUCCUUCAGUGGAUUUUGUUCGUAGAGUUCUUCCUUCUACUAGGUUAGAUAAAUCUUCUCAUCCUAGAGCCAAGUACUACAUUUGCCAUAUCCCCAUAGGCAUAAUAACUAGGUCCAUAAUCCAUUUAUAAUGUAUUGUAAGUGGAUAUGUAGGAUACAAUCCAUCUCUAUGUUGAAUCUCUGAGUAUAUCUGAUAAGUUUGGCAUGAUUCUACAAACUUCACCACAUCUCUAUAUAUGUUACGUUACCAAUAUUUUUCUUUGAGCUUGUUAAAGGUAGUAUAAAUACCUCUAUGUCCAGUCCACAAACUAUUAUGGAAUUUAUGGAUUAAUUAUUCUUGCAUCUCUUUCUUGCAAACUACUCUUUGUGGCAUUCCACUAUCCCGUUUGCAUUGCUUUCAUACGUAACCACCUUGUAAGAGGUAGUUGUAAGCCUUCCGUCUAAUUUGUUUGAAAUGAAUAUCCCUCCUUCCUGAUUGUCUUGAUAAUGUGCUUAAAUAGCGUCCAAUAUCAAUCCAAUCUCCUUCAUAUAAUUCUUCUGUAAAUGGUCUUAGAUAUUCAUUCUCUCCUUGUUAUAUCCUAGAAUAAAAGGUAGUACCUAUAUCUUCAGUAUCUUCAAUCAAAUCUUCUUUUUGUUCAUAUCUAGCUGAAGAUAGCAUAUCUGCUACAAGAUUAUCCUUGCCUGCUAUAUGCUUAAAUUCAGGAUUCAAAGAUUUAAUAUAUGCAAUCCAUCUUAGCAUAGCAAUAUUAGAGGUAUUACAAUUAAUAAUCAUUCUCAAUAGUGGCAAACAAUCUAUUUCCACUAUCAUUGGUGUCUCAAUUAAAUAAUCUCUUUCAUUUUUCAUAGCUGUAACUAUUCCCCAUAGCUCCCGUUUCACCUGUGGAUAGUUCCUUUGUCGUUCACUUAAUACUUUAGGUCCAAAUCUAAUAGCAAACCUGUUACCUUCUUCAUCAUUUUGUCCAAAAGUCCAACCAACAGCUAUUGAACUAGUAUCAAUUGUAAGUAUCAUCGAUUUGCCAGCUUCAUAACUUAUUCUUCGCAAUAUAAGUGGAGAAGAUAAUAAUUGCUUUAGCUUUUGAAUUUUUUCUAUGUGCUUCUUCUUCCAUUUAAAUCUCUUCCCUUUUCAUAGCAAACUAUAAAGAAGAUUAGCUACAUAUGCAUAAUGAAGAAUCCAUACACAAUAAAAUAUGCAAGCUCCUAAAAUCCUCCGUACUUCAAUUUGUGAGCUAUAAAUAUCCUUCAUUUAUUGUAUGGCAUGCAUCUUAUUAGGAUCAGGUUUGCAACCAAACCAUCCACACAAAUGCUCCACAAUAAAAACUUCUCGAACUCCAAAGGUAGAUUUAGCUCUUGAUAGUGUCAAGUGAACCUCUUCAAGUCAAGAUAAAAUUUUGUUAUAGUCUGAAAUAUGAUUAGAUACAAAUUUAUGGCACCCCUUUUGAUCCAUUGUUUCAUUUUUUUCUUCUUCCAUAUACCUUUUUAUUGGAAUAUUAUCCAAGAAGGGCAUAGUCUUUUUUGGAAUGAAAUCAUGAAGAACCUUAUUCAUCCCAUUCAUCAUGUGAACUAUUGAGUUUGUUGCUCCUUGUAGCAAUGUACACAUCUUAACCAAUCCCAAAGGUGUCCUCAUAAUAAUAAUAUCUUUGCUUCCUUCAGCUAGUUGAAAUUGAUUAUAUGUAGAAUAGAGAUCUCCAAUAGAGUAAAUAGCUCUACCAGCAAAUGCCUCAGCAAAUUCUCUAACAAUUGAUCCAACGCCAAUAUUUCUAAUAGUUAUUUGAUUCACUAGUUGCAUAUCUUGAAUGAACCGUAGUGUUCCAUUUUUCUUUGGUAUUGUAUACCAAUGACUAAAAUAUCGUACAAAUGAUGGCUCCAUAAGUUUAGGUAGAUGUGCUUUAGGCAUCAAUAUUAGUCUUAAAUUCCAAAGAACAUGCAGAACUGUAAAUAUAAUCAUUGGUGCCACAACACUUGGAUCGAUACAUCCAAUUUUUGAAGGUUCAAAAGCAAAAGCCUUUCCAUGCAUACUUAACAUAUUUCUAAAUUCUAUUUCUUCAAUAAGUAAUAAAAAAUUUGUAGAUCCUAUUUUUAACUCAUUGAGUGUAUUCUUGAUAAACUUAUGGCCUAUUUGUUUAAGAUCCCAUAAGCCCUUUUCUUUCAAAGCUUGUUGAACUUGUUGAUUGGAAUUACUAGCUAAUGGUAUAAGUACUGGUUUUAUUUUCUUCUCCACAGUCUUGUAUCUAGUUUCAACUUUGACUUCAUAAUCUUGAAAUGCUUGAAAAGCUUAGUAGAGCUCUCUUGAAUGUACUUGCACUACUUGAUCUUCAUUUCUUUAUUCAACCUCUAAAAGUUCUUCCAUAAAAUCUUCUAAACCAGUCUCUAUAUAUACACCUACUAUCUUAUCAUCUCCAUCAAGUAUACCCUCUCUUUUUAGGUCUUUUUCAGAUUUUUGCACAACUUUUUUCUCUCACUUUGGUAGAUCAUUAAGUUAUGUAUAGAUAGUAAAUCCAUUCUUAGAUAAUUCUAUAACACUUAUACAAAAGGCAUUUUUUUUUUUCAUGCGAGAGUACCUUCUUUGAUGUACCACUACAUUCCUACUCUAUAGUGGUACCCUGCAAAACUCCGUAAACUCUUCACUAACCCUUGGUAAUAAAUCACUUCAUAAAUAAUCUUGAAAGCACUCAUAAUUUGUAGGUAUAAAUAGAAACUAUACUACUCUUUUUUCAUCUUGACUUCUAAUACAGGUAUAUGCUAAUCCGUCAUCCAAAAUCUUGGUCUCCAUCUUCACAGCUAUAAAAUAUGGUUGACCAAAAAUCAUUGGGUAUGAAGUAGUGUCUUGAAUAAAAAAAAUUUGUUGUGUGGUUACAUCUCUAAUUUUUACCUUCACAUUGGAACAAAUAUCAUAAAGAUCUCCUCAUGUAUUAUUUGCUACCCGAAUCAUUCAUCCAUGGUUAAUAUCAAUGGGCCAUCUUCUACAUUUAUAGACUUCUUUUGAUAUAAUAUUAAUUUUAGAUCCAUGGUCAAUAAGAGCAAUUACUGGUUCUAUCAAGUCUUCUAUUUUUACUAAAGUUUCUGUAGUGGCUCUUGUCCAAUGUCUCUUGGUAUAGUGUCUAAGGCCCUUGUCAUCAUCCUUGUAUUCAUCCAAAUUAAAUUGUCCCUUUUUAUUGCUAUAACAUUCUACCAAUUCAUGUUCUACUUCUUCAGUCAAGAUUAUAUUCAAAGCACUAGAUACAGCAGAUUCUCUUGUCAACUGCCUCUUUUGCUAAAUGGUGUCGAUGAUGACUUCAUGAAACUCUCUCUUAACAGUGCCUAAUAUUUCUCAUAGAGUAAAUUCAAUUUUGGUAUUCAAUACUCUUUCUUCCAAUACUCCUUUGAAAUCUAAGGCUGCCUCAAUAUCUGAUUGAAGCUUAUAAGUAAUAUGCUUACUCUUUCUUUUGUCAUUAUCAACUUCCAUCUUUUCUUUCUAUUUUUUUUUUGGCAAUGGUGCUUUUUUAGGGUGCAAUGUCGAUGGCCUAGCCCUGGAUGGUCUAUUAGCCUAUGAUAUAGGUAUUUCUUUAUUUUGUAUUAUUUCUACAUGUCUUUAAGAUCUCCUCUUGUUGGUUGGCUCUUCAAAAUUUUCUUCUAUUUCAUUUUUUCUCUUUUUUUACCUCCAUUAGAGCUUUAUGUUGGGACUUUGACAAAUAAGCAUGUACAGACAUAGUAUCUACAAGAUCAUCACAUUUUGUGGCAUUCCUAAUUAUUAUGGCUGUAUUAAGUAAUUCCUGCCUUGUUGUUUUUCAUUUAUUCAUGCUGAUAAUAGCAUGAUUCUAUAGAUCCCCUGUAUUUACAUGCUUGUCAAAAACAUCCUCCUUCUCACUUAUAGCCUCAAUGCUAUAAGUAAUAGCCUCUCUUGAUGCCAUAGCCUAUUAAGAUAAAUACUCUUUUAAAACAUUCUUCAUCCCUCCCUUUCCAAAAUUAGUUUUGAGAAACUCACCUGUAUCUCACAACACAAUGUUUCCAUCUUUCCAUAAAAUUACUUCUUGUUGCAAAAUAUCAAUAAAAUCUCCACAUUCCUUGCGAGGAUGCUCAAUACUAUCGCACCAAAUAUAUCUUUGUAUAUAUCCUUGUUUUGAUGCAAGAUUGAUUUCAAGUAAUCUUUCUUUCUCCUCUAGCUUUGCCAAUUUGAUUUGUAAGUCUUUCAUUUCUUUUAUCAACUUAUCAAUUACAUCUAUAUGUGGUGCAAUUGUAGACAUAAGAAUUGGAAUAGUACUUACUGGCAUAGAAGGUUUUGGCAAUUACCUACGAGGUAUUGUAGUUGGUGGAGGUCUUGUUGCUUGCCUUACUACCACCUUACCCCUCAAGUACUCUCUUUUAGUGGGUAUGUCCACAACUUCAGAGACUUUCUUCCAAUCACUAGUAAAUCCAUUGUCCUCUGUAUUAUCCUCCAAUAGUAAUUCCAACUCCCUUUGUAAAUCAUUAUUAGCUGAUUGAAGAAAUAACUCCACCUUAUCAUUUUCAAGUGUAAGCUUUUUCACUCGAGACCAUUGGAAAAAACGUCUUUCAAAUUCUCGGAAUAACUAUGUUACAACCAAAUCCUUCUUAGAUUUAUUAAUCCACUCUAUAAACGAUUUUCUUGUCACCUUUCCUACAUCUUCUAAAGAAUACUCUUCCUUAAGCUGAAGGAUAAAAUCUUUUCAUAAAAAAUUUUAAAUAAAUUCUAAAUAAAUUCUAAAAAAUCCUAUAAUUUUUCUAUAAUACUAAUAUCCAUAUGAAGCUGUAUUUUCCUAUCUUAGUGAUUUUUUAUAGUAAUAAAAUCAAUUUAAAUCCACUAAAAAUCCUAUUUUUUAUAUAAUUAAUUAAAAAGACAUGAAGCUCUUUUUCAUGCUUCUUUUAACUACUGACUAAUCAUUGAUAGGAUUUUAUAAGUAACACAUGUAAAUAGGAGCCAAUGAAGAUAUUGGUUUCAAUAAAUAACUCUUAAUACUUAACAAUAAGAAAAAGACUAAACUAAUUAAGAUAAUUACCUCUAAGACUUAUUAAGAUUCCAUUUUUAUAACUUUUCUUCUAAUAAUACUUUUACAACUUAUAAAUACUUCUAAAUUAUAACAAAUACUGAAAUAGUUAAAAAAAAUCUUUCUACUCUUAACAUUUGUAUAAUUGAAUGACUUAAAAUUAUGUUUUUAACUAAUCCACUAGGUAAGAUCAAGUUAAAGAACUUAUACCGGAUAGAGCUUAUUUUUGCUCUCAAUGAAGGUGCACUCUCAAGUUUGAUCUCCAUAGUGAAGGUAGAAGAGAAGCUUAGAGAAGAAUGUAGCUCAUCCUUCAAGGAUACUAAGGUAAAGGUCUCAGCAUUUACUCAACCAUCCAUUGCCAUAUCAUGACUAAGAUAGGCUACGUAGGUGGCUUUUUGUACAGAUGAUGAACUAUAACUAUUUGAGCCACUCUAUCUAUUCAUAUCUCAUCUAGAGAUUGAAUAUCGAGGCUUUAGGCAUGAUCAGAUGCAAGCCAUCCAAGACUUUCAGUGUGAAAAGAAAGACACACCAUGCACUAUGUAUACUCAUUUGGCAUGAUUUGGAGUGGAAUCAAAGGAAAUAUUUGUUGAGAGUCAAUUUAUCGAGAUCUUUUUAUCCAAAUUUUAACAUAUUUACAAUAUCUUUUUAAAAAUCCAUAAGAAAUAGAAUCAUCUACUAUAUUGUAUAUAAUCUAUAUCUAUUAUUUAUAUGUAGAGACAUCAAACUCAAUCUAGGGCCUAUUUUAAAUCUUUUUAUAGAUGAUCUACCAAAGAAUAUACUACAAAAGUUAUAAAACAUACUUCACACUAGGAACCAUCCAAUUAAGACUUGAAUAUAAGACUUUGGCUAAAACCUUUGCUCCAAAUCUUGACUUCACUCACCUUAAUCAUGUAGAAAUCCAAUAUACUAUCAAUACUUAUAUAGAAUCCUUCAAUAAAACACUCACUACCCACUUCUAAGAAUACUCUUUGUACUAAUCAUAACACUAAGUCUUUUUUCUAAUAUAUAUAAUACAACACUUGUUUUUAACUAAUAUCACUUUAUCAACCUACUUAUCAAACUAACACAACUCUCUAUUCUACCGAAACAUAUACUUUUUACCUCUAAUCAAUUUGAUAAAUUUAUGCAAGCUCAUGCAAAUAUCAUAAUAUUAUCAAAUACCAUCCAUAAAUAAUUAUGUGAUUAUAUAGUCACAAAUAAUCUACUUGUUGCUCUCCAAUCUAUUCAAACUAAAUUCCUCUAUAUUCUUCUAAUCCUUGUAAAAGAAGCCCUAAGAUGCAUUGUCCUACUAAUAGACUAUUUUUAUCCACCACCACCCUCUAAUCAUCCUUCUCCUCAACCUCAACACCCCUCUUAUACAAAUCAAAUCACAUACUUUAUCACAUGGAAUAUUUCCUUUUUCAACACCUCCAUAUUAUGUCUAUACUUUCUUAUUUCACAAUUCAACCUUGCCAUUCUAAUUCUACAAGAAAUUAAGCUAAUAUCCAAGAAUCUACCCAAAUACAUUGAAAGACUAUUUCCACAAUACAAACUUCUCUUUAAUAAUAUACAUAAUGAAUCAUGCCCCACAUAUAGACUAGAUUUAUCUUAUAUGCCUUCAUAGAGAGGCAUGCUAAUAUUCAUUCAUAAUAAAUAUGCAUUCCCUAGUAAUAUUACUUCACUACCAACCCUCUUCCCCUUCCUUUGAAAUAUCCUCUUACUUUCAAAUUAUACAAAUCUCCAAUUAACUAUUAUCCAUUAUUCUCCUUAUCUAUUUCUAUAUGCCAAUAUACAAAGAAGACAUAUACUUAAUUCCCAUCAUAGAAAAUACAAUCAAAUAAAAAAUUACUUGCAACCCAAUCCAUACUAUCAUAAUGUAUGGAGACUUCAAUUGUGAUAUUGCAUUAAUUGGUAGGCAACAUAAUCAAAUCUUUUUUCUACUAAUUAAUACUGACAUCCAAUAAAAGUAAUUUAUUAACAAUAUAUAUAUAUAUAUAUAUAUAUAUAUAUAUAUAUAUAUAUCUAUUAAUAUAAAUUAUUCUAGAUAAGAUGGCCCUAAUUAUAUACAUAUUAGCCUAACAGAUGGCUACUACAUAAAAUCACUACAUAACUUUCACCAAACAUUGGCAACUAUCACCAACUUCCAACACAAUUCCGACUAUAAAUGCUUUACUCUUCAAAAUUCUAUCAAUACUAUCCCACUACACCUCAACUCCUAUAUAUAUUAGGUAUUAGAAAGCUUCUUGAGAAGUUUCCAUGUUGCUUGGAUAUAAAGCAAUUCUAGAAUCCUUCUUGAACAACUUUUUUAAUCCUUCUAGAAAAGUUUCCAUGUUGCUUGGAUACAAAGCACCCUAGGAUCAUUCUUCGACAACUUCGUUAACCUUUCUAGAAAAGUUUCCAUAUUCCUUAGAUACAAAGCAAUGCUAGGAACUUUAUAGAAUUCAGUAGAAUAUUCUAAGAGUCUUUUUAGAAUCUUCUAGAAUCUAUUAAAAUAUUCUAAGAAUCUUCUAUAAAUCUUGUUGUUGGAUAUCUAUAACAUAACCUCUUCUUCUAAUUCCAAAUUCCACGAGAAAUUAAAUGUGUUACAUACGUUGAAAGUUCAAAAUAUGAUUAAGUAGCAAAGUAACAUAUUCAACUCUUUGUUCUUGGAUUAUGGAUUCAACAAGACGUCAAAGAAAACAUCAUCGGCCUCUAGCUAAAAUGCGAAGAUUUGACAUAGAUACUCUAUUCUACCUUGAAAAAUAGAACUAAAUACAAGUGAAAGUCUUAGUGUGGCUCUCUCCUUUUUAUGUGCAUCCUUGAGAUAGAAGCUUCAACAAGAAGUUAUCAUUGAAUAUGCUUAGGUUCCUGAGGAUAGCAUUGAUGAAACUCUUGUAUCUUUUGUGGUGCAUUGAUUAGAUUUUCAAUUGGUUUCUAUAUACGUUCAUUGAUAUCAAAGCCAUGCCAAUGGAUAAGAUACUCCAACUUGCCUCACCUUCACUACAAAUCAAGUAUCUUUUUAACCUUGUACUCUAUGUGGUUCUCAAUUUUAAUAUAAAGCAACGGUUGUUGCACUCUUCUAGGAAUAUUUGAUUCUUUAUAAGAUUUCAAAAGAGAGUCAUGAAAAAUUAGAUAUACCUUCAUAGACAAGGAUAACUCCAAUCGAUAUGCCAGUGGACUAAUUAUUUUUUGAAUGUGAAACUGUCCUAACUUUCAAUAAUCUAGCUUAUCACAUGGCUAAUUGGUCUUGAUAUUUUGUCGAAGAAGCCAUAUCUUAUCUCCAACUUAAAAAAUUUGUAACUCUUUUCUAAAACCAUUAAAAGAUGCAUUAUAAGAAUCUUGAGCUACUUGUAAUUGGAGCAUCAAAGUUGUUUGGAGUUGCGAUAAUCGAUGUGUAAGGUCUUUGGUAGCUGGGUUUUUAUUCCUUGAUAUGGCCAAAAAAUUAAGCUUAAGAUGGUAACCAUAGUUGACUUAAAAUGGUGUUUGUUAAGUGGAUGCAUGCACAGUAUUAUUAUAAGCAAACUUUGCUAAUGAUAAAUACAACGUCCAAUCAUCUUCUUGAUAAUUGAUGGUACAUUGCAAAUACUGCUCUUAGGCUUGAUUAAUUAGCUCUAUAUAACUGUCAGUUUGAGAAUGAAAGGCAAACGAGAGUUUGAUAUUAACCUUCAACAUUUUGAACAUGGAUUUCUAGAACUUUGAUACAACUUGAGAUCUAUAAUUGAAAUAAUAUCAUCUACGAACCAUGAUAUUGAUAUAAAUUAUCAUGAAGUAGUCUUGUUGAUUCUUCUUCAGAAAUUGUUUUUUUGCAAGGCGCAAAGUAUGCCAUCUUUGUAAUCCAAUCAAAACUAACAAAAAGUGCAUAAAAUGAAUUUGAUGAUGGUUGAUUGGUUAUAAAGUACAUUGAAAUAGAAGAGCAUGAUUGCAUUUGAAAUGGCAAUGGUUCCAAACAUCUCAAUGGUUACAAAAUCCAUACAUUUGAUGAGCAAUAUGGAUUGCAGAGAGGGUUGAUGCUAUAGAUUUCAGGAAUCGCGAAAUAGGACUUAUGGUAAAGAUCCUUGUGCUCAUAUGAAAUUCCAUGACACAACAAUCAACACUUUUGGCAAUAGAUGCCUUCCAAAGAGCAUUGACACCACAAAGCUUUAUAAAUCAAACUUUAAUAUAUCCUAUCAUUAAAAAUAUAGCAUAUAAUAAUUUAUACAUAUAUACAUACAUAUAUAUAUAUAUAUAUAUAUGUAUAUAAUUAUAUAUAUAAAUAUACAUAAGUAACAUAUUUAUUUAUAUGUAUUAUCAAUCUCACAUAUUUAAAAAUAUAAUAUUUAAUAUAAUAUAUAAUAUAAUACUAUAUUAAAGAUAUAUAUGUAAUCAUAUCCAUUAAUUAUAUGAAAUACAUAAUAUUAAAUUUUAUUUUAAAUAUAUUCUAUAAUAUAUUUAAAUAUAAAUUUUAAAUUAAUAAUUAUAGAUAUUUAAUAAUAAAAGUAUUUUAAAUGCAUUAUAUAAUGAUUAAAUAUAGUUAAAUACAAUUUACUUUUAAAAUUAAAAUAUAAUAUGACAAGUAAAUACAACAUAUAUGUAUAAAUAUAAUUUUUGUAUGUAAAAAAAUAUAAAUAUCACCAUUCUAUAAAUAUGAAUAAUUUCACAAAUAUUAUUAUUCAGAAAAUAAUAUUAUUCAGAAAAUAAUAUUAUUCAGAAAAUAAUAUUAUUCAGAAAAUAAUAUUAUUCAGAAAAUAAUAUUAUUCAGAAAAUAAUAUUAUUCAGAAAAUAAUAUUAUUCAGAAAAUAAUAUUAUUCAGAAAAUAAUAUUAUUCAGAAAAUAAUAUUAUACAGAAAAUAAUAUUAUUCAGAAAAUAAUAUUAUUCAGAAAAUAAUAUUAUUCAGAAAAUAAUAUUAUUCAGAAAAUAAUAUUAUUCAGAAAAUAAUAUUAUUCAGAAAAUAAUAUUAUUCAGAAAAUAAUAUUCUUCAUACAAUAAUAUUCUACAUAAAAUAAUAUUAUUCAUACCAUAAUAUUAUUCAUAAAAUUAUAUUAUUCAUACAAUAAUAUUAUUCAUACAAUAAUAUUAUUCAUAAAAUAAUAUUAUUCAUACAGUAAUAUUAUUCAUAAAAUAAUAUUAUUCAUAAAAUAAUAUUAUUCAUACAAUAAUAUUAUUCAUACAAUAAUAUUCUUUAUAAAAUAAUAUUAUUCAUACAAUAAUAUUAUUCAUAAAAUAAUAUUAUUCAUACAAUAAUAUUAUUCAUAAAAUAAUAUUAUUCAUACAAUAAUAUUCUUCAUAAAAUAAUAUUAUUCAUACAAUAAUAUUCUUCAUAAAAUAAUAUUAUUCAUACAAUAAUAUUAUUCAUAAAAUAAUAUUAUUCAUACAAUAAUAUUCUUCAUAAAAUAAUAUUAUUCAUACAAUAAUAUUCUUCAUAAAAUAAUAUUAUUCAUACAAUAAUAUUCUUCAUAAAAUAAUAUUAUUCAUAAAAUAAUAUCCUUCAUAAAAUAAUAUUAUUCAUAAAAUAAUAUUAUUCAUAAAAUAAUAUUCUUCAUAAAAUAAUAUUAAUCAUAAAAUAAUAUUAUUAAUAAAAUAAUAUUAUUCAUAAAAUAAUAUUACUAAUAAAAUAAUAUUCUUCAUAAAAUAAUAUUAUUCAUAAAAUAAUAUUCUUCAUAAAAUAAUAUUAAUCAUAAAAUAAUAUUAUUAAUAAAAUAAUAUUAUUCAUAAAAUAAUAUUAUUAAUAAAAUAAUAUUAUUCAUAAAUUAAUAUUAUUAAUAAAUUAAUAUUAUUAAUAAAUUAAUAUUAUUAAUAAAAUAAUAUUAUUAAUAAAAUAAUAUUAUUCAUAAAAUAAUAUUAUUCAUAAAAUAAUAUUAUUCGUAAAAUAAUAUUAUUCAUAAAAUAAUAUUAUUAAUUAAAUAAUAUUAUUAAUUAAAUAUAAUUAUUUAUCAAAUAUUGUUAUUUAUUAAAUAUUGUUAUUUAUUAAAUAUUGUUAUUUAUUAAAUAUUUUUAUUUAUUAAAUAUUGUUAUUUAUUCAAUAAAGAAUUUUUAAGAUGUAUGCCUUCUGGCAGGCGGCCCAUUGGAAACACUCACUAAUUGAUAUCUAACAACGUCGGGACUUCAUUCUCCUCUUCCACCACCGAACGAAUCGGAUCCAUUUCCGGUACCACUGGACAAUUGGAUUCCUCAAUUUUAUGUUUUACCUCUGUUAUAUUGACAUUCUGUGCUAACGAAUUUCGUUCUUGCUGCGGAGGCACUGACACUAGUUCAGAACUUCCUUCUACUGGCGAUGUUUGCCACAAUGUGUAUGCGAUCACAACAUACACAUAAUUGGAACAUAGCAAUGCUGUAAACUUCCAUAUUUUGUGAUUGGCUCCCAUUUUUGCAUGUAUAUGGGUUGCUACAUAAGCUGCCUUAUUGAAGACCAUCCCUUCAAACGUUCCUACUGCUGCAAACAUUAACCGUCUUGACAUAUAUGUGUUGUGUCGAUACAACCCUAGAUGCCUGAGCACGAAGCGCAACCAUUCGAUGAGCUCUGAUGUAAUUGCCUCAGCCGUCCGCCAACCUUGAUUCUUCUCAAAUGAUGAUAUGCCACUUUUGAAAUAACUUCCCGGUUGGAAGUCACUGGACUCCUCAGCACCCACCGCAUUCUCUCCAACUGGAAGAAACAGUACUUUUUCAAGGAUCUUCUCAUCAAUACCAAUAACGCGCCCUUGUACUACGCUCGAUCCAUCCUGUGGGUCAUAGUUCGCGAUGUAUUCUUCUACUAAUGCCACAUUAAUUGAAGGUAAACUAUCUGACGUGUGCAAAAACUUAAACAUUUGUGUGUUUCAAAAAUCUCGUAUUCUCCUUGGUAUCCAGCAAAUCUCUAGCUUCAUAGGCUCCAUAUUGGUAACGAUUACUACGGAUGGUAGUCCUAAAUUGCGUUUAGCUUUCACAUUUUGGCCACUUUCCUCUCUGUCCAUAGCUCUCUUUGCACUCUCCAUCGCCAUGACGUACACUCUUUCAAGCUCUAACCGUCAAUACUACGCUCCAGUACUCCAAAACACCCAAAAUUGUAACACUGAGAAGAAACAAUAACAGAAUGUGACAACUAAGAAUGACCGUAAAUGGGUGCCCCACUCCUAUUCUUUUACCUAGUGGUGAUAACGAUAACAUGUUACUCCUAUUGUCCAUUUUUCACCCCCGUCCCGUCUGACACAUUAGUAAUUACUAACUAUCCUUUCAGCUGCCUCUACACCCUAAUAUACUUAAUUAGGUCUAUCCUAAGUACAUUCGACGUGACCUCCUCCAGAAAUUGAAAACCCAUCUCGGAUUUUACGUAGGAUAUAACCGUAAUCGGUUCCCGUUAAUGCGGGUACUAAAUUAGUGAUCCAUGAAAUCCUCCAAUUGAAUAGAUCCAUUGGAAAAUCCUUCAAUCACACGAUAUGGCUCAUGCCAGCAAACUUGAAAUUUGCCCGGAAAAUGAUUAAACUUAUUAUCAAACAACAAUACCAAAUCAUUGGGCAUAAAACUCUUCAAACGCAGUUUACUAUCAUAGUAACUCUUCUGUCAUUUUUGAGUUGCUUCCAUGUUGAAGAGAGCUGUAGCCCGUAUUUCAUCCAAUUUGUCCAACUCUGCCAACCGAUAUUGAAGUGAUUCCUUAUCUCCAAGACGUUCAUCCAACGUAAUGUGCAAACUCUAAACUUCCAAUUCAAUGGAUAAUAUUGCUUCUUGCCCGUAUACCAAUUGGAAUGGUGUGGAAUUGGUAGUCACUUUAUAUGCAGUACGAUACGCCCACAAUGCCGCAAACAAUUUAGUAUUCCAAUCCAUUUCCACGCUUGAAAUUAUUUUGGUAAAAAUCUUACAUAGAAUACCAUUGGUCUUUUCCGUCUGUCCAUUGGCUCGAGGAUGAUAUGGUGUUAUUUUCUUGUGCUUGAUUUCGUAUGUGUUCGUCAAGGCUGCUAUGGUAUCAUUUAUGAAAUGGGUGCCGCGAUCGCUAACCAAUUCCUUCGGACACCCAAAUCGAGUAAUAAUAUUUUCAUAUAGAAAUGUGGCCACCGUACUGGCAUUAUCAUUGCGGGUAGCAAUAGCCUCCGCCCAUUUGGUUACAUAGUCCGUGGCAACUAAAAUAUACCACUUUUUUUGAUGUCUCGAUGCUAGUGCAAUGGGUCCAACAAAAUCAAUUUUCUAUUUCUCAAAUAGUGCCUGUACUAAGAUUGGUACUAACAGCAUCACUGAAGUACCUGUGGGUCGACUAAUUUGUUGACAGGAAUCACAACGACAAACAAAUUGGUGCGCAUCAGAAAACAUUGUGGGCCAUCAAUAUCCGGCCAUUAAAGCCUUGCGAGCAGUACUGUCUCUCGCAAAAUGUCCACCACAACUAUCCAAAUGACAUCCUUCCAAAAUUAUACGAACUUCACUUUGAAAGAUGCAACGGCGUAAAAUUCCAUCCUACCCUUGUUUGUAUAAGGUAUCUCCAAUCAUAGUAUAUGGUGCACUUUUUAAAAUCAGACGCUUCUUUAGUUUUUCAUUAUAAGAAAUGGAAAAAGUCUGAAACGUUAGAUAUUGGAUCAAUUCACCAUAUUCGGAUGUAAUGACAUCCAUAGCAAAUAGUUGUGCGUCCGAAAGAGCAUUGUUUAUCGGCUCAUUACCCAAUAUAUUAGAUAAACGGGAUAAGUGAUCCGCAUUGGCAUGUUUCUUUCCUAGUCGUACAUUGAUAGUAAAAUUAAAUUCUUGAAGUAAUAACACCCAUCAAGCAAUGCGUCCACUCAAUUGAGGCUUAUUAAUCAUGUAUUUGAGGGCAUCAUGAUCCACAUAAAAGACAAAGGAAUACCCAAGCAAAUAGUAUCGAAAUUUUUGAACCGAGUAUAUCAUACCCAACGCUUCUCGUUCAGUAGUAGUGUAAUUACGUUCGGCAGCCACCAAUUGCCGACUAGCAUAAUAGAUAGGAUGAUCCAGAUCCUGGUCAUCCUUCUGACUUAGCACCGAUCCAAUAGCCAUAUUGGAUGCAUCAACAUACACAUAAAAGAGCUCGGUCCAACGAAGGUCACCAAUAUUGGUGUAGAGACCAAUUUUGACUUCAAUGCUUCAAAGGCCACGGUACACUCCAUAGUCCACAUGGGACUAGUCCCAUCUAAUGGAGGUUUUUUCAAUAAGUUUGUUAAAGGUAGACAAAUAAUUACAAAUGACCAAAUAAAUCGUCGAUAAUAACUGACAUGGCCGAUGAACCCUCGAACACCGGAGACCGUCUCUGGUCUAGACAAGUUCAUUAUAUGUGUCACUUUGUCCGGAUCCGUAGCGAUACCAUGGCUAGAGAUGAUAUGUCCCAAUAAUUUUCCUGAUAGAAUAUCGAAUUGAUACUUAUCCGAGUUCAAUGAUAUUUCAAACUUAACGCACUAAGCCAAGCAUUUACCGAGACAAUUAAGAUGAUCUUGUUUUGUACUGAAUACACAAAAGUCAUCUAAAAAGAUCUUCAUAAACAAUCGGAGAUAGUCUUGGAAGGCCUAACUCAUCUUUCUCUGAAACGUGGCUGGGACGUUAUAUAACUCAAAAGGCAUCACAUGAUAAGCGAAUGUGCCCCAAUCCGUAGUAAAGGUCGUUUUGAGCUGGUUUUCCAUUGAAGCUUGAACCUGAUUAUAUCCGAAAAAUCCAUCUAGGAACAAAUAACAUUCAUGACCUACUACAGCGUUGAAUAUACUAUCUGUGAAGGACAAUGGGAAGUAAUCUUUCUAGAUAGCCGCAUUAAGUUUCCGAAAAUCUUGACAAAUUCGGAUUUUUCCAUUCUUUUUCGACACCAUCACGAUUGAAGAAACCCACUCACUAUUUGGUACCGAGUAAAUAAAACCAACCGCAAGAAGCUUGUCCAAUUCCUCCUUCACCAUGAGAGAAUAUUUAGGAUUAAGGCGAUGUUACCUCUGUCGUACCGGUUUAGCGUUCUCCUCUAAAAUGAUACGAUGCUCACAGACUUCAGUGGGAAUACCUUUUAAAUCAUCAUAAGUCCAAGCAAAAGCAGAUUUAUGAUGCAAGAAAAAUUCGAUCCAGCAGGUCAAUUCUUGUUCCUUAAUACCUUUGUAGACCUUAAUUAUCCAAGGUUCUGCUGUGGUCACCAAGUUGAUAGUUUGACAUAAAGGUGCAACGGCAAUGUUCUGUUUCAACCCCCAUGCUGGUUUAAAGUCAGUUAGUAAGUUUGACAUGUACAAAGUAUUGAAUCCUGUAUCCAGGGCACUAACAUGGUGCACAUCAUACUUGGUCAUCCAAUCAGUACUAACAUAAUCUGAGUUUUUUGUAUCUGUUGGAUAUAUCAAGUACUCCCCCAGAUCUCCUUAUUAGUACACCACUCCACGAUGUAGUGCUGCCUCUAUGAACGCCUCCGUAAUUGAUGCUACUGCAUCAUCAUCGAAGCUAAGCUCAUUGUUUGACGUUAAUUCAAAUGCUCAUAAUUGAGACUCCCCGUGAUAGUGUACUGGAUACAUUUGUAACACCAUUUUGUCUCUGCCCUUGCCAAUUGUCAAAGUACCCUGACCCGAAUCGUUCUUGGCCUUUGCUUGAUAAAGCUAGGGUAAUCUCAAUAAAAUUGGAUAUGAUAAAGUCAAACGUUGUAACUGAAAGAUGAUAUAGUUGAUUUUAUAUGCAAUACCGACAAUCAUAGUUUGAACACUCCGUAAGAUACCCAUUGGUUUAACCCGGCUAUGAUCUGUCAUUCGUAAUACCAAUGUUAUAGGUAGUAAUUGCUUUAGAUCCAAGUCCUCCAUUGUAUCCACGUUCAUUAAAUUCACACUAGAGCCACCAUCGACUUGUACUCCUGGAAUUAAAAUGCUAUCGAUUGAUACAUCGAUUGUUGGUGCUCUUAGAUCUAUGUUUAAGCUAACUUCAUGAAUUUCUUUUGUACGAGAUCUUCGUCGUAUUAACGUUGAAUUCAAUGUAAAUUGACAUUCCGGUGCUACAGCCAAAAGUUGCUUCAUUGUAAUUGAAGGCUGAAUAACAUCCAAAUCCCUCAGAAUGUUGCAGGGUUCCAUAUUGAGAAUAAUUCCCAAUGCUCUUUUGUGUUUCAUUGGUUUCAAUUUUACUCCGUUCGGUAGCAACUCCUUCCUAGCGAUUGAGAUUGUUGUUGGUAACUUCGCCAACUUAUCUACCACUAAAGGUUCCUUUAAUGCGUAAGAUCUUUUAUUGGGCUGUACAGGUAUUGGUACUUGGUCAGUUGGGAUCGAUCUUGAUGGCCCAAUAAAUUGGCACGUGGGACCGAAUUCGGUUCCUCAGUUUGUUGAGGUCUCAAUAUUGGGAUACUUCCCAAUACUGAUAUUAGUUCGUUUAGCCCCGUGGAUGGUGCUACUUGCUCUCCUGCGAUUGGUUCAUCUAUGCCCUGAAUUAGAUUCUUGUCUUUUUGUUGGCCUCUCGUAAGCACUGCGUUCACCACCUCGACACGAUGUACAGGUGAGUCUCAUUGAAUAGGGCCUUUGUCUUCCAUCGGUUGGCUUGUUUGUAUUUGCAGGUCCCGGUUAUUAUAAUUAAAGGGCACAUUGCACUGCUGAUAAGUGUAACCAGACUGCUUACAAUUUCCACAUAUUGGAGCAUAGUCAUCACUGGCCCUUGGAUUAGGACAUUCACUCACAUAAUAUCCAAUUUGUCUGCGUUGAUAGCAACGAAGUGGUCUCUUGCCAACUCCUUCAGGGAUGAUGGAUCUCUCUAUUGGUAUAUAACGGCUAGGUCUGUUCCAUGUCAGAUGAGUAAAGGAUCCUAGUUGAUCCAUUGUUACUAUAGAGUCUAGCAUUGGCUUCGUCAUGGAUGAAUAUUGAUGGUAUCCUGGUUGGUUCAUCGCCAAUCCGUGAAUAUUGGAUACACCUUCUUAGUAAAAUUCAGAGCUGAAGAAAUUAGAAUAAUUCCUGUUUUGUUUAUUUGCUCGAUUUCCAUUCCAGCCAAACCUAUUAUUCGUCUGUACUUGAUUGACAUCCCACGAAGUUGGUUGAGUCAUUAUCUGGUUACUGAGUUGUUGUUGCUUCCAUAAAUUCCAACAGUUGGUGGUAAUAUGCUAACUCCCACAAAAGGUACAUUGUACAGUCAUUUGGAGUGGUGAAGGAUAUUCUAUUACUAAAUGACCUUACCCCUUACAGUUGCUGUACCAGACAUUGGGACGCAUAUUGGUUGGUUUAUGCCUCUUUUUUUUUAUCUUUGGCCAGAUUCAGAGCCAAUUCAUCUAUUUUUUUCGUCAAUGUUAACAAUAAUGAUUCAUUGGGAUACCAAUGCAUUUGGUAAUUCCUUUGUAGGUAUUGAUUUUUGAUACAUGGAAUAAGGUGCAUACGGGUGUGAUGAUGAUGGUGGUACAGCUUGAAAUGGAAUGGCAUCCAAUAUUCCCUAUGGAAUUGUACUAUAAUCAUUCCUUCCCAGAUAACUUUCCGAUGUGUCAUUCUAAUUUGUUAUUUGAUAACCUCCUUGAGAUGGAAUCAUCGUGGCUCCAACUGUUAAGUUCUAGUCAUAAUGACAUUCCUUCCAUACUUUUGCUCGCUCAAGAGAUGAUGCAAUGGUGGCUGAUUGGGCCUCUUUUACAAACAUUUUCAAUUCUGGUGGGUGUAGUCCAUUAACCAAUAUGGACAACACAAAUGAUUUUGGCAUUUGGUUAUUUGGCCAUUUUCGAAGUAUAUCCAUUGUACGACUAUAAUAUGACUGUACUGCUUUCCUUGGUAUCAUUCUACUGUUCAUUAAUUUUUCUCUAAGAUGUACUUCAAAACCAAUUGGUCGAAAAUGGGCUAAAAAUGUAUUUUUUAAUACCUCCCAAUUGAUAAAUUGUCCCACAGGUUGGCAGUUAUACCACUCAAAUGUUGUGUCUUUCAAUGUCGCUUAUAGCCAUCUCUGCCAAAUGUCUUAUGUUUUUCUAUUAUUAGGUACACAUGCCAUCAAGAAUUGAGACAAAUGUUGAUCUGAAUCCGCACUUGGCAAACCUCAAAAAGUAGGUAAUGACACGACGCUAGUCGUUCGAUCACCCAUUGCACCCAUUUGAACUGCAAUCGAAACUGUUGGUCUUCCAAACGUCAUUAAAGAUGUCGGUGUUUCGAUGUCGUAUUACGUGCUUUCCUGCUCGAGAACGCGCCGGGCGUCUGGCUGUAGAAGGUAGUAUGGAGAUUCGCCGAUAGUCAAGCAGUCUAUCAGUUUUUGACUGCUGGAAUAUAAACGACUGCAACAAUGUACCGUAAAUCUAUACGAGUGCUCUUCGACUGCUUGUCGAAGUCCUUUUUGCCCCAGCCGGUAGGUCUCUAGACGUUACAGAGAACCCCGUACAACCCAAACUGUUAACCUUCAAUACUGCUUUGUACUUACGAUCUUGUAUCCACUGACUGUCUUGUUAGAUUAACCCAAUAAAUUUCAUUCACUCCGCAUACUCAAUCCUAUAGACACCCUUUUAAUCCUUCAAUCACAGACGUAACUCUAUUUCACAAAACAAUCAAGAGUAUUCAAACCCACUUCAUUUAAAAAUCCCGAUUCACCAUUACAACACUGACUUCAGCAGCGAUUGCCUCAGUCUUCUCCAAAACUCUACGAAGAAGAAAAAUCCAAAUCCUAUGUCUUUCCUUCCCCGACCCGAAGCAUGAAGCUCCUCUCUCUAAUUCCCUUGAUCUUCAAAAACCCUCCAAUGAAAACCGAACUGGUAACCUUGCAAAAGCUUGAAAACUAGCUCCCCCCUCGAUUUCCUUCAAAAAAAAACCCCACACCCUCCAAAACUAUAUCCCCCCUAACCUUAUCCUUUGAAUUUCUUCAAUCUUCUGUCUUAGAUUCGAAAUUGGCUCCUACCUCAAGCUUGGAUCCGAAAUUGGCUCUCGCCGUCAAGCUUUCUCCUCCGUUUUUGCCUUUAAGAAAUCCAUUUACCGAAAACAACGUUCCCAGAGACGGCAUAGAGAACAGGACAGCCUGAAACAGAAUCAAACCCCGUAAUCGGGACCACAUUGAGUCGCCCGACCAAUUCAGGUCCUAUAUUGGUAAAGAUGCCCGUAGCAACCAGGAUGUUCCCAUAAUUGGGUCAAAUUGGUCCUCGCGUCAGAUUGGCUAAGACCCGUAGUAAGACCUGGAUUUUCCGUAACUGGGUCAAAUUGGUCCUCACGUCAGAUUGGCUAAGACCCGUAGUAAGACUUGGAUUUCCCGUAACUAGACUGCAUUGGGUUGCCCCACCAAUACAGGUCUCAUAUUGGAUAAGAGGACCCGGAUUGGAUUAUCGAAAUUAGAUCCAAUUGGCUCCUCGAACCCGACGUGUGAAUUGGUCCUUCUCUUCAUGUUGACUCCCGUUAUUGGAAUCGAAUGGAGCAUUUCAGUAUGCCUCGGCUGAUUGUAACGGAGUCACUGAACCUGACCACUCAGUAUUUGUACUGGAGUUGGUCGAUGCUCCCAAUAUUCGAGGUAACUGAAUAUUAAUAAAAUUCCCCUUUCUUUUUAUUUUCACUGUAUACUCGUGUUACAACACGACACCGCUCAAUUUCUUAUUAAAAUAAAAACCUUUUCUCGCAAAAGUCUUUUUUGGACUUCCAGGCCUUCUCGAUUGACUAUUAUUAUCUCCAAAUAAUUUUACUGGUUGAAUAUGAGGUGAAAAUGACAGGUUUUGAUAUACUCUGAAUUGGUCUUUUUUGGCAAGUGAUUUAUGCCGAUCUUUAAAACCAGUCUUGUUAAGAUCAGAUGUAAUUUCAAUUGAGAAGAUAUUCAAUGGGAUACCUAAUUCCUCUAUGCCUUCUUCGUUUUCCGUUAAUGGCUUCGAGAGGUUUGCUGGACUAUUAGCAGCGCUCCACGCGAGUGCUCUUGGCAAUUUCUUUAACGGUAUGUAUUUCUGAAAUAUUAGAAGUUGAUCAUCUUCUGGGUACGAUCGAAUAUAUCGACAGGCAUGCAACCACGACUUAAUCCAACUUUGUCGAUGCUUCUUUUGCAAUUUACAAUCUCGCUCAUUAUGCAAUAAAUUUCUUGCUUGCGAUCUCUCUAUUCUUUCCUUUGAUUGCUUUAUUCUCUUUGCUGUUAAAUUCUCAUUCUUAAUAACCAUAGUCUUUCUUCAAACACUACUGAAAUCGUCUUCCAUUGCUAAUUUUCUCACACGUUUGGUAAUUAAUUCCGAAUACUCAAAGCUAUUAUCACUCUCCGGCAGCAGCGCCAAAAUGUGAUUGCUCGUUUUACUUAUUCCAAAAGAAACCUUCUAGCAUAAACCCGUAUAGGGGGAUUCGAACAUGGGGAAUGACUAGUUGCUUAAGCGUUCACGUUAGGGUUACACAGUCAAUUACCUCCUGAAUGUAUCGUCUCUAUUUUCAAUAUCUGAACACACAAGGAAACUAUAAUCUUCUCCUUCACCUUAUCGGUCUCUUCUUUACAACAAUUCAGUUAUACUAAUAACUGCUAUUUCUACCAAUAUAUUAACCCUCAUAAUCUCCAAUUAUAAUACUAUGCCUUCACAGCUUUCAGUAUACAAUUACCCUCGUUCCAAUCACUGGAAUUCUUCACACAGAACUGCCAUUCGUAUUACAGUGUUUCACACAAAUACAGACUCAUUCUCUCUGCUGAACUACAAUCAGAUUUCAGCAUUCAAUCUUUCUUCUUCUCAAAUAAUACCAAUCACAUUUCCAUUCCAUAAUUCACUUCACAAUAUUCAGAAACUUUCAAUCCUCUUAUUCAAAGAAAAUAACAAACAAAAGAAAAGAGGUAGCACCAAGCUUAUCCCGGCUCACAACUCUUACAGUCUGGCCCUCGGCUCACAACUCUCAUAGUUUGGCCGUCGACUCACAACUCUCAUAGUCUGGCCCUCGGCUCACAACUCUCACAAUCUGGUCUUCAGCUCACAACUCUCAUAGUAUGGCCCUCGACUCACAACUCUCACAAUCUGGUAUUUUCUUCCCCUCUUCUAUCUUCCUUAUACUGCCCCGAGAUACCAACUCCUAUACUACAGAUGAUAACUACUUUUCCUGACUAUUCAUCUAUUCUACCUGCUGAACCAUCUUUUCUGUAGUUAUCUAUCCUUGUUUACACUAUACACUAGGUAUCUACAUUCAGAAAAUAACUACUUAUUCUACACACUCUAAGGUAUUGCGUUGCGUCCACGGGUGCCUCCGUAAUCGGUGCAACUACAUCAUCAUCAGAGCUAAGCUCAUCAUCCGACAUUAAUUCCGAUGCUAGCAACUGAGACUCUCUAUGAUAGCGUACUAGGUACAUUUGUAACACCAUUCUGUCUCCGCCCUUGCCAAUAGUCAAAGUAUCUCGAUCCUAAUCGUUCUUGGCUUUUGCUUGAUAAAACUAGGAUCGUUCUAAUAAAACUCGAUAUGAUAAAGUCAAAUAUUGUAGCGGAAAUGUAAUAUAUUCAAUUGUAUAUGCAAUACCAACAAUUAUAGUUUGAACACUCUGUAAAAUAUCCAUUGGUUUAACCCGGCUAUGAUCUCCUAUCCGUAAUACCAAUGUCAUGGAUACUAAGUGUUUCAAAUCUAAAACAUCAAUUAUAUCAGCGUUCAUUAAAUUAACACUGGAACCACUAUCCAUAUGAACACCAGAGAUCAUGAUACCAUCAAUCGAAACAUCGAUGGUUGGUAUACCUCGAUCAGGGUUCAAACUGAUUUUACAAAAUUUCUUAUUGCGUUGCUAAUGUUAUAUUAACGAUGAAUUCAAUAUAAAAUGACACUCUGGUGCGACCACUAGAAGUUGCUUCAUAGAAAUAGAAGGCCAAAUAGCAUCCAGAUCCUUCAAAAUGUCAUAGAGUUCCAUAUUUAGGAUAAUUUUGAAUGUCCUCUUUCUUUUCAUUGAGUUGAGUUUAACUUUGAGAGGUAAGAUAUUCUUCCAUCCUAGACUUGGAAUUGGAACAGUAGCUGGAGCUUCAUUGGAAUUUGCACCCCUCAGAGAAUCUUUCAAUGGAUAGGACGUUUUUCAAAACUGUGUAGAGAAUGGAACAACUUGAAAUAGAAUUGUAGCAUCUGUAAUCAAUACCUUAUUAGAUUAUCCAACCAAGUCAAGUCUUAUAUUGGAUAAGAGGCCCGUAACAUGACCUAGAUUGGAUAUCCUCAUAAUUGGAUCAAAUUGGCCCUUUGCAUCAGGCUCACCUAAAUGCUGAAUUGAUCCUUUUCUAUUUUCUUGACUCCUGGUAAGAACGGCUUGGAUACAUUCAACUCGAUUUACUAGAGAAUCUUGAGGACCUUGAUUUAUCUCCUCUAUUAUUCCUUAGCCUUGGAUCUGCUGAUCUAUAUAAUUGAAAUUGAAUGGAGCAUUAUAUUGCUGAUAAGUAUGCCUCGACUGCUUGUAAUUCCCACAAAUUCACGCAUAAUCGUCAUUGGAUCUGGAAUUAGAACAUUCAUUGGCAUAAUGAUCAAUUUGUCUGCAGCGGAAACAAUAAAGUCAUCUUCUUGUAUCCCCAUCCAGGAUAUUGGAUGUCUCUACCAGUAUAUAUCUACUAGGCUUGUUCCAUGUAGGAUUAAAAAAUGAUCGUGGUUAUUCCAUUGGAACAGAGGGAACCUAGUUCAAUGACGCCGGUGGAGCAUAUUGCUGAUAUCUCUGCUACUCCUUCCCAUAGUAUUAGGGGCUUGAUGCAGAUCCCUAAUUAAAAUUCGAACUUUGAAAGUUAUUGAAUGCUUGAUUUUAUCGAUUAGAUCGCUUUCUAUUUCAUCCAAACCUAUUUUCCAAUUGAACUUAAUUGAUGUUCCAGUAAAUUGGUAGGAUCAUGGUCUGAUUAAUGAUUUGUUGUUGCCUUUGCAAAUUCCAACAAUUAGAUGUUAAGUGCUUUUCUUCGUAAAAUGUACAUUAAUCCAUCAUUUGUGAGGGUGAAGGACAUUCUGUUAUCAAAUGACCGUGGCCCUUACAAUUACUACACCAAAUAUUAGUCCUAGUAUUGAUAGGUUUUUACCUCUUCUCCUUAUUCUUGGCCAUAUUGACGGCCAUUUCUUCCAUUUUUUCCUUAGGUUCAACAACAAGGCUUCAUUGGAAUCUUUUGUGGUUGGUAUUAUUGAUAACUCUGCCACAGUUAACGCUUGUUAUUGAUAUUGAAAAUAUGGAGCAUACACUAUUGUCACGUUCGAUGGUAUAGCUUACAAUGGGAUGACAUUAACUGGCCCCUGAAUAUUUGCACUAGAAUUGGUCCUUGUAUCUAACAUCCGUGGAUAAAUAUCCACUGAUUCGUUUCAAGUCGAAUUUUGAUAACUACCUUGAACUGGAAUCAACAUAGCUCCCGUAUAUAAAAAUUAAUCAUAAUGCCAUUUCUUCCAAACCUUGGCUCUAUUAAAGGAUGCAGACACCGUAAUGGGUUGAGCUUCCUUCACAAACAUUUUUAACUCUGGUGGUUGCAAACCAUUGAUUAAUAUGGAUAAGAUAAAUGCCUCUGACAUUUGGUGAUUCGGCUACUUAUUGAGUAUAUCAGCCACGCGGCCAUAGUACAAUUCCACCGCCUCUCCUAAGAUCAUUUUACUGUUCAUUAACCUCUCUCAAAGACAAUCCUCAAAACCUAUUGGCCGAAAAUGGAUUAAAAAUGCAUUCUUCAAUGCUUUCCAAUUUGAAAAUUGACCCAUUAGUUAGCGGUUGUACCAUUCAAACGCAAUGUCCUUAAAGGUUGUUGACAACCAUCGUAACCAAAUAUCUUCGAUUCUUCUAUUAUUGACUACACAUGCUAUCAAAAAUUGAGACAAAUAUUCAUCGGGAUCCGCACUCGAAAAGCCCCUAAAAGUAGAUAAUGGAGCCACGCUCGUUGUGUAAUUGCUCACAUCACCCAUUUGUACUGCUAUUGGAACCGCUGGACCAUGCGUUGCCAUUGAAGAGGACAAUGUGUCGCUUAAUCUCUUGUUAAAAUUACCACUGUCUUUUUCAAUUAUCUUUUUUGGACUUUCUAACUUCUUCAAUUCAGUAUUAUUAUCCUUGAAUAAGUUUAUUGGUUGAAUUGGAGGUGAAAACAUUGGAUUUUGAAAUACGCUGAAUUGACCCUUAUUGGCAAGCAAUUUAUGCCAUUCUACGGAACCAAUUUUUAUAAAAUUGGCAGUUUUCACUAUUGGGAAGAUACUCAACGGAAUAUUCAAUUCUUUUAUGUUUCUUCCACUUGCAGUUAACAAGCUCAAGAGAUACAUUGGACUAUUGACAAAAUUUCUUACGAGUAAUCUUAGCAAUUUUCUCAACGGUAUAUAUAUCUGAAAUAUUAGAGAUCGGUCAGCUUCUAGGUAUGUUCGGAUAUGCCGACACGCAUGCAACCACGGCUUAAUCCAACUUUGUUGAAACUUCCUUUUUAACUUACGUUCUUGCUCAUCUUGCAACGAUUCUCUUGCUUACGCUCUUUCUUGUCUUUCUUUCGACAGGCAUGUUUUCUUUAUUGUAAUGUUCUCAUUCUUAAUAACCAUAAUUUUUCAUUAUAUACUGCUGAAUUUACUUCCUAAUUCCCAUCUGCUCAUCCGGUAGUUAAUUCCUAAUACUCAAUGCUAUUAUCAAUCCCCAAUAGUGGUGCCAAAAUGUAAUUGUCAUUUUACUUAUUCUACAACUCUUUUCAGAAUAAACCUGUAUAGGGAAAUUCGAAUACAAGAAAAGAGUAAGUAGAUGAGCUUUACUUGUUAGGAUCACACGAUUAACUAUAUUUCAAAUCACUAAAAUACCAAGAAACACUACAAUGCUUCUUCCCAGUAACAAUACUCCUUCAUCAACUGAUAACAAUAGUAUGCAACCUUACACUCUUAAAAGACUACUCAAAACUUAUAAAUUCCUUCCAACACCAAGAAUAACAGACUUCACUCCAACCAAUCUAGAUUCAUAUAAUUUCUAUAAUCACAGACUUCCUCUGUCCAAAACACACACAACUCUCAAUAAACAACAAUCAUAAUCUUCCAUCGAUAAUCAAUCUUCAAAUAACUUAUCAUAUAAUUCAAUCACAUAAUAUUCUAAUUACAUAAUCAAUAAUUCAUAAAUCAAUCUCUGUUUUAUUCCACAGACUCACUUCUUAGUAUUCAAAAACUAUCCAUUACUCUUCAACAACAAAGAAAAUAAAGAAACAAAGAGGUAGCACCAAGCUUAACCCCGGCUCAUGACUAUCACAGUCUGGCUCUCGGCUUACGACUCUCGAAGUCUGGCCUUGAUCUCUCUUUCUUCAACCUACUUAUCCUACCAAAAAGAUGAUCUAUCGACCAACGGAUUUCAAAGGUUAUGAUCCUUUGAAUUUUUAACCAUUUAUUCUACUAACAACCUACUAUUACCAACUAAACUACCUAACCAUUAGUCUAAUUCUCAAGGUUAUCAAUAACCAACUAGUAACUUACUACAAAGUUUAUUUACCUAUUCUAUACAUAUAUAGAAAGUUCAAAAUAUGCUGAAGUAGCAAAGUAACAUAUUCAACCAUUUGUUCUUGGAUUAUAGAUUCAACAAGACCUCAAAGAAAACAUCAAUGGCCUUAAGCUGAAAUACGAAGAUUUGACAUAGCUACUCUAUUCUACCUUGAAAAAAAGAACUAAAUAUAAGUGAAAGUCUUAGUGCGGCUCUCUCCCUUUUAUGUGUAUUUGUAGAAUAGGUAAAUAAAAUUUGUAGUAAGUUACUGGUUGGUUAUUAAUAACCUUGAGAAUUAGACUGAUGGUUAGGUAAUUUAAUUGAUAACAGUAGGUUGUUAGUAAAAUAAAUGAUUAAAAAUUCAAAGGAUCAUAACCUUUGAAAUCUGUUGGUGGAUGGAUCAUCUUUUUGGUAGGAUGAAUAGGUUGAGAAAAGUAAGCCGAGAGCCAAACUGUGAGAGUCGUAAGCCGGGGUAAGCUUAGUGCUACCUCUUUGUUUUCUUUGUUAUUUGCUUAUGAAGAAUUGUGAUUGAGAGAAUUAUUGUUGAAUUGAUAAUUGUAGAAUGGAUUAUGGAUUGAAUUAAGACAAAAGUAGUAAGCCUCGGUGUUUUGUAAUUUGAUACUUGAUUUCAGAUAGCCACAGUACAGUCAAUUGUGACACUAACAGAUCCAAUUCAUAUAUCUAGUCUUUUACCAUAUUCGAACCCACCUCUAUUAGUUCAAUUGCUUUGGUAUAGUGAAGCUUGAACACAAUGAGAAUAAUAUUUUGGCACUGCUACCGGGAAAAUGAUAAUAAUAUGAAAUGUUAGAAAUUGAUUGUAUGGAAGAUGGAAUUAUAUGUUAAAUGAGAACGUGAAAAGAAUCAGUUUUAGGAUUACAAAUAUAUGAGUUAUAAUUCAAGAAAGUAUUGAUUUUACCGGGAAGAAUGAAAGAUUAUGAGUGAUAAUCAUGAAGGAGAGGAUUAUCAAAGAAUUAAUCGACAAGAGAAAGAAAGACAGGAGCGAUUACGCAUAAAAAAUAUCCUACGAGAACGACAAAAACAAAUUGCAUGUCCAAGAAAAACCACAGGAAGAAAAAUUCAGAUUCAAAUAGUAAGGAGAUCAAUAAUAAUACCAAUGGCCACGGGAGUACUAGAAGUACUAAUUGCGGUACAAAUGGGAGCAGUAGGAGAUCGAUCUACAAGUGGAGCACCAUUACUUACUUUUAGUGGUUGACGAAGCUCUGAUCCCAAUUACCAUAUAUUUCAAUUCUCGACAGCCUACGUGGCUAAUAAUGGUAGAAUUGAAGAUAUUUGGUUGAGAUGGUUGCCAAGAACUUUAAAAGAUACAGCUUUUGAAUGGUAUAUUCGGCAACCAGUGGGUAGAUUUCUCAAUUGGGAGGCCUUGAGGAACGCCUUCUUGAUCCAUUUUAGACCAAUUGGAUUUGAAGAUUGACUUUGAAAAAGUCUUAUGAAUAGCAGGAUGUUUAUAGGGGAAUCCGUAGAGUCCUAUUACAGCCGGAUCACGGAUAUACUUCGUAAAUGGUCAAAUAAUCAAAUGCCAGAUGUAUUUAUAUUGUCGAUAUUAAUCAAUGGUUUGCAUCCACUAGAAUUGAAAAUGUUUGUAAAAGAGGCUCGACUAGCUAUGAUAAAGGCAUCAUUGGCACGAGCAAAGGUAUGGAAAGAAUGUCAUUAUGAUCAAUUAUUAAUAGUAGGGACCAUGAUGAUUCCAAGUUCAAGAAGCCAACAAAUACAACCAGAAAAUAUGUGGAUGGAUAAUUAUCCACAAAUGGCUGCCUCCAAUGUGAAGAAUGUUAUGUUGCAAAAACCAAUUAAUGCUAUACUACUCCAAGUAAUAGCGCCAAUAAUGAUGAUACCUUAUUUUACAUUGCCAACCUAUCAACAACCGGAGUUGUUCACAAAUGCGAUUGUUAAAGAUCCAAAUGAAGCCUUGUUAUUAAAUCUAACAAAGAAGAUAGAAGAAUUGGCCGUAAAUUUAGCUAAAGAUAAGGAAAAAUGACAUAAGCCUUUUAAUACAAGACCUAAUGUAUGGUGUAAUAAUUGUAAGAAACAAAGUCAUUUUGGUACAAAAUGUCCAUCACCUAGACAAACAGGUGUUCAAUGUACAUUUUGCAGAGGAAAGCACCCUAUUCAAAACUGUUGGCAUUUACAAAGGCAACAACAAUUCAAUAAUUAGACCAUGAUCCCACUGACUCAAUAGGAAGUCAAUCAAGUUCAAAUGGGAAAUAUGUAUGGAUGGAAUGGAAAUCGAUCUAAUCGACAAAAUCAAACAUUCAAUAACUUUUGAAGUUCCACUUUUAAUCAGGGGUUUGCAUCAAAUCUCCAGAACUACGGGAAGGAGCAACAUAGGUAUCAACAAUAUGCUCCAUCGGCGUCAUCGAACCAAGUACCCUCCGUACAAAUGAGACAACUAAGAUCAUUUUCUAAUCUUACAUGGAACAAGCCUCGUAGGUAUAUACCGAUUGAGACACCUAAUAUGCCGGAUGGGAGUGCAAGAAGAUGACUUCGUUAUUUUCAUUGCAAAUAGAUUGGUCAUUAUGCUAGUAAAUGUUCCAAUACCAAAGCCAAUGAUGAUAAUGCACUAGUAUGUGUGAAUUACAAGCAGUCAAGACAUACUGAUUAGUAAUAUAAUGCUUCAUUCAAUUUCAAUAAUCAAGAUCAACUGAUCCAAAGCCAAGAAAAAAUGGAAGAGAUAAAUCAAGGUCUUCAAGAUUCACGAGUUCAUCAGAUAGAAGUAGUCCAAGCUAUCCUUAUAAGAAGUCAGCAAAAGGGGAAAGGACCAAUUCAACAUUUGGAUGAUCUUAAAGCGAAGGCCUAAUUGGACCCAAUUACAGGGACAUCCAAUCCAAGUCCUGACAUGGGCCCCUUACUCAGUAUAAGACAUGAAUCAGUUGUGCACUCCAAUGAGGUACCAAUUACGGAGGCUUCGGUUCCGUGUUGAGCUGUUCCAUUCUCUACACAGUUUUGGGAAACGUCCUUUCCGUUGAAAGAUCCUCUCAGAGGCAUGAAUUCCAAGGAACUAAUAUCAAUCCAAUUGGGAGAAAAAUUUUAUCCGUUGAAAGAAACAAUUUUAUAAGCUCCGUCAAAUUCAAUUCCAGUAGCUUUAUCAAUUUCCAAUAUAGAGAAAACCAAUUUACUUGCAUCGGUGUCUAGGACUGGGAAGAAGAAACGGACAUUGGAAAUUACUACUAAUACAAAAUCAUAUGAUAUUCUAGAAGGUUUGGGCACCAUACAGCCCACGAUCUCUAUGAAGCAAUUAUUGGCGGUAGCACUUGAGUACCGAAUUAUCUUAAAUUUUUCAUUAAUUUGUCGUAGAACUCGAAAUAAAGAAAUUCGAGAAGUAAGUUUGAAUCCCAAUCUGGGUGCACCAAUGAUUGAUGUCUCAAUUGAUGGACUGUUACUACCAAAAGUGUAAGUAGACGGAGGAUCUAAUGUAAAUCUUAUGAAUGCCGCUACAAUAGAGGAGUUGGGUUUGGAUCACUUAUUGCCUACUAUAGUAGUUUUGAGAAUGGCUGACUCCAGUCGAGUUAAACCUAUGGAUAUUUUACAAAGUAUUAAUACACUAAUUAUGGAGAUUAUCUAUAAAAUUGAUUAUAUUAUUUUCUGAUUGUGAAGUUCUAUAUUAUCAUACCCAAUUUUAUUGCAGCAAUCGUGGUUGUAUCAAGCUAAAGUUCAAAAUGACUAGGACCAUGGUACAUUGACAAUUGGGAAAGGUAAUGAUAAAAUUGUGCUUCAAAUGUACCCUAUCCAAUAUCUCUAAAAAAUACAAGUUGUCAGUUCAGAAUUCACGUCAGAUUAUGAAGAUGAGUCUAUAGAAGAAGAAAUUGGUGCACCUGAUCCAAUUUAUAUUGAUACAAGGCAAGUUGUAGAGCACACUAAAAUGAACUACUAAUGCAUGGGACCGGGAGAGUACUUAGUUCCUCUAGAUGUUAUUGACAAUUCUGAUCAUAUGAUUGCAUAUUGGAUGAAUAGACAGGAUGUUAAUCAUGUUAGUAUUAUUGAACUGGAGUUAGAAAGUUCUAAUGUAUCGAAUUUUAUGAAAGAUUCUAAAAUUGAGCAAAACAUUAUUUCAGAGACUUCUGCAAUUCCACGAUGUCAACCAAUUAAUUUAAAUAUAGGGGAGGCUUCUCAAAUCAUUUAGAUAUACGAUGGUAUAGAAGGCAAAAAGAAAGAAAUUUGAGUGGAUUACUUUUUACGACAUAAAAUUGCUUUCGCAUGGUCGUAUGUGGAUUUGAAGGAAAUUCCAACUCAAGUUUGUGAGCAUCAAAUUAUAUUGGAGGAGAACGCUAUACUAGUACGCCAAAGACAACAUCAACUUAAUCCAAAAUAUUCACUUACGAUAAAAAAAGAACUGGAUAAACUCUUGGAGGUUGGAUUUAUCUAUCUGGUUCCUUUUAGUGAAUGGAUUUCACUAAUUGUUAUGGUAUUGAAAAAGAAUAUAAAAGAUUUCCAAAAAUUAAAUGCGGUUACUAUGAAGGAUUAUUUUUCUUUAUCAUUCAUGGAUAGUAUAUUAGAUGCUAUCGCUAGUCAUGAAUGUUAUUCAUUUCUUGAUGGAUUCUCCGGUUAUAAUCAAGUUAAGAUUACAAAAGAAGACUAGUUAAAAAAUACUUUUACUACGGAUUGGAGGACCUUUGCUUAUAAGAUCUAGAUAAAAUAAAGCUUAUAGUAGAAUUAAAGCAACCAGACACCAUUACGAGUAUUCGAGCAUUUGUUGGCCAUGGCAGUUAUUAUCGGUAAUUUAUCUAUCUAUUCAUAGUUAUAUGCCUUCCGUUGACAAAUCUCUUGAAGAAACUAGCAACCGAUGGGACCAAUCCAUUUUGGACAAAAGAAUGUACAAUUGCAUUUGAAACAUUGAAACAAAAAUUGAUUUCAGUACCAAUAUUGGUGGCACCUUGUUGGAUAAAACCAAUCCAACUUUAUGUGGAUGUAUCUAAUGUUGCAAUUGGUUCUAUACUAAGCUAGAAAGAUGACCGAGGUUUUGAUCAUCCUAUUUAUUAUGCAAGUCGUCAAUUGGGAGCAGUUGAAAGAAAUUAAACAACAACCAAACAAGAAGCAUUGAAGAUGAUUUAUUCCGUACAAAAAUUUUGACAUUAUCUUCUUGGUUAUAAAUAUGUUUUCUAUGUCAACCAUGAUGCUUUAAAAUAUAUGAUUAAUAAGCCUCAAUUGAGUGGUCGUAUUGUACGAUGAAUUUUACUCUUGCAGGAAUUUGACUUUACUAUUCAAGUAAGACUAGGAAAAUUACAUUCCAAUAUAGACCAUUUAUCUCGAUUAUCCAAUAUAUUAGGAUAAUGAAUCCAUUAACAAUGCACUACCUGAUGCAGAACUGUUUGCGGUAGAUAUAAUUAUUUCAGAGUAUAGUGACAUAAUUCAAUACUUGAUAUUUCAAACCUUUCCAUCUAAUUUCAAUGAAAAGCUUAAACGAUGCUUAAUAUUAAAAUGAGCCUUUUAUAUGAUGAUUGGUGAAGCUUUAUAUAAACAAGGCAAGGAUGGAGUUUUGUGACGCUGUAUUUAUUAGACUAAAGUGCAUAUUAUAUUGGAAGGUUAACACUUGGACAAUUGUGGUGGACAUUUUGUGGGAGAUAGCACGGCUCGUAAAGCUUUAUAAGCUGAUUAUUGGUGGCCAAUAAUGUUUGUGGAUGCCCACCAAUUUAUCCGUCAUUGUGACCAAUGUCAGAGAACAGGUCGACCUACUAAAACUUCAGCAAUGCCAUUGGUACCAAUUCUGGCUCAAGGACCUUUUGAAAAAUAGGGAAUUGAUUUUGAAGGACCAAUUGCACCAGUCUCAAGAAAUGAACAAAAAUGAUAUAUACUGGUAGCAACAGAUUAUGUAACAAAAUGGAUUGAAGCAGUAGCUACGAAAAUCAAUAGUGCAAGUACAAUAGCAACUUUUUUGUAUGAAAAUAUUAUUAUACGAUUUGGUUGUCCACGAGAACUGGUUAGUGAUCAGGGAACUCAUUUUAUAAAUAGUACAAUCGAAGUACUUAUGGCUAAAUACAAGAUAAAAUAUCGUAAGACUACACUGUAUCAUCCUAGAGCCAAUAGACAAAUACAAAAGACUAAUAGAAUUUCAUAUAAAAUCUUAACAAAAAUAGUUUCAAGAGCAGGCAUAGAUUGGGAUACUAAGUUGUUUGCAGCUUUAUGGACAUAUCGUACUGCAUAUAAAGUUACUACCAAUGCUACCCCUUUCUAAUUGAUUAAUGGCCAUGAAGUAAAAUUACCUAUUGAAUUGGAAGUUCAAAGUUUACGAAUUGCUAUAGAUACUAGAUUGAGAGAUCAGGAUUCAUUACGGCACCGUUUAGAAGAAUUGGAAAAAUUGGAUGAAAUUAGAAUCAAUGCAUUAAUGAUAAAGAAAACUACACAAAAAUGAAGGAAGACUUAUUAUGAUAGUAAACUUAGACCAAAGGCUUUUAUGCCAAAUGAUUUGGUACUUCUUUAUGAUAGUCGAUUUAAAAAAUUUUCAAGAAAAUUUCAAGUUCGAUGGCAUGGGCCAUAUGUCACGGCCAUAAUCAUGUAAGCUAAUAAUUACAUAUAGAAAUAGGUAGAAGUAAGUAAAAGUAGGUAAAAGUAAGUUAAUUCUAUAAUAUUUAAUAUGGAAGCUUCUUAAAAACUUCUUAGACGUUGCUUUGACUUCAUACGUGUCUUUAAUUGACUUUUUGGAUUAGAAACGUGGUCAACAAGUUGGCCAUGUGCCACACAUGUUGUUAGCUUGAAGAUCAAGCUAACUAUGUGGCCCACACGUAGAAAAACUUGCCUUGUAAGUCAAGGCAUGUGCCCUACAAAGUCAACACAUAUUGGAGGUCCUAUAGAACGUCGCCACGUAGCUCUUAGUUAGAUAGUAUAUAUAGAGACAAGAGUGAAGGCUUCUUCACUCUUGUCAACUCCUUUCUUGCUUCUAGUCUAGUUUCAAGGGUCUCUAGUUUUCUUAUCUUUUGGCAAUAGCCAUUCUAGUUCCUCUUUCAAUAUAUAUACUUAUUUAUAUAUAUUUUAUUACCUCUCUUUGAGUGAAGGCUCACUUGUCUGAAUUGUUUUUUUCAUCGAGUUCUUGUCCUUGACAGAUUGACAAGAGUACACCUACAAUAUCAAAGCUUUGUCUAAUCUUGAUUAAGAGUGGAUUAUCCCUUUUUCUUGAUAAGAUAUAAGCAUAUUAGAAGUUGCGGAUUACCCUCUUCUAAACUGAUAUUGUCCUUAGUAUUUUCUUUGUCCGCAAGUCCUCUUUUCUAGUUGUCUUGAGCGAUAUUAGACAUCUUCUCUCUUCUAAGUGUUAUCAUGGCAGAACUUCUUGAAAUGAAGAGUGCAAUGGCACAAAUCCAAGAGCAAUUGAGGGAGUUAAUGCUUGCAAUGCAUCAACUCAAUUUACCACCACAAGGAGCAACAAGAUUGGCAGGAAGUAAAGAUAUAGAAAUGGUUAGAGCUGCUUAAAUAUCUGCAUCAAACCAUGUCCUUUCUCCUAUGGUGGAAUAGCCUUCAAAUAUUAGAGAACCAAGAAUUAUCCUAUCCGAGAAGUUUGAUGGCACCAGAUCUAAGUUUCGAGGAUUUAUCAAUCAAGUGCAACUUGUGAUUGAACUUCAACCCCAAAGCUAUCUAACUCCAGGAUCACAAGUUAGAUUCAUUUGUACGCUUCUUUCAGGUUCGGCACUAUUGUAGUUUUCAUCUUUUCUUGAACGAUGAGAUCCAGUAUUGGAUAAUCUAGAGGCUUUUUUGGCAGAGUUUUGAUCCAUGUAUGGAGAACAUGAUGCAAUUUGUGUUACAACCAAUAAGAUCUGUAUUUUACGACAAGGCAAUCGAUCAGUAACGUUAUAUGCUUCACAAUUUCAACAACUUGUAACUGAUAUCAAGUGAGAUGAUGCUGUACUUAUUAGCCAAUUUCUCUACGGAUUACAAUAUGAGGUAAAAAAAUUAAUGCUCAACUUACCUAAUCCUCAAACAUUGAGUCAAGAAAUUGACUUUGAUGUGAAGUACGACAAUCGCCUUUUUGAGUUUCGAUGUGAGAAUCGUACAAGUGGACCUCAACGUUACUAUAAUUCAAUGGCAACACCAACACCUCUUCAACACAUACAUUCGGAAGUAGAGGAUAUGAAAAUUGAUGCAGUACGUUUCAAACCUCUUAUUGAGCAAGAAAAGACUCGUCAUCGUCAAGAAGGAUUAUGUUUAUAUUGUAGAAAAUCAAAGCAGACUGCUCAACAUUGUCCAAAGAAACGACGCAAUCACAAAAUGAGGAAUAUGGCUGUGAAAGAAGAUAAUAUGUCGAAAAGCGAGUUUGUCCAGCUACAAUAGGGACCGUGUGGCUAGAACCUUGCACAACUUCUAGUAAAGGUCCUAUUCUCUCCUCAGAGCCCUCUCCUUGUUUUACAUUAAAUGUUAUUUUAGGACCUAAACAUUACAAAGUCUCUGCCUUGUUAGAUUCACGAGCCUCAGCGAGUUUUUUAAAUGAAGAAUUUACUAAAAGACAUAGCAUAUGUAUAGUAAAGAAAACUAAACCUGUUCAUGUAGAAGUCAUAGAUGGUCGUCCAUUGUCUUCUAGAGAUAUUACUCACGAAACCCUUCCUAUAGAAGUAAUAAUCAAUAGUCAUAAUAGUUUUGUAGUAUUUAAUAUCAUUAGAUCUCCCUCUAAUCCAGUCAUUUUAGGUUUAUUGUGGUUACAAAAAUACAACCCUCAAAUAGAUUGGAUUUCCCGAACUCUUACUUUCCCUAAAAGUAUAACUAACAGUGUAGUUAAUGAAGUAGAGAGUCAUAAGUCCAGUUUAAUUAAACCCAUAUUUAUAGGUGCAAAAGCUUUCUUGCAUGCUGCUAUGAAAGAAUUACCAUACAUUAUUUAUGCUACACCCGUUUCUACUGAUGAAAAGACUUCAAGUGGCAUUCCAAGCCAAUAUCAAGAAUUUCAAGAUGUAUUUGAAAAAAAGAAUGCGGAUACACUCCCGGAACAUCGUCCCUAUGAUUGCUCAAUUGACCUUCAAGAAGGAGCAGAACUGCCAUUCGGACCAAUCUAUAGUUUAUCACAAAAUGAAUUGGCUGAACUCAAGGAGUAUAUUGAAGAAAAUCUAGCCAAGAAUUUCAUACGCUAUUCUAAAUCUCCGGCAGGAGCUCCAAUUCUAUUUGUGAAGAAAAAAGAUGGAUCAUUGUGGAUGUGUGUUGAUUAUCAAGGACUCAACAAGAUUACCAUCAAAAAUAGGUAUCCACUACCUUUAAUAUCCGGACUUCUUGAUCAGUUGAAUCAAGCUAAGAUCUAUACAAAAAUAGAUCUUCGGGGAGUAUACAAUCUAGUACGCAUCAAAGAAAGAGAUGAAUGGAAGACUGCGUUUUGAACUAGAUAUGGACAUUUUGAAUACAACGCCAUGCCUUUUGGACUUACAAAUGCACCAAUAGCUUUUCAACAUCUAAUGAAUGAUGUUUUUUGAGAGUUUUUGGACGAUUUUGUGAUAUGUUAUCUACACGACAUCUUGAUCUAUUCUAAGAAUCCAAAAGAACAUGAACUUCAUGUUCGUCGUGUGUUACAAAAAUUAAGAGAUGCAGGAUUCUAUGCCAAGAUAGAAAAGUGUAUAUUCCACACUACUCAAGUCGAUUUCUUAGGUUACAUCAUUUCAAAUGAUGAACUUAUGAUGGAUCCUAAGAAAGUUCAAACUAUUAUAGACUGGAAGAUUCCAAAAAUGGUAAGAGAUGUUCAAUGUUUUUUGGGAUUUACCAACUACUAUCGGAUCUUCAUCAAAGACAUCUCUUGAGUUGUAGCUCCACUUACACAUUUGACUUGUAAAGACAAACUCCAAUGGAAUCAAAAAGCGGAAGUUGCUUUUGAAUCUUUGAAGACAGCAUUUGUUUUUGCACCAAUCUUGUAUCGUGUUGAUUUUUCCAAAGCAUUCUUUAUGGAAACAGAUGCAUCGGACUUUGCUCUGGGUGCGGUUUUAUCACAAAUAGGAACAGAUGACAAACUUCAUCCAGUAGCCUUUCAUUUAAUAAAAUUCUCAGCAGCAGAAAUCAAUUAUGAGAUCCACGACAAAGAACUUCUUGUAAUUGUCGAUUCUUUUCAAGAAUGGCAUUAUUAUCUAGAAGGUGCUUCUAGUCCAGUCAUCAUGUAUACGGAUCACAAGAACCUCGAAUAUUUUAUGUCAGCACACGUAUUAAAUCGUCGUCAAGCUCGUUGGAGCAUGUCUUUAUCAAGAUUCGAGUUCAUCAUCACUUAUCGGCCAGGAAAACAACAAGGUUUAUCUGAUGCUUUGUCUAGACGUUCUUAUCUUGCACCAAAAGAAGGAGAUGCAACUUUUGAGCAACAAAGAAUGGUUCUCUUGAAGCCAGAAUAAUUUCAUCUUUGAGCAAUAAAAUCAACAUUGACUGUUGAUUUAACUUUCCUUAAGCAAGUCCAGUUAAGUAUGUCUUUAGACCCUCUUGUUCAUGAUAUCAAGAACAAUUCUUCUAAAUCUUAUGAUCUAUCUAAAUUUGAAUUCAAGAACAACCUACUCUAUUUCGAAGGACGCCUAUAUGUUUCAGAAGGAGAAGCACGUUUACGUGUUCUUCAAGCUCGUUACAACUUCCCAGCAGCAUGACAUUUUGGAUAUAAUAAGACUUUGGAGCUGAUAUCUAGAGAUUUUUAGUGGCCUCAAAUAUGGAAGGCAGUUAAAGAUUUUGUACAAUCAUGUGAUGUUUGCUCAAGAUCGAAAACUCCUCGUCAUCGACCUUUUGGACUUCUUCAGUCAUUACCCAUUCCAGAACAACCAUGGUCUUCUGUUUCUAUGGAUUUCAUCAUGGAUCUUCCAAUCUCAGGUUCUUAUGACUCUAUAUUCGUGAUAGUAGAUCAUUUUACCAAGAUGGCACAUUUUGUAUCAUGUACAAAACCUAUCACAGGUGAAGAAAUAGCUAAGCUCUUUCUUGACAAUAUCUAUCGCUAUCAUGCAUUACCUAAGGAUAUUAUAUCAGAUAGAGGAACACAAUUUGUAUCAAGAUUUUGGCAGACUCUUUUCAAAAUUCUUAAAGUGGAUAUAAAACUAUCUUCGGCAUUCCAUCCUCAAACUGAUGGAUAAAUAGAGCGUAUUAAUGAAGUUUUGGAGCAAUAUUUAAGAUGUACCAUUAAUUACCAAUAAGAUGAUUGGACUAUCUUUUGCCAUUGGCAGAGUUUGCUUACAAUAACAUGGUAUACUCUUCUACAAAACAAACACCUUUCUUUGCUAAUUAUGGUUAUCAUCCACGACUUGAUACUUUUGACUUUUCAAAAGUUGAUAAUCAUGCUGCAAAAGAUUUGGCAAUUCAUUUAUCAGAGCUACAUGCAACGAUGAAGGCGUAGUUAAAAGAGGCUCAAGAACAACAAAAGGCCAAUGCGGAUGUCUAUCGAAAGGAACAACCAUCAUUCGUCUUGGGUGAUAAGAUAUGGCUACUUCGUCGCAAUAUCAAGACCACUCGUCCUUGUGAUAAGUUGGACUAUCGAAGGCUGGGACCAUUUUCUAUUUCUGCACAAAUCAAUCCAGUUGCAUAUCGUGUAGAUCUACCAGAGUCAAUGAAAAUCCAUCCAGUAUUUCACGUAUCUCUUCUUGAACCAUACAAGACAAUGGACAUACCAAAAAGACAACAAGCUCCACCUCAUCCUAUAGAAGUAGACAAUAAUGAAAAGUUUGAAGUAGAAGAAAUCUUAGAUUCAAGGCGCCUGAAAUAAAUUAGAAUAUCUUGUCCAUUAGCGUGGAUAUGAUAUUAGUGAAUGCACAUGGGAGCCAAUAAAGAAUCUUGCUAAUGGAGCAAAGGCAGUGGAGGCUUUUCAUCGAUGACAUCCAUCAAAAUCAAGAUGAAAACCUUCUUUAUAAAAGAAACAACAUCUAGGCAAGAUAACAUUCUACUUUCAAUUCUUAUUCGUAGCUUCAUUGUAGUAGUCGCGCUCAGGAGAUGAAGAACCAACAAUGAGCAGAUUCAACUCAAGAGCCUUCAUUUGCUGACCUGUCGGACGAGACAUUACGAUUGUCACAACCUUCAAGACGACGCAAUUGAGAUGAAGAUCUUCAAGAACGACAUGUUCUUCCUCGAAUAGAUGGUGAGAUACAAUGCGUUUGGUAUCACGAUUUGAGAAGGGACUUCCGAUGUUUGGUGAUUUUGGUAGAGGUAGGAACAACUCCUAAUGGUGUUCUAAAUAUUCUAUUCGAAGGAAGUUACGAAGGCCUCAACAAUGAUCAAAUAACUGGGUGGUCUUCUCGCCCUGGUAUGGGACACUACCGAUGGUUGAGAGGCCCUAUCAAUCAUCUUCGAAGAGAACAGAGAUCAGAGUAUGUGGCGAAUACAAUUCGUCACAUCAUAGAUUUCCUCAACAUAUGAUGACCGCUCCUCAUGGAACUCGUCCCUAGAAGGGGGGGUAAUGUCACGGCUAUAAUCAUGUAAGCUAAUAAUUACAUAUAGAAAUAGGUAGAAGUAAGUAAAAGUAGGUAAAAGUAAGUUAAUUCUAUAAUAUUUAAUAUGGAAGCUUCUUAAAAACUUCCUAGACGUUGCUUUGACUUCAUACGUGUCUUUAAUUGACUUUUUGGAUUAGAAACGUGGUCAACAAGUUGGCCAUGUACCACACAUGUUGUUAGCUUGAAGAUCAAGCUAACUAUGUGGCCCACACGUAGAAAAACUUGCCUUGUAAGUCAAGGCAUGUGCCCUACAAAGUCAACACAUAUUGAAGGUCCUAUAGAACGUCGCCACGUAGCUCUUAGUUAGAUAGUAUAUAUAGAGACAAGAGUGAAGGCUUCUUCACUCUUGUCAACUCCUUUCUUGCUUCUAGUCUAGUUUCAAGGGUCUCUAGUUUUCUUAUCUUUUGGCAAUAGCCAUUCUAGUUCCUCUUUCAAUAUAUAUACUUAUUUAUAUAUAUUUUGUUACCUCUCUUUGAGUGAAGGCUCACUUGUCUGAAUUGUUUUUUUCAUCGAGUUCUUGUCCUUGACACCAUAUCGAGUUAUUAACGGAUUUCUAAAUGGUUCAGUACAAUUAGAAGAUUUUAUAGGUAUUAAAUUUAUGACACGGAUCAAUGGUAAUCACCUUAAAUUUUACUAUACAUAAACCCGGGAUGGAUUUUCUAUUAGAAAAGAGGGAGUCGACCCAAUUGAUUGGACCAUAGUAAGAAGUAGUAGGGAGGUUCUUGACAAGCAUAAUAUUUUCUUUUGUGGUAAAGGAGAAGAUAGUAAACAUGGUAUCUGAGAAAGUAAGGAUGGAGACCGAUUGGAAAGAACGACAAAAACAACUAAAGAUAGAGGUUGAGAUGUUGUAGACUAAACUAGCUGCAUAAGCAAAAGAGAUCAAUAAUUUAGUGCAGACCAAUACGCCAGUUUCAGUGAUAACACCUUUGGAGCUACCUUUGAAACCGACAGAAGAAUAGCAGAAGAUGUUGGAAGAGUGUGACAACCAAAUUGCCCGACUUGAGUCUCAGGUACGAAAAUUGGGUUUGAUGAAUGAAGAUCUCAUGGCAUAUUUGGAUAGAGAACCCUCAAAUACCAAGGCAAAUGAUGAAGAUGUAGUAGAAGAGAAGGUCAAGAAUUCAAAAGGUGGUAAGCCAACGCCAUUGAAUAAAGAAGCAAAUGAAGCUAUGUCUUUAUAAGUUGAGGCUAAAUAGUGUUUGCAAGGACACUGCACAAUUAGGAGUAAGGCUAUGUAGAAUAGGCAAAUAAACUUUGUGGUAAGUUACUGGUUGAUUAUUCAUAACCUUAAAAAUUAGACUGAUGGUUAGGUAGUUUAGUUGGUAACAAUAGGUUAUUAGUGGAAUAAAUGGUUAAGAAUUUAAAGGGUCAUAAUCUUUGGAAUUCGAUAGCCGACGGAUCAUCUUUUUGGUAGGAUAAAGAGGUUGAGGAAAGAGAGAUCAAAGCGAGACUUUGAGAGUCGUAAGCCGAGAGCAAGACUGUGAGAGUCAUAAGCUAGGGUAAGCUUCAUGCUACCUCUUUAUUUUCUUUAUUAUUUGCUUAUAAAGAAUUGUGAUUGAGAGAAGUAUUAUUGAAUUGAUAAUUGUAGAAUAAAUUAUGAGUUGAAUUCAGAUAGAAGUAGUAAGCCUCGAUGUUUUGUAGUUUGAUACUUGAUUUCAAAUAGCCAAAAUACAAUCAAUUAUCAUACUAAUAGACUCGAUUCAUAUAACCAGUCUUUCUCCAUAUUCGAACCCUCCUCUAUUAGUUCAAUUGCUUUGGUAUACUGAAGCUCGAACACAACGAGAACAACAGCAUUCUUGAGGUAGAAGCUUCAACAAGAAGUUAUCAUUGAAUAUGCUUAGGUUCCUGAGGAUAGCAUUGAUGAAACUCUUGUAUCUUUUGUGGUGCAUUGAUUAGAUUUUCAAUUGGUUUCUAUACACGUUCAUUGAUAUCAAAGCCAUGCCAAUGGAUAAGAUACUCCAACUUGUCUCACCUUCACUACAAAUCAAGUAUCUUUUUAACCUUGUACUCUAUGUGAUUCUCAAUUUUAAUACAAAGCAACGGUUGUUGCACUCUUCUAGGAAUAUUUGAUUCUUUAUAAGAUUCUAAAAGAGAGUCAUGAAAAAUUAGAUAUACCUGCAUAGACAAUGAUAACUCCAAUCGAUAUGCCAGUGGACUAAUUAUUUUUUGAAUGUAAAACCGUCCUAACUUUCAAUAAUCUAGCUUAUCACAUGGCUAAUUGGUCUUGAUAUUUUGUCGAAGAAGCCAUAUCUUAUCUCCAACUUAAAAAAUUUAUAACUCUUUUCUAAAACCAUUAAAAGAUGCAUUAUAAGAAUCUUGAGCUACUUGUAAUUGGAGCAUCAAAGUUGUUUGGAGUUGCGAUAAUCGAUGUGUAAGGUCUUUGGUAGCUGGGUUUUUAUUCCUUGAUAUGGCCAAAAAAUUAAGCUUAAGAUGGUAACCAUAGUUGACUUAAAAUGGUGUUUGUUAAGUGGAUGCAUGCACAGUAUUAUUAUAAGCAAACUUUACUAAUGAUAAAUACAACGUCCAAUCAUCUUCUUGAUAAUUAAUGGUGCAUUGCAAAUACUGCUCUUAGGCUUGAUUAACUAACUAUAUAUGACUGUCAGUUUGAGAAUGAAAGGCAAAGGAGAGUUUGAUAUUAAUCUUUAAUAAUUUAAACAUGGAUUUCUAGAACUUUGAUACAAUUUGAGAUCUACGAUUGAAAAUAAUAUUGUCUACAAACCAUGAUAUUGAUAUAAAUUAUCACGAAAUAGUCUUGUUGAUUCUUCUUCAAAAAUUAUUUUUUUGCAAGACGCAAAGUAUGCCAUCUUUGUAAUCUAAUCAAAACCAACAAAAAGUGCAUAAAAUGAAUUUGAUGAUGGUUGAUUGGUUAUAAAGUACAUUGAAAUAGAAGAGCAUGAUUGCAUUUGAAAUAGCAAUGGUUCCAAACAUCGCAAUGGUUGCAAAAUCCAUACAUUUGAUGAGUGUGAUUAGGAUUUUAUUAAUUCUACAAUUUCUUUUAGAACAAACAUGUAUUAGAGAAUUCAAACACAAGGAAAGAUUAAGUGCAUGAGCUUGGAAGUUAGGAUCACUGAAUUAAUCGGAAUCCAAACCACUAAAACACCAAGAAAUACUACAAUGCUUUCUUCUAGUUACAAUACUCUUUCAUUAACUGAUAACAAUAGUGUGCAAACCCCCACUCUCAAAAGACUACUCAAAAUACAAUAAUCUCCAUUUAACACCAACAAUAACAGACUUCACUUCAACCAAUCUGAAUUCACAAAAUUACUGUAAUCACAGUCUUUCUCUAUCCAAAACACACACAACUCUCAAUAAAUAACAAUCAUAAUCUUCCAUCCAUAAUCAAUCUUCUAAUAACUUCUCAUAUAAUUCAAUCAUUUAGUACUCCAAUUACAUAAUCAAUAAUACAUAAAUCAAUCUUUGAUUUAUUCCAAAGACUCACUUUUCACUAUUUAGAAACUAUCCAUUACUCUUCAACAACAAAGAAAACAAAGAAACAAAGAGGUAGCACGAAGCUUAUCCCAGUUCAUGACUAUCACAAUCUGGCCCUCAAACCAACUUUUAUAACUCCUAUAUACUUACUUCAUAUUCCCACAUACUAACCAAAAUUCUAUAAUUAACCACUUUUAAUAACUAAGUUAACCAUCCGUCCUCUUGAACUGACUAUUCUAUGGACGAUUAAUCUAUUUUAUCAAUAUCUUUCAGAAACAAACUAAUAUCUAUUCUACAUAGCCCCACUCCUCUUUGUGUAGCGUCCUCGCAAACACACAAUUAUUACCUAUUUAAAAACUACUUAACAAAACUCUACAAAGUUACUAUUUCCUCUAACCCACCCAAUUGAUCAUUUGCUGCAUUAACCAUUGUUGGUUCCAUCGAUUCUAGUUCUAAAUUCAAAUUUUCCUCCUCUUCCAAUCCGUCCAUUGAAUCCUUUCUCAAUUGCAUUGAGAGAUCUUUAUUAUAUUCACCCAAUUGACGGACUUGAGCCUCUAGUUUCAAGAUCUAGGCAUCACGGAGUUCCAACUGAUGCUGCGGCUGACUCAUCUAUUCUAGAACAUCUUCAAUUGACACUUGUGACUGACUCUUCACUAUUAACUCUUAAUUGGAACUACUACUCUCGAAUACAUAAAAAACACAAGAAAAUGGUACUCCAAUAAACCCAAAACAAUACCAUAGAAUGACUUUAAUUAGUGCCCCACUCUUAACUUUUUACUAUCUGGGGAUAAUGACAUAAUGUUACCCAUACUAUCCGUGGAAGGUAAUGGGAAGUAAUCUUUUUUGGUGGCCGCAUUAAGUUUUUAGAAAUCCUGAAAAAUAUGGAUUUUUCCAUUCUUUUUCGAUACCAUCACAAUUAGAGAAAUCCAUUGACUAUUUGAUACUGGAUAAAUAAAACCAACCGUAAGAAGCUUGUCCAAUUCUUCCUUCACCAUGAGGGAAUAUUUAGGAUUAAGGCGAUGUUACCUCUGCCGUACUAGUUUAGCAUUCUCCUCUAAAAUGAUACAAUGCUCAUAGACUUCAGUGAGAAUAUGUUUUAAAUCAACAUAAGUCCAAGCAAAAGCUGAUUUAUGAUGCAAGAAAAUUUUGUCCAAUAGGUUAAUUCAUAUUUCUUAAUACCUUCGUAGACCUUAAUUGUCCAAGGUUUUGCUGUGGUUGCCAAGUUGAUAGUUUGACAUAAAGGUGCAAUGGUGAUGUUCUAUUUCAAUCUCCGUGUUGAUUAAAAAUCAAUUGAUAAGUUUGACAUGUGCGAAGAACUAAAUCCUGUGUCCAAGGCACUAACAUGGUGCACAUCAUACUUGGUCAUCCAAUCAAUAUUAACAUAAUCAAAGUUUUUCUAAUCCAUCAGGUAUAUCAAGUACUCUCCCAGACCUCCACAUUGGUACACCACUCUAGGAUGUUGCACUACCUCCAUAGGUGCCUCCGUAAUCAAUGUGACUACGUCAUCAUUAGAGCUAAGCUCAUUGUCCAAUGUCAAUUUAGAUGCUAGCAAUUGAGACUCCCCAUGAUAGUGUACUAGGUACAUUUGUAACACCAUUCUAUCUCCGCCCUUGCCAAUUGUCAAAGUAUCUCAACUCCAAUCAUUCUUGGCUUUCGCUUGAUAAAGCCAGGGUCGUUCCAAUAAAAUUGGAUACAAUAAAGUCAAAUGUUAUAGCCAAGAGAUAAUAUAGUCAAUUACAUAUGCAAUAUCAAUAAUUAUAGUUUGAAUACUCUGUAAAAUACCCAUUGAUUUAACACGGCCAUGAUCUGCCAUCCAUAAUUGUCAAGGACACAGAAUACACACUUGAUAUCUACCAAGAAGUUCAAGAAGAAUUGGCAAGAACUAGAUUAAUCAGAUGAAUACAAGAACAACACCAGAGAGGUGAGCUAGAGCUCCAAGAGAUGUGUUGUUGAGACUGAAGAACUCUUCAGCCUCGAUUCCAAUAUAUACUCCUAUUUAGAAAGCUUCUCGAGCAACUUCUACCAACUAAGAAGCUUCUAGAAGGUUCCAGAGACUUGCUUCUAGAAGGUUCUAGAAACUUAUCUCUAGAAGGUUCUAAGGACUAUGUUCCUAACAUCUUCUACCAACUAAGAAGCUUCUAGAAGGUUCUAAAGACUUGUUUUUAGAAGGUUCUAGAAGUUUGUCUCUAGAAGGUUCUAGAAACUUGUCUCUAGAAGGUUCUAAGGACUAUGUCCCUAACAUCACCCCCUCCUUUAGCUUCGAGGUCUCUGAGAAGCAAUGUUGUUGUCAAUCAGUACCAAUGCAAGAAAAUGAAGAUCUGUCGCAUAGCGUCUGUUAUGAACUACAACUGUUGUGCACGAGGUAAGUAGUUCAUCGGCCCUUGAAACCAAUGGUAGUGGCCCACUCCUUCAACUUCUGACCAAGCAUGUACUUUCGUGUCUUCAUUGUAAAAUUGUCCUGCAAAUAUGCCUUCUGGCUGACCAUCGUAAGCAGGCUCGGAUUCAAAUACAAUCACCAGUGAUCGGUUACUUGGUAUCCUCUGUCGUCAUCAUGGUGUAGGUGGUUCUUCAUCUCAGGGUCGCUUCGUGAGCUAAUCGGUUGAGAUAAUCUGACUGGCAUAGUAUCUAUCAGAAGAUCAAACUAUGGCUAUUGAAAAAAUUCUAUUUUAUCUUAGAGAAAAUAACUACAUCAACUAUGAAUUUUGGUGGUGCUUUUUCCCUUUCUUAUAUUCUUGGGUGAGCAAGCUUCAGAAAGAAGCUAUUGUCAAACCGGCUUAGGUUUAUGAGGAUGUUGUUGAUGAAACUCCUAUACCUUUUGCGGCGCAUUGGUGAGAUUUUCAGCUGGCUCCCAUGUUCGCUCAUUAAUGUCGUAGCUGCACCAAUGAACAAGAUACUCCAACUUGCUCCAUCUUUGCCAAGAAUCCAGCACCUUUUCAACCUCGUAUUCCUCGUGGUUCUCGAUCUCAAUACUAGGUGGCGGACAUUGCACUCUUCCAGGAAAAGAUGACUCUUGAUAAGGCUCCAACAAAGAAACAUGAAAGACUGGAUGUACCUUCAUAGAAGCUGGUAAUUCCAAACGGUAUGCCACUGGAUUGAUUUGCUUUUGGAUGAUAAAUGGUCCCAAUCUUCGGUAGUCCAACUUAUCACAUAGUCGCUUGGUUUUGAUAUUCCGUCGAAGAAGCCAUGCUUUAUCUCCAAUUUUGAAAGUAGGUGUUUGAUUCCGAAAUCUAUUUGUAGACGCCUUAUUGGAUUCUUGAGCGGAUUGUAAUUGAAGCUUCAACGUAUUUUGAAGCUCUGAUAGUUGUUUCGCAAAUCCUUCAACUGUUGGAUUGUUAUUUGUUGAUGAAUUCAAUAAAUCAAGCUUUAGAUGAUAUCCAUAGUUGAAAAAGAAUGGUGUGUAUUGAGUCGACGCAUGGAGGGUAUUGUUAUAUGCAAACUCGGCUAGCGGCAGAUAUGUGGUCCAAUCGUCUUACUGAUAGUUGAUGCUGCAUCAUAAGUAUUGUUCCAAGACUUGGUUCACCCGUUCUGUUUGACCGUCAGUUUGAGGAUGAAAAGCCGAAGAAAGCUUGAUAUCCACCUUCAAUAUCUCAAAGAAAGAUCUCCAAAACUUUGAUAUGAAUUGGGUUCCUCGAUCUGAUACGAUAUCAUCUGGUAGUCCAUGAUAUCGAUACACAUUAUCGAGAAAGAGCCUUGCUGUGACUUCACUAAACGAUGUCUUCUUACAAGAGACAAAGUACGCCAUUUUUGUAAGCCGAUCUACCACGACAAAGAUGCUGUCAAAUGAGUUCGAUGAUGGCAGGUCCAUGAUGAAGUCCAUGGAAAUUGAAGACCAUGGUCGACGUGGAAUCGGUAAUGGCUGUAGGAGUCCAUAAGGGCGAUGUCGAGGAUUCUUGGAUCUUGAACAGAUGUCGCAAGAGAGGACAAAAUCUUUCACAUCCUUCCACAUUUGGGGCCACCAAAAAUCUCGAGAAAUAAGCUCCAAGGUCUUGUUGAAUCCAAAAUAUCCCGCAGCUAGAAAAUCGUGGCGAGAUUGAAGAACUCGGAGUCGUGCUGGUCCUUUUGGGAUAUAUAACUGCUCUUCAAAGUAUAAAAGAUCUCCCUCCACCUUGAACUUGUCGUCAUUGGCACGCUGUCGUGUUGUAAUACGAGUAUACUGUGAAAAUAUAAAGAAAGAGGACUUUUAUUAAUGUUCAGUUACCUCGAAUAUUGGGAGCAACGACCAAUUCCAGUACAAAUACUGGGAGGCCAGGGUCAGUCACCCCAUUACAGUCAGCCGGGGCAUACUGAAAUGCUCCGUUUGAUUCAAAUAAUGGGAGUCAGCAUAAAGAGAAAGGACCAAUUCACACGACGGGUGAACCUAGUUCGAACAGCCAAUUGGAUCCAAUUUCAAGAAUCCAAUCUGGGUCCUCUUACCCAAUAUGAGACGUGAAUUGGUCGGGCAACCCAAUACAGUCUAAUUAGAGGAAAAUUCGGGUCUUACUAUUGGACUCUUUCCCAAUAUGAGACCUGAAUUGGUCGUGCGACUCAAUGUGGUCCCGAUUAUGGGCUUCGAUUCCGUUUCAGGCUGUUCCGUCCUUUGUGCCGUUCCAGGAACGUCCUUUCGGUAAAAGGAUUUCUUAAAGGUAAAAACGGAGGAGAAAGCUCUGACGACGAGAGCCACUUUCGGAUCUAAGCUCUGACGGCAGGAGCCAAUUUCGGAUCUAAGCUCUGAUGGUGGGAGCCAAUUCCGGAUCCAAGACGGAAGAUUGAAGAAAUUCAGAGGAUAAGGUUAGGGGAGAGAAUAAGUUUUGGGAGGUUUUUUUUUUUUUUUUUUUUUUGAAGGAUCGGGAGAGCUAGCUUCAUGCUUCGGGCGGGGAAAGAAGACAGAGAAUUGGGUUUUUUUUCCUUCAUAGGAUUUUGGGAAGACUAAGGCAAUCGUUGCUGAAGUCAAAGUUGUAAUGGUGAAUUGGGAUUUUUAAUGAAGUGGGUUUGAUUACUCUUGACUGUUUUGUGAAAUCGAGUUACAUUUGAGAUUGAAGAAUUAAAAGGGUGUCUAUAGGAUUGAGUAUGCGAAGUGAAUGAAAUUUAUUAGCUUAAUCUAACAAGACAGUCAGUGGAUACAAGAUCGUAAGUACAAAGCGGUAUCGAAGAUUAAUAGUUUGGGUUGUUCGUGGUUCUCUAUAACGUCUAGAGACCUACCGGCCGAGACAAAAAGGACUACGGCGAGCAGUCGAAGGGCAUCCGUAUAGAUUUAUGGUGUAUUCUUGCAGUCGUUUAUAUUCUAACAGUCAAAAAUUGAUAGAUUGCUUGACUAUUGGUGAAUCUCCAUACUACCUUCUACAGCCAAACGCUCGGCGCGUUCUCAAGCAAAAAAGUACGUAAUACGACAACGCUGCUUAAUAUCAAUGGCUACUGAAUCUUCAAUGGUCACGGCACGUACCUGAUUCAGGAAGUCAGCAUCAAUUGGCAUAAUAGUAGCGCAAAGCUGAAAUUGCUUUGGCUUUAACAAUGUCGUACAUUGUUGAUCAAACGUUGCUUCUCCAGCCUUUGAUACAAGAUACGAUCUCCUCGAUAAGGCAUCAGAUAGUCCUUCCUGCUUUCUAAGUCGAUAAGUGAUAAUAAAAUCAAACCUAGAUAGCAACAUACUCCAUCAAGCUUGACGUCGAUUUAAAACUCGAGUCGACAUGAAAUACUCCAAAUUUUUGUGAUCUGUGUAUACGAUCACUGGACGUGCAGCUCCUUUAAGAAAGUGACGCCAUUCUUGGAAAGAAUCCACUAUAGCAAGAAGUUCCUUAUCGUGGAUCUCAUAAUUGAUUUCAACAGCAGAGAACUUUCGAGAAUAGAAUGCAAGUGGAUGGAGCUUCUUGUCUUCUCACAUUUGUGAAAGUACAGCUCUCAAAGCAAAAUCUGAAGCAUCAGUUUUUAAAUAGAAGGCCUUUGUAAAGUCUGGAUGUACCAAGAUUGGAGCCGUAGUAAAUGCGGUCUUCAGAUUUUAAAACGCCUUCUCUGCUAGAAGUCCCCAUUUUAACUUAUCCCUGCAUGUCAACCGAGUGAGAGGAGCAGCAACUUGAGAGUAAUUCUUGAUAAAGAUCUGAUAGAAGUUGGCAAAACCAAGAAAGCAUUGUAUGUCUCUAACCGUCUUCGGAACCUCCUAAGACACGAUUGCUUCCACCUUCUUAGGGUCCAUCUUCAAGCCUUCCGUAGUCGCAACGAACUCCAAAAACUCCAUCUCUAUUUAGUGAAAUAAAUACUUCUCUAACUUGACAUAUAGUCCUCGCUCGCGUAGUUUCUUCAAUACCAAACGAACGUAUUUUUCAUGCUCUUCCUCAUUUUUGGAGAAUAUCAAAAUAUCAUCUAAAUAGAUGAAAACAAAAUUGUCAAGGUACUCUCGGAAAAUGUCAUUCAUCAUAUAUUGAAAGACCGCUGGAGCAUUGGUAAGACCAAAGGGCAUGACAUUAUAUUCAAAAUGUACGGAACGCUGUCUUCCACUCAUCUCCUUCCUUGAUUCAUACGAGGUUGUAAGCUCCCCUUAGAUCAAUUUUUGUAAAGAUCCUUGCAUGUCCAAGUUGUUCUAAGAGACCAGAAAUCAAGGGUAACGGGUAACGAUUCUUCUUUGUUACCUUGUUGACGCCUCGAUAGUCCACGCACAUACGCAACGAGCCAUCUUUCUUCUUCACAAAUAAGAUUGGUGCUCCAGCUGACGAUUUUGAAUGACAGGUGAAGUUCUUGGCUAGAUUCUCGUCGAUGUACUUCCACAACUCCACCAACUCCAUCUGCGAUAGAUUGUAGAUUGGGCCAAAAGGCGGUUGUGCUCCUUCUUGUAAGUCUAUGGCGCAAUCAUAUGGUUUGUGUUCCGAUAGCAUGUUGGCAUUUUUCUUUUGAAACACGUCUUUAAAAUCCUUAUAUUGCUCCGGUAUACUUGCUGUCGAGAUCUUCUCCCCGGUAGUUGAAGCUGCAUAAAUGACAAACGGUGUGCCUCCCUUGGACGAUCUUAUAAAUGCUUUUGCUCCAAUAAAUAAGGAUUUCUCUAUUCGGGGUUUUCUAAUAGGCUUGCUCUUGGGUGGUUUUUUGGGAAAGGUCAUCUUCCGCAACUUUCAAUCUAUGGAUGGAUUAUGCUUUUCCAACCAGGAAAGACUAAGAAUAACAGGAUUUGAUGGGGUUCUAAUAAUAUUGAAAAUAAUAUGACUACUAUGGCCCUUAAACGUCACUUCUAUAGGUUCUAAUUCAUGGAUGAUACUACCAGACAAUAAAGGUCGUCCAUCUAUGACUUCAAUGUGAACAGGUUUGGAUUUUUGUACUAAAGGGAUCUUAUGACACUUUACAAAUUCUUCCUCUAAGAAAUAAGCAGAUGCUCCUGAAUCUAAUAAUGCUAAGGUUCUCAGUUUCUGAGGACCAAUAAGCAAAGGGAUUGUAAAACAAAGUGCAAGUUGAGCGAAAAGAAAGGAAUUUGGUUGUUGUUGCGAUAUUUCACUACCUAGCCGCACGGUUCCUAUUGUGGCUGGGCAUCCUCGUUUUCCUGAAUAAACGCAUCCCUAGUCUUGAUAAUACGUCGAUUUUUCUUCUUGGGGUAGUUUCUAACUUUGUAGCCUUCUUCACCGCAAUACAAGCAUAGACCUUCCUCCAUACGUCGCUUUUUUUCUUCUAGAGUAAGAGAUUUGACACGUACCACAUCAAUUUGCAUGUCUUUUAUCUCUGAAUGUGAAUUCAUGCUGCUUGCCGACAUAGUUGGGAUGUAGCGAAUCGUAUGUUGUCUUGAACGUUGGUCUUGGCGACGUUUGAAUAGGCAGUUAUCAUACUUCACAGCUUGACUAAUAGCUUUGUUGAGCGUUUGCAGAUCAAGAAGAGUUAACAACAAAUCCUUCACAUCGUCCCUUAAAUCCCAAUAGAAUUGACUUAUCAAUGCUUCUUCGUCCCAAUUGAUGUCGCAUGCAAAUUGCCUGAAGUCCGAUGCAUAGACUGAUGUAGAACGCAUCCCUUGUCGUAGUGACUGGAUCUUUGUUGUAGCCCAUCAAACCUUGUCGUGUUCACCAAAUACUUCCGCAAAUGCCUUCAAAAAGGUUUCAAAGUUGUUUAGUAUGGACGAUCGUUUUUCAAACAAAGGAGCAAACCAUGAUAGAGCUUGUCCUGUAAGUAAGGUUCCAACAAGCCCAACACGUGACUCCUCCGUUGGAUAGCAUUCGAGCUGUAAAACUGUUAUCAACCUGAUUUGGUUGACAAAUCCUCAAAACUUGGAACGUGUACCAUCGAACUUGUCCGGAAGGCUAACUCGGGGUUCUUUAUGUUGUAGAACCAGCGAUGCUUGUCGAACCUGAGGCAAAGUUGCUUCUCCAAGUGUAGAAGUUUGAGGCUGGUGCAACCUAGAUUGUGCCAUCUCAGAUGCUCCAUCAUUAUGAAGCCUUGCCAUGACUCCUUCAAUCUCUGCAGUUCUUUGCGAUAAUGUAGCGAAGGCAUUCAUAAUAGCAUCUAACUUGGACUUUGAACUUUUUGUCAUACUAAUGUUUUGGCCCCCGACCAUUCUAAGAGAAGGACAGAAAUAACUCUACAAGAAGAUAAUAUUGGUUUAGAGGAGGGUACUCCGCAAUCUCUAAAAUGCCUUAAGAGCUUCAAGAAAAGGGAUAAUCCACUCUCUCCAAGAAGAAUAAGACUCCAAUAUUGUAACAAAAGAAGUAUCAGUUUAGAAAAGGGUAAUCCGCAACCUCUAAAGUACUAGUACACUUCCAAGCAGAGGGAUAAUCCACACUCUAACAAAGAAGAAACUAGCUCUGAUAUGUGAAGUGAGUGAAGUCUCGACAAACUGUCACGGACAUAGAAUACAGACUUGAUAUCUACUAAGAAGUUCAAGAAGAACUGGCAAGAACUAGAUUAAUCAGAUGAAUACAAGAACAACACCAGAGAGGUGAGCCAGAGCUCUAAGAGAUGUGUUGUCGAGACUGAAGAACUCUUCAGCCUCGAUUCCAAUAUAUACUCCUAUUUAGGAAGCUUCUUAAGCAACUUCUACCAACUAGGAAGCUUCUAGAAGGUUCCAGAGACUUACUUCUAGAAGGUUCUAGAAAGUUAUCUCUAGAAGGUUCUAAGGACUAUGUCUCUAACAUCUUCUAUCAACUAAGAAGCUUCUAGAAGGUUCCAGAGACUUGCUUCUAGAAGGUUCUAGAAGUUUGUCUCUAAAAGGUUUUAGAAACUUGUCUCUAGAAGGUUCUAAGGACUAUGUCUCUAACAAUAAUAUCAAUAUCAUGGAUACACAGUGUUCUAAAUCUUAAGCAUCCAUUGUAUCAGCAUUUAUUAAAUUGACACUGGAACCAGCAUCCAUCUGAACACCAGAGAUCAUGAUACUGUCAAUCAAAACAUCAAUGGUUGAUACACCUGGGUCACGGUUCAAACUGACUUUACAAACUUCCUUAUUGCAUUGUCUAUGCCGUAUUAACAAUGAAUUCAAUGUAAAAUGGUACUCUGGUGCGACCGCUAGAAGUUGCUUCAUAGAAAUAGAAGGCCGAAUAGUAUCCAGAUCCGUCAAAAUAUCAUAGGAUUCCAUAUUUAGGAUAAUUUUGAAUGUCCUCUUUAUUUUCAUUGAGUUGAGUUGAACUUCGAGAGGUAAGAUAUUCUUCCAUCCUAGACUUGGAAUUGGAAUAGUAGCCAAAGUUUCAUUGGAAUUCGUGCCCCCAAGAGGAUCUUUCAAUGGAUAGGAUAUUUUCUAAAACUGUAUAGAGAAUAAAACAGCUUAAAAUGGAAUUGUAGCAUCUAUAAUCGGUACCUCAUUGGAUUACUCAACCAAAUCAGGUCUCAUACUGGGUAAGAGGCUCGUCAUAAGACCUAGAUUGGAUGUUCCCAUAAUUGGAUCAAAUUGGUCCUUUGCAUCAAGCUCACCUAAAUGUUGAAUUGGUCCUUUUCCAUUUUCUUGACUCUUGAUAAAAACAGCUUGGACACAUUCCAUUCGAUUUACUAGAGAAUCUUGAGGACCUUGAUUUAUCUCCUCCAUUGUUCCUUGGCUUUGGAUCUGCUGAUCCAUGUUAUUAAAAUUGAACGGAGCAUUACAUUGCUGAUAAGUAUGCCUCGACUGCUUGCAAUUCCUACACACUAGCACAUAAUCGUCAUUGGUUCUAGGAUUAGGACAUUCAUUGGCAUAAUAACCAAUCUGUCUACAACGAAAAUAACGAAGUCGUCUUCUUGCACCCCCAUCCGACAUAUUGGGUGUCUCCAGCGGUAUAUACCUACUAAGCUUGUUCUAUGUAGGAUUAAAAAAUGAUCUUAGUUGUCCCAUUGGUACGGAGGGUACUUGGUUUGAUGUCGCCAGUGGAGAAUAUUGCUCACACCUCUGCUGCUCCUUACCGUAGUUCUGAGAUUUGAUGCAGACUCCUAAUUAAAAUUAAAACUUUGAAAGUUAUUGAAUGUUCAAUUUUGUCAAUUAGAUCGAUUUCCAUUCGAUCCAUACAUAUUUUUCGAUUGAACUUGAUUGAUGUUCCAGUGAAUUGGUGGGAUCAUGGUCUAAUUACUGAAUUGUUGUUGCCUUUACAAAUUCCAACAAUUAAUUGUUAAGUGCUUUCUUCCGCAAAAUACACAUUGACCCAUCAUUUGUGAAGGUGAAGGGUAUUCUGUUACCAAAUGACCAUGGCCCUUACAAUUACUGCACCAAACAUUAGUCCUAGUAUUGAUAGGCUUUUGCCUCUUCUCGUUAUCCUUCGCCAUAUUGACAGCUAUUUCUUCGAUUUUCUUCAUGAUGUUCAACAAGAAGGCUUCAUUGAAAUCUUUUGGGGUUGGUAUUAUUGGUAACUUUGCCGCAGUUAAUGCUUGUUAUUGAUAUGGAAAAUAUGGAGCAUACAUUGUUGUCAUGUUCAGUGGUAUAGCUUGCAAUAGGGUGAUAUUAUUUGGCCCCUAAAUAUUGGUAUUCAAAUUGGCCCUUGUGUCUAACAUCUGUGGAUAACUAUCCACUCAUCCGUUCCAAGUCGGAUUUUGAUACCUGCCUUGAAUUCGAAUCAUCGUAGCUCCCGCAAUUAAAAACUGAUCAUAAUGGCAUUCUUCUCAAACCUUGGCUCUAUUAAGGGAUGCAGACACCGUAACGGGUUGACUCUCUUUUAUAAACAUUUUUAGUUUAGGUGGUUGCAAUCCGUUGAUUAAUAUGAAUAAUACAAAAGCCUCUGGCAUUUGGUGAUUUGGCCACUUGCGGAGUGUAUCUGCCACACGAUUAUAGUAUGAUUCCACUUCCUCUCCUAGAUCCAUUUUGCUAGUCAUUAAUUUUUCUCAAAGUCAAUCCUAAAAACCAAUUAGACAAAAAUAGAUUAAAAAUGCAUUCUUCAUUGCUUCCCAAUUGAGAAAUUGACCCACUGGUUGGCGGUUGUACCAUCCAAAUGCUGUCGGGGUAGAGAGAAUUUGCCUCAAGAAAAUGCUGGGCUUCUGGCUGUCACUAAUUAUUCAAUCAAGCUUGAAAAUAAGGGAAGCCCUAAGUUUAUAUAUAAUUUUUCUCUUUUUGAGUAAUUAUACCAAAUACACAAUCCUCAAGUAAUCCACAACUUCCAAAAUAUGAUAAAAUCUUCUAAAUCCUUGUUUAUUCUUAUGUGGAGAUUUUCCCGAACUUCAACACCUCAUAUCUCUUAAUCCGACCGUCCAAACAAACUCAAAUUGUACAUGAGGUACUGAUGUAUUCUUAUUAACUUCUACAACAAUUUUCAACCGCAAAUUCAUUUCAGAUCUUGAGAUAUCUUGAAAUCCCUAACAGUCGCUUCAAACCCUUGUCUUUAUACAUCCGCGUGCAAUUUUCUUCAUAUCUCACAAAAUAUAAGCUCAAAUGCCACGAAAUUUGUAUGUAUAGCUUCUUAACACAAAAUUUUACAUUCUCCAAAAAGUUUGAGUCAAAAAUUCGUCCGAAAACUCAAGUUAUGGCUCCAAUCAUUACUAUAAACAAACCCGCUUACUUACUGCUUUUGAUUUGGAAGCGUUGCCUUCAACUCCUUACAACUCCUUUAUAUAAACUCUAAAAGCAAUAAUUAUUUCGUAAAAGAUGUAGGCCCUAAAAUCGCCGUUCUAGUUGCAUCUUUCGAUCUUCAAAAGCUACUGUAAAACUCCUCGUACUCUCAAAAGAGUAACAAUAUGUCUUAAAUAAACACCUUAACUUCAAACGGUUAUAACGUUUUCACCCUAACUCCAAAUCCUCUAAUUUUUCUAUACAAAUUGUUCUCCAAACCCUAAACUUUACAACCCUAGAUUCUAAUCUCUAAAUGCCUCCUUUGAAGUCACCAAAACCCUUCUUAAGGUCACGGGCAGCCUCCUCAAAGUCCAUUGGGCAUGGUAUUCGACCAAUAGGGAUGAAGUUCUCCAUUCCUUGCCUCCAUCCGACCAUGCCUUACUUUCAUCCCUCUCAAUUAGCUUCCUACUAGUUUAGAUUUUCAUCCUUAGGUUUCCACCUUUUCCCAAGGUUUCAUACUAAACAUUUAGGUCCUAUAUAUAUAUAUAUAUAUAUAUAUAUUAAUGUCAAAAUCAAAAGAAAUAAAGAAACAAAGUAAAGUUUCUUAUAUCAAAUCCUUUUAAUUUAAUCUACUAGCCACUCUAACACACAUCUAGAUUUAUCAACAUAUAAUAUGUUUUAGCUAAUUUUUACAUACUGUAAGCAUUUACAGUAUGACAAUGCCAUGUCCUUCAAGGUCGCUAGCAACCAUUGUAAUCAAAUAUCUUCAAUUCUUCCAUUAUUAGCUAUACAUGCUGUCAAAAAUUGAGACAAAUAUUGAUCGGGAUCCGCACUCGAAAAGCCCCUAAAAGUAAUAAUGGAGCCACGCUCAUUAUGCAAUUGUCCACGUCACCCAUUUGUACUGCUAUUCAAACUAUUGGACCACCCAUCGCCAUUGAAGAGAACAAUGUUCCACUUAAUCUUUUGUCAAAAUAACUGGCGCCUUCUCCAGUUGAUUGUUGUAAAUUUUUAAGUUUCCUCAAUAUGCUAUUAUUAUUCCUUAUUAAGUUAGUCAAUUGAAUUGGCAGUAAAAAUGAUGGAUUUUAAAAUACACUGAAUUGGUCCUUAUUAGCAAGUAAUUUAUGCCAUUCUACAGGACCAGUUUUUACAAAAUCGGUAGUUUUUGCUAAUAAGAAGGUACUAUUAAAGUAAAAGUAGAAUAAGUUAUCUUAUAGAGGAUAUUAAUUUAAAUAAGUUGCUAGUGGUCAAAGGUUUGACUCUUGGUAUAUAGUAAAAACUUUCAACGGAUAUAUGACGAAGUCUUGGACCAAGAGUCAAAGUCAAGAAGAUAAAGUAUUAACAAGGGAAUAUUCAAAGACUAGGUUUGAAUCAUUAUUGUAUGUCAUAAGAUACUCUCGAGCCUCGUGAGAUGCUAAAAGGAUCUUAAAAUCACGUGUGUAAAAGUCAAAGAGUAGAAGUUGUUUUUUAUGAUAGCAACCACUACCUAUAAGUAAAGGGUAUUGGAAGUGAGAGAUAUCUUAUCCCAUACUCUCUUUGUGUGCAACCUUGCUGAUGCUAAGUCUUGUGUCUUCAAAGUACUUGUUCUUCAAUAGGUUAUGGAUCCACUCACCUUUACUUGUGAGUUUUAAAGUACUUUGAAGUCUUUCUUGUUGUGAGAAAAAGAUCUUAUGGUUGUUACUGAAGUUUGAGUUUGUUCUCUUCUAACCCUUCUUAUGCAUCUAGUUUUUGAUAUAGUUUUUGCUUUUACUUGUUGUUAAGUACAUUGAUAGUCUUGAUUAUUGUUAGACUCCAUAUAAUGAUGUUUUAGAACUUUAGUGUUAUAUUUCUUUGCUGAAUUUCAUCAUUGGUGCUCUAACUUUGUGCUUUCAUAUACUUAACUUCAUAAGAGAUUCUCCUAUUUGUUAUAAGAAGUGUUUUGUGUGGUUAGAAGUAUUUUAUGAAAGAAGAGUGAUUAAAGAGUGGCAAAGCUUAUACAAGAGAUUUAGAUAGAAAAUAAUACUUGUGAGAAGUCUUAUAUGUGAAGUUGAGAGUGAUACAAGAGUGAAAUCACUUGUAUAAUUACAAAGAGGGCAUUCUGAGUUUCUAAGGCAGCAAUACCUUCUUGUUGAUUUUUAUAGUUCUAUCUUUUCUUUUCUUGAUUUUCUUUCAUACAUCUCUUCUUUAGACAUGGCUUCAAGUAAAGAUGAGAGCUUGAGAGUGAUUGAAAAGUUUAGAAAUGAGAACUUUUACCAUUGGAAGAAAAAAAAUUGAGCUUUUAUUAGCUUCAUUGGAUCUUUGGGACAUUGUUGAUGAAUGUGAAGACCCUCCAAGUGACAAUGCUGAUAUCAAGGUAAAGAAGGAGUACAAACGUCGUGAAAGGAAGGGUUUUGAGAUGAUUGCAAUAAACCUUGAUGAUGCCAACUUUUCUCAUGUUAUAGCUUGUAAUGAACCAGUUGAAGCAUGGGAAACUCUUUGCAAUAUCUAUGAGAGUAGAAACCUUGCCAACAUCCUUUGGACAAGAAAGAAGUUCUUGAUAGUAAAGAUGGAAGAAAGAGAUAACUUCAUGGCUCAUGUUAACAAAGUAAAAGCACUUGCUAACCAACUAGCAGUUGUUGAUAAACCAGUUGAUGAUAAGGACAUUGUGUUGACAUUGGUCAUGAGCCUUCCUGAAUCCUACAACUACCUCAUUGUGGCAUUGGAGUCCAUCAACAUGAAGGAGCUUAUUAUGAACUAUGUCAUGUCAAGACUUGCCCAUGAAGUGACCAAGAGGAAAGAAAAAGAACUUGCAAGUGAUGAUUCGGCUCUAUUUUAAAGAUAAGGCAAAGGUAGCUAUUCUCAAAAAUAUAAUAAUUCAAAAAGCAAUAUGAAGAAUUACUAUAUUUGUGGAAAACUAGGUCAUUUUUCUAGAAAUUGCUACAAGGCCAAGAAAGGAGAUAGAAAGAAUGCAAACAAUACUAGUGAUAGUUUUUGUAGAGAUGAGUAUGCUUUCAUGGCAAGGAAAGGAGCCUCCAUGGUUGCUAUUUUGAAGUAGAUUAUAGAUUCAGGUACUACUAAGCACAAGAAACCAUACAAGUGUUCAUUUGACAUUUAUGAAGAAAUUUCAGCAACAAAAGUGUGGUUGGGAGACAAUGGCAUGGUGCAAGCCAUUGGAAUUGGCUCCAUUGUGGUAGAGAUUAUUGUGAAGGACCAAAUCAAGAGGAUCACAUUGAAGGAAGUCUUACAUGUGCCAAAAAUGAAGAAGAACCUCCUUUCGGUGAGCAAACUUGUAUCACAUGGUUAUAAGGUUUAAUUUGAUAUGAAUGGAUAUUUUAUCAAGAAAUUGGAUAGCCAACAUGUUGCCAAAGGCCUUAGAGAUGGAAAUCUCUACUUCAUCAAUUGCAAGAAGGUGAAUGGAGUUGAAGUGGCGGCAUUUGCUGAUUUUCUAUAAGAUCAAGAUAAGUUUGGAAUUUGGCAUCAAUGACUUGGUCAUUUGAAUGCCAAAUGCAUGAAGGAGCUCCAAUCCAUGGUAAGUGGCUUGGAUCUUGGUCAAUUCAACCACAAUGCCAUGAGACUUGCUUGUGAAGGAUGUAUACAAGGCAAACAACAAAGGGCUUCAUUUCCAAGUGGAAUUGCAACAUGUGCAACUAAAUUAUUGGAGAUUGUGCACUCUGAUGUUUGUAGAUCAAUGAAGACACCAUCAAUUGGAGGAGCAAGGUAGUUUAUCACAUUCAUAGAUGAUUUUUCAAGAAAUGUGUAGAUUUACAUCAUUAAAGCUAAAAGUGAAUGUUUUUCAAGGUUUAAGGAAUUUAAGGCUCUUGUAGAGAAAUAAUGUGAGUGUAAGAUCAAAGUGUUGAGAAUGGACAAUAGAAGUGAAUACAUUUCAAAACAUUUUGAUGAAUUCAUAAAGAUUCAAGGUAUUGUAAGAUAAAUCUCUACUCCUUACACUCUACAACAAAAUAGAGUUGCUGAAAGAGCAAAUCAGACCAUUGUGGAGAUGGCAAGGGGUAUGCUUCAUACACAAAACCUUGGGCAUGAGUAUAAGGUGGAAGCUGUGGUAAAUGUGGUGUACACAAGGAAUAGGUGCCCUACAAGUGCACUUACAUCAAUGACUCCACAAGAAGCUUGGAGUGAGAAAAAACCUUAUGUUUCACUUAUAAAGAUUUUUGGAUGCAUUGCUUAUGCAAAGAUACCAGAUUGCAUGAGGUCCAAACUUGAUGCAAAAGGUACAAAAUAAAUAUUUAUUGGAUAUUGUGAAGGUACCAAAGCAUAUAGGCUAAUAUGUUUAGAAACAAGGAAGUUCAUCAAAAGUCGUGAUGUAGAGUUUUUGAAACAUAAGAGUGUUUUUGGGCACUUGGAAGAGUGUCUAAGUGAGAAUAAAGGUGUGUUUGUGGACACAUCUUCAAGUUCAGCAAAGAAAGAAGAAGAAGAAGAUGAUGAUGAUAAUGAAGAUGGAGGAAAUAGAAGUCAAAAUCAAGUGCCAAAGAAGGUAAUCAUAGUGUACCUUCAAUUGCUAGAAUCAACAAUGAAAACAAUGAAGAUAUUGAAGGUGAUGAGGAUGAUGAAGAAUAUCAACCUUUGAGUGAGAAAAGACAAGCAUUGAGGAAGAAGAAGAUUGGAAGAGAGGAUGGAAUGCAAGAAGAAGGGUCUUCUUCAAAUGAAAAGAGAUAUUCUUUGAGAAAAAGAAAACAACAUGGUGAAUGGUGGAAGGACCACAUCUUUCCUCAAGUAAGUGAAGAACAUGCCAAUGUUAUACUUCUUGCUGAUCCAUUGAGUUUAUGUGAUGCAAUGAAGUCCAUGGAUGCAUUGAAGUGGAAGAAUGGUAUGAAAGAAGAGUAAAAAUCACUCAUGGACAAUGGAACAUGAAAAUUGAUUCAACUUCCAUCAAAUCGAGCUUCAAUUGGUUGUAAAUGGUUGUUUAGAACAAAGAGGGAUGCAAUGGAUAAUGUUGUGAGGUAUAAGGCAAGAUUGGUUGCAAAAAGCUACUCAUAAGUUGUUGGUGUGGAUUUCAAUGAGACAUUUUCUCCCGUGGCCAAAUUCACCACCAUUAGAAUCAUUGUGGCAAUUGGAGCAGCAAUGGACUUGGAGAUGCAUCAAAUGGAUGUGAAGACGGCUUUCUUGAAUGAAAGUUUGGAAUAAGACAUCUACAUGGAGCAACUUCAAAGAUUUGUUGAAGAAGACAAACAACACCUUGUUUGUAAGUUGAAGAAAUCCUUGUAUGGGCUAAAGCAAUCACCAAGGGCAUGGUACCAAUGCAUUGAUACAUUCUUUGUGAGUGAAGGAUUUGUAAGGAGUGAGGCUCAUCAUUCCUUAUAUGUGAUGCAAUCAAAUAGAUUCAUAUUGAUUGUCAUCCUCUAUGUUGAUGAUUUGAUCAUCUCAACCAAUACACUGAAGAUGAUGGAUUGGUUGAAGGCAAAGUUAGAAAAAGAGUAUGUAUUCUUUGUUGGAAUAGGAACAAUUUCAUGGAAUUAUAAGAGACAACCAACAAUUGCGAGGUCAACAAUGGAGGCAGAGUACAUAGCAGCAAGCCAUGGUACAAUGGAGGCAAUAUGGUUGAGACAACUUUUGGAGGACAUUGGAGAUGUCCAAAUAGAAGCAACUCCAAUGGAGUGUGACAAUCAAGGAUGUCUUGCAUUUGCAAAGAAUCCAAAGCAUCAUUCAAGGACCAAACAUAUUGACAUUCAACAUCACUUUAUAAGAAAGAAGAUUGAAAUGGGACUGAUUGAUAUGAAGUAUUCUGCAACGGAAGAAAUACUUGCUGAUUUGUCGACAAAGGCAUUAGUAAAAGAUAGACACCACAUGUUGACAAAGGUAUUAGGAUUAAAAUCCAUUUGACCAAUAGAAAAGUGGGAGUAUUGAAGUAAAAAUAGAACAAGUUACCUUAUAGAGGAUAUUAACUUAUGUAAGUUGCUAGUGGUCAAAGGUUUGACUCUUAAUAUAUGGUAAGGGCAUCCAAUGGAUAUAAGACAAAGUCAUGGACCAAGAGUCAAAGUCAAAAGGAUAAAGUAUUAAUAAGGGAAUAUCCAAAGACUAGGUAAGAAUCAUUAGUGUUUGUCAUAGGAUAUCCUCGAGCCUCGUGAAAUGCCAAAAGGAUCCUAGGACCACGUCUAUAAAAGUCAAAGAGUAGAAGUUGUCUUUUAGAGCAGCAACCACAACCUAUAAGUGACAGGUAUCUUAUUCCAUACUCUUUUUGUAUGCAACCUUGCUCAUGCUAAGUGUUGUGUCUUCAAAGUGCUUGUUCUUCAAUAGAUACCCAACGGAAUAUCCAAUUCUUCUGUGUUUCUUCCACUUGCAGUUAACGAGCUCAAGAGAUAUGCUAGGCUAUGAACAAAAUUUCCUGCAAGUGCUCUUGGUAAUUUUCUUAACGGCAUAAACUCCUCAAAUAUUUAAUGUCAAUCAGCUUCUAGAUAUACUUGGAUAUGCUGACAAGCAUGCAACCAUGGCUUAAUCCAACUUUGUUGACACUUCCUUUUUAACUUGCAUUUUUGUUCAUUUUCCAACGAUUCUCGUGCUUGCACUCUCUCUUAUCUUUCUUUUGACUGGUGUGUUUUCUUAACUGCAAUGUUCUCAUUCUUAAUAAUCAUAAUCUUUCAUUAUAUACUGCUGAAUUUGCUUCCUACUUCUCAUCUACUCAUUCGAUAGUUAAUUCCUAACACACAAUGCUAUUGUCAAUCCCCGGCAGCGGUGCCAAAAUGUGAUUAUCAUUUUACUUAUUCUAAAUUUUUUUUGAGAAUAAACCUAUAUAGGGGAAUUGAAACACAAAGAAAGACGAAGUGCAUGAGCUUUUAAGAUAGGGUCACUCAAUUGACCAUAAUCCAAACCACUAAAACAUCAAGAAAUACUACAAUGCUUUCUCCCAUUAACAAUACUCCUUCAUCAAUUGAUAACAACAGUGAGCAACCCUCCACUCUUAAAAGACUAAUCAAAACACACUAUUUUAUUCCUAGUGUUGGAUGGAGAUGGCCCUCAAACUAACUUCUAUAACUCCUAUAUACUUACUCCAUAUUCCCACAUACUAUCCGAAAUUCUAUAAUUAACCGCUUUUAAUAACUAAGUUAACAAACCCUCCUAUUCAACUGACUAUUCUAUGGACUAUUAGUCUAUUUUAUCAAAAGCUUUUGAAAACGAACUAAUAUCGAUCCUACAAUGAGGCAAUAACAAUAGCAGAGAGGGAUGAUGCUAUAGAUUUCAGAAAUCGCGGAAUAGGACUUAACUGAAGAUCCUUGCGCUGAUAUCGAAUUCUAUGACACAACAAUCAACAUUUUUCGAGAUAGAUGCCUUCCAAAGGGCAUUGACAACACAAAGCUUUAUAAAUCAAACUUUAAUAUACACUAUCAUUAAUAAUAUAGUAUAUAAUAAAUUUCAUUUAUAUAUAUAUAUAUAUAUAUAUAUAUAUAUAUAUAUAUAUAUAAAUAAAGAUAAUUAUAUAUUUUCAUUAUAAAUAUUAAAUAAUUCAAAAUAUAAUAUUUAAAAGAAUAUACAAUAUAAUAUUUUAUUUAAUAAAAUAUAUGUAAUCAAAUCCAUUAACAAUAGAAAAUACAUAAUAUUAUAUUAUAGAUAAAUAUGAAUAAUUUUACAAAUAUGAAUAAAUUUAUAAAUAAAAAUAGUUUAAUAAUUAUUAUUAUUUAUAAAAUAUUAUUAUUUAUAAAAUAUUAUUAUUUAUAAAAUAUUAUUAUUUAUAAAAUAUUAUUAUUUAUAAAAUAUUAUUAUUUAUAAAAUAUUAUUAUUUAUAAAAUAUUAUUAUUUAUAAAAUAUUAUUAUUUAUAAAAUAUUAGUAUUUAUAAAAUAUUAGUAUUUAUAAAAUAUUAGUAUUUAUAAAAUAAUAUUAUUUAUAAAAUAUUAUUAUUUAUAAAAUAUUAUUAUUUAUAAAAUAUUAUUAUUUAUAAAAUAUUAUUAUUUAUAAAAUAUUAGGAUUUAUAAAAUAUUAUUAUUUAUAAAAUAUUAGUAUUUAUAAAAUAUUAGUAUUUAUAAAAUAUUAGUAUUUAUAAAAUAAUAUUAUUUAUAAAAUAUUAUUAUUUAUAAAAUAUUAUUAUUUAUAAAAUAUUAUUAUUUACAAAAUAUAAUAAUAUAUAAAAUAACACUAUUUAAAAUAUAAAUAUUCAUAAAAUAUUACUAUUUAUUUAAUAACUAUUUAUUUAAUAACUAUUUAUUAAAUAUUACUAUUUAUUUAAUAACUAUUUAUUAAAUAAUACUAUAUAUUAAAUACUACUAUAUAUUAAAUACCACUAUUUAUUAAAUACCACUAUUAAUUAAAUAUCACUAUUUAUUAAAUACCACUAUUUAUUAAAUACCACUAUUUAUUAAAUANNNNNNNNNNNNNNNNNNNNNNNNNNNNNNNNNNNNNNNNNNNNNNNNNNNNNNNNNNNNNNNNNNNNNNNNNNNNNNNNNNNNNNNNNNNNNNNNNNNNUUAUUAAAUACCACUAUUUAUUAAAUACCACUAUUUAUUAAAUACCACUAUUUAUUAAAUACCACUAUUUAUUAAAUACCACUAUUUAUUAAAUACCACUAUGUAUUAAAUACCACUAUUUAUUAAAUACCACUAUUUAUUAAAUACCACUAUUUAUUAAAUACCACUAUUUAUCAAAUACUACUAUUUAUCAAAUACUACUAUCUAUUAAAUACUACUAUUUAUUAAAUACUACUAUUUAUUAAAUACUACUAUUUAUUAAAUACUACUAUUUAUUAAAUACUACUAUCUAUUAAAUACUACUAUUUAUUAAGUAAUAUUCAUUAAGAAAUGUAAUUUUUUUACAAAUAAAUAUUUAUUAUAAUUAUAAAUUUUUUAUAAAUAAUUCUUAUAUAAGUAUUACAGAGUUUAGAUUAUUAUUUUAUUUUUAAUCUAUUUUUCUUAUUAUUUGUAUAUGUAAAUAUUACAUAUAUACAUGUUAUAUAUAUUUUUAGUUUUUGUAUUGUAAUUAUUUAGCAUGUAAAAAUAUUUUAUAUUCCGCAAUUAUGAUAAACCGUGCAUUCAUAAAUAACUAGAUUAUAAAGUAAUUGUUCGUAGGUGAUUUGAAUUUCUUAAGAGAUCUCUUCAUGAAAUUGUAAUAAUUUCGAUUUUUUUCAAAACUUCUUGAAACGUUUUUUCGCAUGCAGGGCUCUCACGCCCUCAUUUAGUGAAUAUAGGAAGUUAGAUUCCUGUCCAAUUUUGAAUGAGAAAAUUGACUAUUGAGAAAUGGACUGAUUCCGUGGUCAUCGGCCCGGCGUUUAGGGGUUUAUAAUAAGAUGCAUAUCAUUUGUUCCAGGCUCGCGUUCUAUUGGUCUCCACCAUCUGCCAGAGAUAUCGGCAGCCUACAUCAAGUUGUGUGUGAGGUGGCGCAGGUUCCUUUCUCAUUUUUUAAUUCGUCUUCCUCGAUCGUAUUCAUAGGAUUUAAGGGACCCAAUCUUAAUAAAACCUCAAUGAUUUCAACGAGAGCCAUGCUUUGUAGAGUCCACGUCGGAGAAUGUGGACAUUACUGCCACCACUCUGUGCUCGGUCAAGUGACAAGAAGGAUUGCACGAUUUCGAUGCAAAUCGAAGCAGGAGGUGAAUCAGUGACCAAGGUAGCACCUUAACUCUCCAACCCCCAUUUUCUCCACGGCAGGGCGGCUGCCGUUCAAGGGUGAAACGCUACGCAUCGACCAUGUACACAUUUGAAAAGCACAAUACAGCCAAGUUCGUGAUGUAACUGUGAAAAUCAUUCUUGGAACAAAGACUUUUGGCAGGCACUGGAACAUGAUAUACAACUUGUGAUUUACCGUAAUCUGACGCUGGGCCGCAAAUGGAGGAUAUAAAAAGUAAUAUUCUGAAAGCGACUGUAAACCACAUUGUAUCAAUCUGCAAUGCUCAUGCAACGCCAGCGUAGCGCAGAAUCCAACGACCAUCCCACACGAGCUGCGCAUGUGAUUAUUUAUAAUUUUUCAAGAUGCCGCCUAGGGAAGGCGGUGGCUCCCAAUCCAGUAUAAGGGUGUCGUUGAGAGGCACGGAGAUCCCAAGCUUGUGCUGCACUUGAUGCAUGGUACCUCAAUCCCCUCAUCCUUCCGUGCUGCUCUACGUGCUCCUGCCUUGCCGAUCUGCAUCCUUUGCAGCGCAGAUCUAAUUCACGAUGGCCAGCCAUGGCAAAGCGGUGGUGCUGGUGCUGGUGCUGGUGCUAGUGGCGGCGACGGUGGUGGUGCCGCGGGCGGAGGCGCGUGCUCUAGUGGACGAUGGCGGGGAGCGCCCGGCGGAGCGCAUGAGCCCCUUGAUCACUGACCUCCAGGCAGUUGUGUGCAAGCAUUUGGGCUUGGCCUGCGCAGGCAAUGGCGAUCCACACAAUUUACAGUGUCAAAAGUUAUUUUGGCAUUGUGGAAGGGAUUAUGCGCCAUGCUGCGGUAGUAUGCAGUGCAAGUGCAUUCCUGGAUGUCAGCCCUCUUGCUUACAGAAUGUUGUGAGAGUGAGUCUAGACGGCAGAUAUUCGGGAUACGAUGCUUCCUUAUGAGCAGUGCUGCAGUCGGGUUUGCAUUCCAUUCCUGGAUGUCAGCCCUCUUGCUUACAGAAUGUUGUGAGAGUGAGUCUAGACGGCAGAUAUUCGGGAUACGAUGCUUCCUUAUCGAGCUGUAAUCAAGCCAUGUAGUACUGUCUACAAUAAAGUUGCAAAACUACUAGGUCAACUGUGGCGCCAUUCUGUGGCAUUUGAACUAAUGUAAAGUUACAAGACUACUUGGUCAACUGUGGCGCCAUUCCGUGGCAUUUGAACUAAUAGAAAGAGCCAUUUUGUAUGCAAUAUUGCACCUUUCUGUCUGGAAUUUUGCGUCAAUUUUGUGUCAUAUUGUCGUGUAGUUGACAAACACCUCAAUUUAGUAGUGGGAGACUAUGGGAGCCAAAAUUGUAAUAAAAGUUGAUCAUCGUGCAGUGUACUUUGAUUUUUUUUUCCUCC
rnacentral:lncRNA from 1 species